UAACCAUGACCUACGAGUUGACAUUAUUAUUAUAUAAAUCUAACAAGACAAUGGGUUUAUCUAAUUUUUUUGAGAUAAUCAUAUAGGUCAGAAUAAAGUGAAGAUAACAGAGACGGUGGAGGCAAUGCCAGUGCUGCAGAGAUCACAAAACAUUAGCCCGAUGUGAGUGCACAUUGCAACUCGGCUUAAGUAAACAAAUUUCUUUAUCAAAUAAGCCAAUUACAUCAGAACUUAUCGACUUGAAGACAUGAACCGGACUCUGUAACAGCCUAACAGGGCCCAUCAAUUGGCAUAAACACAUCGAAAGACAACCAAAGGAACUAGAUGACAACUCUUGCUACAAAGCCUGGAAGACAACUAGGUAGAGGAACUCCUCGCCAUCCCCACCAAUCAGCGCCUCCAGAUUUUCCCUUUCUUUACUUUCCAGGCUUCCAGCACACCCUGCUAGGUGUUCUUGACUUGUAAUCCGAUUACUUCUGGUUGCCUCCUCAACUCUCAGCAACGUGAAGCCCGUUUAAUUCGGUUGUACGUGCUCCCACAUUGACAGAAAAACAAGAGAAAGCAAGUUACUCAUGUGGCCUAAAAUAAACUCUGCAAUAAACACAAAGAGAGGAGGAAAAUCGAACCUUCUUCAAGUGAUUUGGGCCAGCAGGAUUGGAAGACCGGAUUUGAUUGAUACGUCUAGAUGACUGUCCAGUAAACCAGCUCCUCGACAGUAGGCUCCUUUUCACUCCCUUGGCGCUCCAGGAUUUCUUCCGAGACAACUUCCGGAGCUGUCUCCUGGUCACGGAUGCUCUGCACCUCAGUCACGACGAGGCAAUAAUGCUCUUGAAAUAAUCUAUCCUUAUGGUGCAAGCAGCAAACGGCUGUGCAAUGUAAGUUAUUGCACCACCCGCAACCCACUUUAUACUUUGGUUAAGAAAACAAUUCAGAAAAAUAGAACUUGGAAGUUGCAUGUGAUAGUUUAUAAAUCUACAUAGUAAGAAGAUAUUAUACUAUGCAGCCACUGCUCAAUAUGGAAAGACACUUGUACAGUUCACAUAUAAGGUCACCUAAACAUUUAGGGCAGAUCUAUAGAUACAUUUAUCUUUUUCAUGCGACGAGGAAUUUUGUAGCCAUUGGUGGGUAGUUGCACCAUGACUCUUAUGUUGCAUCAAAGAACAUAUCAAGAAAUGAACUAGAAUAACUAUAAGAAGCUAAAGGCCAAUAAGAGGACAAAAUGAAGAGAAAAUAGGAAAGAAAUCAGGGAUCAUAGAAAUAUGAAGCUCGUAACUCGGAACUCAUAUAUGAAUAUAAUAGCGCAAAUCAUGACUUAAGACAUGUUCAAGAAGGAAAGUGUUGGACAACUUAUAAAGGAUAUUCUGAACUCUGAAACCUUUCUAAGAAUUUGGGGAGAUUUAGCCCAACUUUGUAAGUGAAAAUUAGGUAUCAUAAAUCAAAAAAAGGUAUGCUAAGAUCAACCCAUUCCACGGUUUUUCCAAUCUCAACUUAUGACUUUUGCAUACACCUAUAUGUAUUGCCAUUAUUAGUUCAUAAAUUUAACCGUGCAUAAGCUUUAAAGUGCCAAAAAGAACUUUACCUACUACAAUUCCAACAGAAAAAUGAACCAUUUGCUUAGUCAAGAUGGAUAGACUAGAACAGUUACAUUUACUUAGCAGGAACUAAUAGGACACCUUGCAGAUCACAUACACAUGAGAAAAUAGAUAACUGUCCUUGUCAAUACACAGCAUCAUAUAAAACAAAUGGCUACAUACAACCUAGUGCUUGGAUAAGUUUCAAUUAAACCAUACAGCACAAAUUGAAUAAACACCAAAUAAUCACAGUUUACAAUAGAGUAGAUCGACCUUAAUGGCACCUCACGCAUCACUCAGUUGAAAAUUGAUCACAAUAUUAAAUGAGCAUUACCUAGUCCAUAAAUCCCACCAAGCCUGUCACUAGAGGAAUUUUAAUCGCAACAAUCAGAAAAUGGCAGAUCUCAAAUAACUAAUGCUUAGAAAAUUCAAAAUCUGCAAAUACAAAAAGUAAACAUUAGAUAGCCAUGACCUACCAGUUGACAUUAUUAUUAUAAAUCUAAUAAGGCAAUGGGUUUAACAAAAAGAUUGAGACAAUCAUAUAGGCCAAAAUAAAGUGAGAUAAGAUAACAUAGACGGUGGAGGCAAUGCGGGUGCUGCAGAGGUCACAAAACGGUAGCCCAAUGUGAGAGCACAUCGCAACUCAGCUUAAGUAGAUCAAUUUAUUUAUCAAAGAAGCCGAUUACAACCUAACUUAUCCACUUGAACACAUGAAUAGGACUCUGUAACAGGGCCCAUCUAUUGGCAUACACACAUUGACUAGAUGACAACUAGGUAGAAGAACUCCUCGCCAUCGCCACCAAUCAACGCCUCCUCUUCCCUGCCUUUGCCUUCAAGGUUCAAGCACAUCCUGCUACAUGUUUUUGACUUGUAAUCCGAUUACUUGCCUCCUCAACUCUCAGCAACGUGAAGGACAUCAGUGAGUUUAAUUCGGUUGUACGUGCUCCCACAUUGACCAAAAAAAAAACAAGAGAAAGCAAGUUACUCAUGUGGCCUGAAAUAAACUCUGCAAUAAACACAAAGAGAGGGGGAAAAUCGAACCUUCUUCAAGCGAUUUGGGCCAGCAGGACUGGAAGACCAGGAGGAUUUGAUUGAUGCGGCUAGAUGACUGUCCAGUACACCAGCUCCUCGACAGAUGGCUCCUUUUCACUCCCUUGGCGCUCGAGGAUUUCUUCCGCAACAACUUCCGGAGCUUUCUCCUGGUCACGGCCGUUCUGCGCCUCGGUCACGACGAGGCAGCCGCGGUGGCCGGAAGAGGGAGCAGCUGGACCUCGCCGACGGCGCAGGGCAAGGCUGCGGUCCAGGAUCGCCGACGACCAACCUGCAGCCUCGGAGUCGUCGGCGAGAAGGAGAUCCCCACAGCGGCCUCUCUUCUUCUCGCCGGGGUCGCGCAUCUGCGCCGGCUGGACGGGAUCCACGAACGUGAAAGAGCCGAGCAUGGCGUUCGCUCCCUGAAGUGGGAUCUCGACGGACGACAUAGCGGCGGCUGUCGAAAUCGAAACCCUAGAUCUGGCUUGGAGCAACGAAACCGCGGGAGGAAGGAAAGAAUUGAGCGGAAGCAGAGAUGAGAAAUUAUCGAUCUGGACGAGGUUGAAUACGACUUUAUAGAAAACAAGUCAAAUACGUAUUUUAUACUUAAAAAUCGAUACGUGUUUUACACAAUAGGAAAUUAGGAAGUGCUCGGAUUUAUUUAUUUUUGAGCAAAAGGUAAGUGCUGAUUGGCUAUUUUUAAAUUAAUCUUCUUUUGAUUGUUAUCAACACUUUGACAAUCACUAGUUAUUUUUUCUUUUAGCGAAAUCACCUUUUAGCAGAGCUCUGUAAAUUUUCUGUUUGUCACUCUUUGCGUUAAACUGACGGUGUUUUUUUUUUUUUUAACAAAAAACUGAAGGUGUUUUGCCAAGUGACGAGCAGCUACGCGAUGGGCGACCCAGUUUCAUCAAACUAGCCGGUCUUGAAAACCAUUUAGGAGGUUCCUUAAACCGAAUUUUCUGGCCUUUUUCUUUCUUCUUUUUUCUUUUGUUUCUGUUUCUUUUUUUUCUUUUUCUUUUUUGCUUUCUGUUUCUUCCUUUUCCCUUUUUUCGAAGUUCUUUUAUCUACUUUAAAACUAAGAUCAGGUAUAAAAAUUGUUCUCAAAAAUUGAAAAAAAAUGUUUUUAAAAAUAUUCUAAAUUUUAAAUAAUUUUCAUUUUAAAACAAUAUUCAUAACUUUAAAUAUGUUCGGGAUUUCCCAAAAAUAUGUUCAAGAUUUAUAAUUUUGGAUCAUUUCUACAUAAAAUGUUACUAUUAUCAAAUUUUGUUCAUAAAUUGAAAAUUUUGUUCAUAAAUUGAAAAUUUUGUUCGGUUUGUUUCAAAAAAUGUUCACAUUAUUAAAUUUUGUUUACAAAACAAAAACCAUUUGUUUUCAAUAAAUUUCCCAUGUUUAAAAAUUUAUUUGGAAAUUCAAAAAAGUUCACAUGUUUAAAUUUUGUUCAUAAAUUAUAGUAUGUAUGGGAAUUUUAAAAAAUGUUCCUAUUUUGCAAAUUUGUUUACAAAUAUAAAAAUGUUCUGGAACUUCAAAAAUUAUUCCCUUUUAUACAAAUUUGUUCAAAUAUUCAAAACAUAUAUUCAAUUUCAAAAUUUGUUCACAUAUUUAAAAAAUGUUCAUGUUAUUCACAAAUUCAGAAAAUGUUCACAUGUUUAAUUUUGGUUCACAAAUUCUAAAAUAUUUUUUAAUUUCCAAAUAUGCUCAUGUUUUCCAAAUUUGUUCACAUAUUCUGAAAAUUCUACAGUUUUCAAAUUUUGUCCACAAAUUUAAAAAAUGAUCCAUGUUCUCGAAAUUAGUUUGCCAAUUAAAAAAUAGAUUUUUUUUGUAAAAAUAGUUUAAUUUCGAAAAAUGUUCACCAUUUCAAUUUGUUUAUUUAAAGAAAAAUCGUGUUUACAAGAAGUAGUCAUAAUUUAGAAAUUAUUCCCCUAUUCAAUUUUUUGUUCUUAUUUGUUUUAAAAAUAUAUAGUAUUUGAGUUUUGUAAACUUUUUCCCUUAAAAAAUUAUCCUUCAAAUUUUAAAACAAGUUUUAAUCUGGCGUGGAUUAUUGUAUAAAUAUAUUUUUUGUUGCUCUACACUAAACCUGUAUUACGAGAGUGGCUAUGGACUACUCCCUCCUUUCUGGUUUAUUGGGCUUAAAUCUGAAAUAUCAUCAACCAAGGUGAAUUAUGAGUGGAUGUCACUAGUUUUAAGUAGCCAAUGAAAUAUUUCUCACGUAUUCAAUUUUUGAGGCAAUAAAUGUUGCAUCCUCCUUCUCAUUUGACUUGCAUGAUGGAUGUAAAAAAGAUGCAUGCAUAACCAUUAAUUUCCUUUCUCUAAUCUUUAUGAAUUAAAUAUGGCAUAGAGCUCAAAGCACUUUUAACUCAAUUAGACUCAAAAUGAGCCUAAUAUAAUGGAAAUCUAAAUUUUUUAAGAUAAGCCCUAUAAACCUGAAAUGAGGGAGUAGCUUCCAUGGCGUGAGGACAAAGUUCACUCACUCACCCACAAAUUUUAUUUUGUCAAAUUUGGUGAACUUUGUUUUAUUGUUCGCGGCUUCUUAUUGUUCUUUAAUACUCUCGCUGUGAUUGUUUUAGAGUAAGGUGCCUAUCAUAGUGGCUCGCGCAUCGCGGACAUCUAUAGCAGGUCGCAGGUUCGAUUCCUAGGUAGCGCGUCUUUAUAUUUUUUGAUUCUUCAUUUCGCCAAGGACAUCGAAUGAGACGGCCCAUGUGACUGUCUCCUGUGCGAAGCUGCGCCUCUUAGAGCCAUAGUAAGCGUCACAUAGGAGGUCCCAGAGUUUUGACCAUCCAUGGCAAGUUAAAAUUCGGCUAAUGGGCCACGUUACAUUGUCCAUUUCCAAAUUUGAUUUGAUUAUGUAUUAGUGCAAAGAAAAAAUUAGCGUGCUAAUGGAGCCACAGUCUGGUCGGACGAUCACCCUUGGUCUCUCAAGGACGACGAUGUGCCUUAAGAGUGGUUGUGCGGGACACUUCCGCUCCGAGUGCUAGGCCCCACCCCGAUGCCCCAUGACCCUUGCUUACUUGGGGUACGGUGUGGAAGGGAAGGGUUCUACUACGUUGUCGUCAUGUUGGACGAUGAGUCCGCCCAUCGAGAUUACUUUCAAUCUCAUAUGGGAGGAGUGUGUGCCUACAUCGGUGACUACACGGACAACGACUUCUCUUGCGAGCUCAUGGAGACAACCCAGUGGUCUUCUCAGUGUUGUUUCCAUCGGUCGAGAUGCUCCGUGUUUGCACCCGCGACAACAUCAAGUGUUUGAUCAAUAAGUUCCUGGGCUCCAUUCAGGAGGCUAGGGUGGAGCCUGACCCGGUCGUCCCUCUCGCUCAUGUGUGGAUCAUUGUCUAUGGGCUCCCGAGGGGGGCCAAGGUCGAGCGUAUUAUCAAGGCGGUAUCAGAGCCGACAUGCAAGCUCUUGAGAGUUGACCUUCAGUCCUUGGAGGGUCAUGUCCUCACUCUCAUCAAGGUGCUCUGCACGACGCCUGCUGACAUGGACGAGUUGUCGUUGAUAUUCUACUCUUGCAAGAAAGGAGAGCGACUCACAUAUGAGGUGGACCUAGAAGACCUUGAGAGUAGGGUGUGCCCCGUACCCGCCCCCUCCGUCGGCUUCCUUUAUUGGUCGAGAGGAUGAGGACGUGGACUCCUUUGAGAAGAGUUCCACUAAUGACAAGGGCGGGUCUCCCUCUCAGUUUGCUCACGAGCGCGGGGCUUGUGUCUCGGCAAGGCCAGGCUUGGGGCCCUUUGGGGUGUCCGCCCUCGCGUUGAUCAGUGGGCAAGCGUCUUCAGUUACUCCAACAACUGCUCGGCCUGCCUCCCCACUCUGGUCAUGUGUGAUGGGUCCCCUCGGCUCUUCCCUCGGAAGGAGGAUGAUACGUUAAUUGUGGGAUAGGACAUGUGUCCUUCGUCAUCCACCACCUCCCCUGCACUAGUGUGCUACUCCCUCUCGCCAGGGACCCCUAUCACGCCCAAGAUGCGACCCUAUCCUCAAUUUGGCACGAAGGCCUCGUCAGGGAUAGAAGCGCAUCUCGUCUUGUCGCAAGAAUGGAUAUCAUUACAAGUACAUGUACUGAAAAGAAGAUAUAUAUAUAUAUAUAUNNNNNNNNNNNNNNNNNNNNNNNNNNNNNNNNNNNNNNNNNNNNNNNNNNNNNNNNNNNNNNNNNNNNNNNNNNNNNNNNNNNNNNNNNNNNNNNNNNNNNNNNNNNNNNNNNNNNNNNNNNNNNNNNNNNNNNNNNNNNNNNNNNNNNNNNNNNNNNNNNNNNNNNNNNNNNNNNNNNNNNNNNNNNNNNNNNNNNNNNNNNNNNNNNNNNNNNNNNNNNNNNNNNNNNNNNNNNNNNNNNNNNNNNNNNNNNNNNNNNNNNNNNNNNNNNNNNNNNNNNNNNNNNNNNNNNNNNNNNNNNNNNNNNNNNNNNNNNNNNNNNNNNNNNNNNNNNNNNNNNNUAUAUAUAUAUAUAUAUAGAACCGGCUUACACUCGCCACAAGCUACAUCAGAGUCACAGCAGUACAAUACAUAAACAUCAUGAUGAAGAGCAGGGUCCGACUAUGGACGAAAACAAACGAAAAAAUAAGAACGACGUCCAUCCUUGCUAUCCCAGGUUGUCGGCUUGGAACCCAUCCUAGAUCGAUGAAGAAGAGGAAGAAGAAGCAACUCCAAAUGAACAAUCAACGUGUUCGCGUCAAGUAACAUUUACCUGUACCUGCAACUGGUGUUGUAGUAAUAUGUGAGCCACAAGGGACUCAGCAAUCUCAUUUCCAAAGGUAUCAAGACUAGCAAAGCUUAAUGGGUGAGGUAAGGUUAAGUGAUGAGGUUGCAGCAGCGGCUAAGCAUAUAUAUAUGGUGGCUAACUUACGAGUACAAGAAAAUAAGAGGGGGAAGAUCUACGCAUAGCGGACGUGAACUAUUGAUGAUCAAAGGAAUGAUCCUGAACACCUACCUACGUCAGACAUAACCCCACCGUGUCCUCGAUCGGAGAAGGAACUCACGAAAGAGACAGUCACGGUUACGCACACGGUUGGCAUAUUUUAAUUAAGUUAACUUCAAGUUAUCUAGAACCAGUGUUAAACAAAGUUUCCACGUUGCCACAUAACCGCGGGCACGACUUUCCAAAAAGAUUUAACCCUACAGGGGUGCUCCUACUAGUCCAUCACAAAUUACCACACAUCGGAUUCCUUAGUGGAAAACCUCUACUCUGAGAUUACCCAAAGCAUCAUCGGAAUCCCGAUGCACAAGAUAUUUCAUCAAAGGUAAAACUAAUCCAGCAAGGCCGCCCGACGUGUCGACGAUCCCGAUAGGAGCCGCGUAUCUCGUUCUCAGGACACGACAGAUGGAAAAGCCUACAGGUACCAAACCUCGAGUUGCCCCGUGGUGGCCCCGCAGUUUGCCCAAUUUGGACCAACACUCAUGAGGAGCAUUGGCCCGGGGGUUGAUUAAUUAUCCUUGGGGUCCGGAAAGUCCCUAUGCAAUUUUAUUAGGUUAUUAGGCAAAUGCAGUACCAAAGUUGGGCCUUGCCAGACCAACUUUAAUCUAAAACGAAUUAUCAAGGGGGUCCCCAUAACAACCCCGAUCGUGUUAGGAGCGCUCAAUUAUGGAACAUAACACCGGUAGCCGAAACUAAGGGGCCAAAGGUGGAACAAAACACCAGGCUAGAAAGGCCGAGCCUUCCACCUUUUACCAAGUAUACAGGUCCAUUAAAUUAAAUAGCAUUUAAUAGGGUGAUAUAACAAGGAACCCAUGUUUUCGCAUGGAAGCAACUGCACCUACAACUAGCAACGCUAACACAGGGUUAAGCAAGCGGUAACAUAGCCAAUCAGUGGUUUGCUAGGUUGAACAGGUUGAAGUUUUCAUGGCAUUGUUGAGAGGCUGAUAUUUAACAUGUGGUAGGCAACGAGACAUAAUCGAUAGAAGCGAUAAAACUAGCAUGGCAACAAUAGUAAUGGUAUCUGGGGAAAUGGUCAUCUUGCCUGAGAUCCCGCUUGGAAGAAGAAUGCCUCCGUGAAGCAGACGAAUCGACGUAGUCGAACGGGUCCUCACAAUCCGGCACGCUGCGGAACUCUAUCGAGACGAAGCAAACCGGAAACACAAAUCAACACACGGAAUUCACCACACGAUACACAACACAAAUGAUGCAUGAGCAGCUGAAUACAUGCAAGUCACGGCAUGGCAAAUCACACAAACAAACACUACACAUUAAGCGAAGUUCAAUAUGCAACGAGUUGCAUAUUGACGAAACUCCACGUUUAUUUAUUUAGUUCUAUCCCGAAUAGGUACACGACAAUAUUAAAUGUGAUUAAACAUGGCAAGAGGUGAAGCGAAAUUUAAUCUACCUAUCUAGGCAUUUUAAAUGAGGUCGGAAAUGACAUAUAGCAUCUCCGAGAUGACCUCACAUGUUAAUUUACAAUUCUGUCCAGAUCUGAACUAACACAUUUAAUUAGUUGUUAAACAGAAAAACAAAUAGGAUCACGUGAUUCUACGCGUCGUUACAAGCAAUUUACACAUAGAGAACAUCUCCAACGGAGCUACGGAUCAAAAGAUACGGACACCGCAAGAUAUGAUGGCAUGAAUGCAAUAUGUGUGCAACGGCGGUCACGAGCACUUCAAAACAUACAACCAGCAAGAGAAAAAUGAAACUACACGAGAUUCUAAGCAAUUUUCAUGUAGGACACGAUCAAAUCGGAGCUACGGAUCAAAAGAUACGAGCAAAACAAGAAAUCACUACAAUUUGCCAAAAUCAGCCACAUAGAAUUUUCUACACCCGACAACUACGAGCUACAACAUCCCAAUAGGCUCAAGUAAGGCAUGAGACGAAAGAGGGCAAGAAGCACUACAACAAAAAACUAACAACAACUAGCAUGACAUCAUGGAUCACUAGGAAAAGAAGUCACAAAGUGGCUUCUCACACACUAUUUCAGACUUAGUGAAAAUAGCAGUUUAUGAAGUUGCAGUUUUUGAUCUGAAGGCAUAUUGACAGCAACAAAACCAUAAGCUACAGGACUCCAAAUGGCAUGAAAAUUCACAGCAUGCUAGAGAAACAUAAAGUCUACAACUAACUCCAUUGGACCAACCUCAAAAGAGCUACAGGUCACAAGAUAGAAGCAAGACAAGACAAGAACAAAAUAUAACAGAUUCCAGACUUAGAAAUAUUUCAACACCUCGAAAUCAGCACUAUUUCUAGCAACUUGAGAGCAAUCAAACCACACCUAAACAUGCAUUUCUAUUGCAACCAAAAAUACCAGGGGCUAGAGUAAACACCAAAGAACAACUCCCUAGUUGACAACUCCUUCAAACGAAGCGCGGAAUAAAUCCUACGUAAUAGACAAGAGGGCAACAUGGCAAAGUAUCGCGUGAACUAACUUGCUCAAAAGCUAAAACUAAUUGCACAGAAAAAUCCUAUGGAUUUUUCGACCCCGAAAACACAUAAAACAUGUGGGGUUGCAACACGAAAAUAUUGCCACACGUAAAUGCGAGAUAACGUCCUAUACACGGAAAAUAAACUAGCGACAAAUCCCUACACGCAAAAAUACCAAUGACUACUCUAAAAUACAUGGAAAAGGGGUCCUAGAACAUGAACAUUUCUACCACGGCAUUCGAGCGAUCUGGACACGCGCGAAAAAAUAACUACGGGCAAAAACAUUAUAGACAUCACACGUUUCUAGGCAUAUGGCACGCUAAACGACGUCAAACAAUUAUGCAAGUUGCAAAAUCGUAUUCUAUGCGCAAAACUACACGAAAUCCAUAUGCUACACGCCUCGUUCCGACACACGGUUAAAAAGUUACGGGAAAAAGAAUAAUCGUCUAUUCCCUGGAAUUUAACUAAACCGAAAAAACCUACUUUAACUAACGGCCCUAACAGAGAGGGCGCGACCACUAUGUGACGCCUAGUGCGCGAAAUAGGCAGGCAAAGGGGGGAUUCACCUGAGGGCCACACGGGCCAGGUCGCGAGGUGCUUGGGCCGAGGGGCGCUGCAAUGGAGGCGCUUGGAGGAAUCCGAACAGGGGGGGGCUCCUCACUGGGCCGGCUUGGGGCCCAGCCGAGGAGGGGAUCCGGCCUGCUCGGGCAGGAGGUCAACGCCAGCGAGGAACGAGGGUUCCUCGUCCUCCCGAUGCCUGACGAGGCGAGGACAUGGCGGCGGGAGCACAGCUUGGCGGUAGGCAACUCCGGCCAGGGACUGCGAGCUCCGACCGGCGGGACUGCGAGCUCCGGCCGGCGGGACUGCGGGAACGAGCAGCUCCGGCCUGCCUGCUCCGGAUCCAUGUGACGGCGGCGCGAAACGGGCGCGGGGCGGUGAUACGUCUCAAGCGUAUCUAUAAUUUUCGAUGGUUUCAUGUUGUUAUCUUGUCAUCUUUGGAUGUUUUAUGUACCUUUUAUAUCUUUUUUGGGACUAACUUAUUAAUUCAGUGCCAAGUGCCAGUUCCCGUUUUUUCUGUGUUUUUGGCUCUUUUCAGAUCUGAUUUUGGAACGGAGUCCAAACGGAAUAAAGUCUCCGAAAUGAUUUUUUCCCGAACGGAAGAAGAUCAGGGGGGCUAUGGGCCAAGCCAAGAGGGCUCCAGGGAGCCCACACGCCCCCACUCCGCCACCAGGGGGGAGGCGGCGGUGGCAGGGCUUGUGGCCUCCCAGGCCACCCCCUGACCUAGAACUUCGGCCUAUAUAUUCCCUAAAAUACAGCAAAAAAUCACGGGAGCCUCGAAAUUACUUUUCCGCCGCUGCAAGCUUCCGUUUUCGCGAGAUCUCAUCUGGAGACCCUUCCCGGCGCCCUGCCGGAGGGGACUUUGGAGUUGGAGGGCUUCUUCAUCAUCAUCAUUGCCCCUCCAAUGACUCGUGAGUAGUUCACUUCAGACCUACGGGUCCGUAGUUAGUAGCUAGAUGGCUUCUUCUCUCUCUUGGAUCUUCAAUACAAAGUUCUCCAUGAUCUUCAUGGAGAUCUAUCCGAUGUAAUCUUCUUUGGUGGUGUGUUUGUCGAGAUCCGAUGAAUUGUGGAUUUGUGAUCAGAUUAUCUAUGAUAUAUAUUUGAGUCUUUACUGAUUUCUUAUAUGCAUGAUUUGAUAUCCUUGUAAGUCUCUCCGAGUCUUGGGUUUUGUUUGGCCAACUAGAUCUAUGAUUCCUGCAAUGGGAGAAGUGCUNAGUAAUUUGUUCACCCACUGUCUACUUGUUUUCAUGAGAGAAGCCACUAGUAAACACUACGGCCCCCGGGUCUAUUCACAUCUAUCGUUUCCACUUUUGCUUUUACUUUGCUUUGUUACUUUGUUGCUUUCAGUUCUCGCUUGGCGAACAAUCUAUAAGGGAUUGACAACCCCUUCAUAGCGUUGGGAGCUAGCUUUUUGUGUUUGUGCAGGAUCUUGUGAUACUCCUCCAGUGGAUUGAUACCUUGGUUCUCAAACUGAGGGAAAUACUUACCACCGCUGUGCUACAUCACCCUUUCCGCUUUGAGGGAACACCAACGCAAGGCUCCAAGUCCACGGGGGAAAUCCUUUGCAUAUUUGCUUAGGAAGUCCCUUAAGGCGUAGCCGCAGCAGAAGAAUUCCUGGUGUCGUCGACACGACUAUUCCUGGCGCCGCUGCCAGGGAAGCACAGCUGACAUCAUAAGUAUUUAUGGCACCGUUGCCGGGGAGGAGAGAUCAAGAUCUAUCCAAGUAGGUCUCACAAACUCAUCUCUUGCAUUUACUUUUGUUGCCAGUUGCCUCUCGCUUUCCUCUCCCCCACUUCACAUUUGCCGUUUUCAUUUGCCUUUCUCCUUCGCCGUUUUCUUUUACCUUUGUCGUUGCCGGUUUUCUUGCUUGCUUGUGUGCUUGUUUGUUUGUUGAAGCCAUCAUGGCUGAAAACAGCAAACUUUGCGACUUCUCGAGCACUAAUAAUAAUGAUUUUAUUAGUACUCCAAUUGCUCCCGCCACUAGUGCGGAAUCGUAUGAAAUCAACGCAGCUUUGCUGAAUCUUGUUAUGAAAGAGCAAUUCUCUGGCCUUCCUAGCGAAGAUGCCACAUCCCAUCUCAAUACCUUCAUUGAACUUUGUGAUAUGCAAAAGAAAAGAGAUGUGGAUAAUGAUGUGAUUAAGUUGAAACUUUUUCCUUUCUCGUUGCGAGAUCGUGCAAAAACUUGGUUUUCUUCUUUGCCUAAAAAUAGUAUCAAUUCUUGGGAUAAGUGCAAAGAUGCUUACAUAUCCAAGUAUUUUCCGCCGGCUAAGAUCAUCUCCUGACGUAACGAUAUCAUGAAUUUCAAGCAACUUGAUCAUGAACACGUUGCGCAAUCUUGGGAGAGGAUGAAGCUUAUGAUUAGAAAUUGUCCCACUCAUGGCUUGAGUUUGUGGAUGAUUAUACAAAUCUUUUACGCUGGCUUGAAUUUCGCUUCUCGCAGUAUCUUGGACUCCGCCUCAGGUGGAACAUUCUUGGAAAUCACGUUAGGAGACGCUACAAAGCUCCUAGACAAUAUCAUGACCAACUACUCUCAGUGGCACACUGAAAGGUCGCCCACUAGCAAAAAGGUGCACGCCAUAGAAGAAAUUAACUCGCUUAGUGCUAAGAUGGACGAGUUGAUGAAUUUGGUUGCUAGUAGAAACGCUACCGUAGAUCCUAAUGACAUGCCACUAUCUUCUUUGAUUGAGAGUAGCAACGCUAGUUUGGACGUGAAUUUUGUUGGUAGGAACAAUUUUGGCAACAACAACGCUUUUAUAGGAAACUAUGUUCCUAGGCCUUUUCUAGUAACUCCUCUAACAAUUAUGGGAAUUCCUACAACAACACUUAUGGAAAUCACAACAAAUUACCCUCUGAUUUAGAGAGUAAUAUCAAAGAGUUCAUUAACUCUCAAAAGAUUUUCAAUGCGUCCAUAGAGGAAAAACUACUCAAAAUAGACGAUUUGGCUAAGAGCGUUGAUAGGAUGUCUUGUGAUAUUGAUGCUUUGAAAGUUAGAUGCGCUCCUCCCAAGGUCAACUUGGAUGUAUCUUUGAAAGCUAUGCGUGUCUCCAUGAAUGAGAGCAAAGAAAGAAACGCCCAAAUUCGCGCUAGGCAUGAAUGGUUUAAAAGGGUGUGUUCUAGUGAUGCAAAUCACGAGGAUCUUAAAGUGCUUGGUGUGUCUCCUCUUAAAUCUUUGUUUUCGUGUGUCAAACCUAUUUAUGGAGGGGCUGGAUAUGAAUCCACUUUGGUUGAAAAACGCCCCAAUGAUUCGGAGUCCACCCAUCUUGAUGAUAAAGGUGUGGAGAGUUGAGUAGAAGAAGUCAAAAUUUUGGGUAGUAAUGAAACUCCCACUUUGGAUUUCAAGGAAUUCAAUUAUGAUAAUUGCUCCUUGUUUGAAUGCAUUUCUUUGAUGCAAUCCAUUGCAAACUCUCCACGUGCUUAUAGCCAAAGCAAAGCCUUUACCGCGCAUAUCGUAGAUGCUAUGAUGAAAUCUCUUGAAGAGAAGCUCGAAUUAGAAGUCUCUAUACCUAGAAAACUUCAUGAUGAGUGGGAACCUACUAUCAAAAUCAAGAUCAAAAACUAUGAGUGCAAUGCUUUGUGUGAUUUGGGUGCUAGUGUUUCCGCGAUUCCAAAGUCUUUAUGUGAUAUUCUUGGUUUUCAUGAGAUUGAAGAGUGUUCUCUUAAUUUGCAUCUUGCGGAUUCUAUUGUCAAGAAACCCAUGGGAAGGAUCGAUGAUGUUCUUAUUGUUGCAAAUAAGAACUAUGUACCCGUGGAUUUCAUUGUACUUGACAUAGAUUGCAAUCCUUCAUGUCCCGUUAUUCUUGGUAGACCUUUCCUAAGGACUAUUGGUGCUAUCAUCGAUAUGAAGGAAGGGAAUAUUAGAUUUCAAUUUCCUUUGAAGAAGGGCAUGGAGCACUUUCCUAGAAAGAAAAUAAGAUUGCCUUAUGAAUCUAUGAUGAGGGCUACUGAUGUUUUGAGCACCAAAGAUGACUAUACGUGAUUUCAUCACCUUUCGCCUAGCUAAGGGCGUUAAACAAAAGCGCUUGUUGGGAGGCAACCCAACGAAUCUAUCCUUUUUCUUUCUGUUUUGUGUUUUCCACACUUUCAUAAUUCUGUUAUGAUUGUGUUUUUUGUGUUUUUUUUGCGUUUGUGCCAAGCAAAACCGUUAUGAUUAGUCUUGGGGAUGAUCGUUUGGUCAUGCUGGAAAAGACAGAAACUUUCUGCUCACGAAAAGAAUUUUCAUUUUUUGUCUGUAAGAGCUUUUGAGUUGAUUCUUUUUGCUUCUGAUUUGUAAGCAAAUUAUUCAGGCUGUAGUAAUGUUUCAGAAUUUUUGAAGUACCAUAGGUAUACGAAAUAUACAGAUUGCUACAGACUGGUCUGCUGUUAACAGAUUCUGUUUUUGUUGUGUUGGUUGCUUAUUUUGAUGAAACUAUGGAUAGUACCGGGGGGUAUUAGCCAUGGAAGAUUGAAAAUACAGUAACCCAACAUCAGCACAAGUAGAAUUUAAGUUUGCUACAGUACCUAAGGAAGUGGUGGUUUGCUUUCUCAUACUAAUGUUAUCAUGAGUUUCUGUUUAAGUUUCGUGUUGUGAAGUUUUCAAGUUUUGGGUGAAGUUCUUAUGGACAAAGAGAUAAAGAGUGGCAAGAGAUCAAGCUUGGGGAUGCCCAAGGCACCCCAAGAUAUUCAAGGAUGCCGUAAAAGCCUAAGCUUGGGGAUGCCCCAGGAAGGCAUCCCCUCUCUCGUCUUCAAUCCAUCGACAACGUUACUUGGGGCUAUAUUUUUAUUCACCACAUGUUAUGUGUUUUUGCUUGGAGCAUCUUGUAUCGUAGGAGUCUUUUAUUUUUGUUGUGUCACAAUCAUCCUUGCUGCACACCUAGAGAGAGAGAGACAUGCACUCACCGUGAUUUUGUCGAGCUUCACUUAUAUCUUUUGGUAGACAAUUCAUCUCACAUGUGCUUCACUUAUAUCUUUUGAGCUAGAUACUUUUGCUCUAUGUGCUUCACUUAUAUCUUUUGGUAGACAAUUCAUCUCACAUGUGCUUCACUUAUAUCUUUUGAGCUAGAUACUUUUGCUCUCUGUGCUUCACUUAUAUCUUUUAUAGCGCAGCGGUGCGUGGCUUGGUAGUUGAUCUAUGCUUUGAAAGUAGUCUCAAAAGGGGUAGUUAUGCAAAGGGAUACGAAAACUUCCACCUUCAUGUGAACUGAAUUGUUAGAGAAGUUUGAUUCAUCUCAAUUAGUUUUGAGUUGUGGUUAUGGUAAUAUUGAAGUCAUGAUAGUAAGGUGUUGUGGAUCUAGAAAUACUUUUGUUGAAGUUAGUGAUUCCCGUAGCAUGCACGUAUGGUGAACCGCUAUGUGAUGAAAUCUGAGCAUGAUUAGUCUAUUGAUUGUCAUCCUUUGCGUGGCGGUCGGGAUCACGCGAUGGUUUAUACCUACCAACCCUUCCCCUAGGAGUAUGCGUUGAAUGCUUUGUUUCGAUUACUAAUAAAACUUUUGCAACAAGUAUAUGAGUUCUUCAUGACUAAUGUUGAGUCCUUGGUUUAGAUGCACUUUCACCUUCCACCAUCACUAUCUUCUUAGUGCCGUGCAACUUCCGCCGGUGCACAAAACCCACCAUUAGCCUCCCUGAAAACAGCCACCAUACCUACCUACUAUGGCCUUUUCAAAGUCAUUCCGAGAUAUAUUGCCAUGCAACUACCACCAUGACAUGUGCCACCACGUCUACAUUGCCAUUGCAUGAUCGUAAGAUAGCUAGCAUGAUGUUUCCAUUAAUGUCUAUGCCAUGCUGGAUCAUUGUCACGGUACACUACCGAAGGCAUUCCAUAUAGAGUCAUCGUUGCUCUAAGUUUUGAGUUGAAAGUGUGAUGAUCAUCAUUAAUGGAGCAUUGUCCCAUGUGAGGAAAUAAAAGAUCCCAAAUAAGCCCACCAAAAUAAAAAAAGAGGCCAAAGAGCCCACCAAAAAUUUAAAAAAAAUGAGAGAAAAAGAGAGAAGGGACAAUGCUACCACUUUUUCCACACUUGUGCUUCAUAUUAAGCACCAUGAUCUUCAUGAUUGAGAGUCUCUCGUUUUGUCACCACCAUAUAGCUAGUGGGAAAUUUUCAUUAUAUAACUUGGCCUGUAUAUUUCAAUGAUAGGCUUCCUCAAAAUUGCCUUAGGUCUUAGUGAGCAAGCAAGUUGGAUGCACACCCACUAGUUUUCUUUAAGAGCUUUCACUUACUCGUAGCUCUAGUGCAUCAUUUGUAUGGCAAUCCCUACUCAUUCACAUUGAUAUCUAUUGGUGAGCAUCUCCACAGCUCAUUGAUAUGCCUAGUUAAUGUGACUAUCUUCUCCUUUUUUCUUGCAACCUCCACCACACUCCACACCAUCUAUAGUGCUAUAACCAUGGCUAACGCUCAUGUAUUACGUGAGAGUUGAAAAGGUUUGAGAAAGUAAAGGUGUGAAACAAUUACUUGGACAAUACCGGGGUUGUGCAUGAUUUAAAUUCGUUGUGCAAUGAUGAUAGAGCAUAGCCAGACUAUAUGCUUUUGUAGGGAUAACUUUCUUUUCGCCUUGUUAUUUUGAAAGUUCAUGAUUACCUUGCUAGUUUGCUUAAAUUAUUAUUGUUUCCACGUCAAUAGCAAACUAUUGUUUUGAAUCUAAUGAAUCUGAACAUUCACGUCACAUAAGAGGAGUUACAAAGGACAUCUAUGCUAGGUAGCAUGAAAACAUCAAAAAUUCAUUCUUUAUCACUUCCGUACUCGAGGACGAGCAGGAGUUAAGCUUGGGGAUGCUUGAUACGUCUCAAACGUAUCUAUAAUUUUCGANNNNNNNNNNNNNNNNNNNNNNNNNNNNNNNNNNNNNNNNNNNNNNNNNNNNNNNNNNNNNNNNNNNNNNNNNNNNNNNNNNNNNNNNNNNNNNNNNNNNNNNNNNNNNNNNNNNNNNNNNNNNNNNNNNNNNNNNNNNNNNNNNNNNNNNNNNNNNNNNNNNNNNNNNNNNNNNNNNNNNNNNNNNNNNNNNNNNNNNNNNNNNNNNNNNNNNNNNNNNNNNNNNNNNNNNNNNNNNNNNNNNNNNNNNNNNNNNNNNNNNNNNNNNNNNNNNNNNNNNNNNNNNNNNNNNNNNNNNNNNNNNNNNNNNNNNNNNNNNNNNNNNNNNNNNNNNNNNNNNNNNNNNNNNNNNNNNNNNNNNNNNNNNNNNNNNNNNNNNNNNNNNNNNNNNNNNNNNNNNNNNNNNNNNNNNNNNNNNNNNNNNNNNNNNNNNNNNNNNNNNNNNNNNNNNNNNNNNNNNNNNNNNNNNNNCUUGUGGCCUCCCAGGCCGCCCCCUGACCUAGAUCUUCGGCCUAUAUAUUCCCUAAAAUACAACAAAAAAUCACGGGAGCCUCAAAAAUACUUUUCCGCCGCUGCAAGCUUCCGUUUCCGCAAGAUCUCAUCUGGAGACCCUUCCCGACGCCCUGCCGGAGGGGACUUUGGAGUUGGAGGGCUUCUUCAUCAUCAUCAUCGCCCCUCCAAUGACUCGUGAGUAGUUCACUUCAGACCUAUGGGUCCGUAGUUAGUAGCUAGAUGGCUUCUUCUCUCUCUUGGAUCUUCAAUACAAAGUUCUCCAUGAUCUUCAUGGAGAUCUAUCCGAUGUAAUCUUAUUUGGCGGUGUGUUUGUCGAGAUCAGAUGAAUUGUGGAUUUGUGAUCAGAGUAUCUAUGGUAUAUAUUUGAGUCUUUGCUGAUUUCUUAUAUGCAUGAUUUGAUAUCCUUGUAAGUCUCUCCGAGUCUUGGGUUUUGUGUGGCCAAGUAGAUCUAUGAUUCUUGCAAUGGGAGAAGUGCUNAGUAAUUUGUUCACCCACCGUCUACUUGCUUUCAUGAGAGAAGCCACUAGUAAACACUACGACCCCCGGGUCUAUUCACAUUUAUCGUUUACACUUUCGCUUUUACUUUGCUUUGUUACUUUGUUGCUUUCAGUUCUCACUUGUUGAACAAUCUAUAAGGGAUUGACAACCCCUUCAUAGGUUUACUUGGGUCUACUUGGGAGCAAGCUUUUUGUGUUUGUGCAGGAUCUUGUGAUACUCCUCCAAUGGAUUGAUACCUUGGUUCUCAAACUGAGGGAAAUACUUACCACCGCUGUGCUACAUCACCCUUUCCGCUUCGAGGGAACACCAACGCAAGGCUCCAAGGCCACGGGGGAAAUCCUUUGCAUAUUUGCCUAGGAAGUCCCUUAAAGCGUAGCCGCAGUAGAAGGAUUCCUGGUGCCGUCGACGCGACUAUUCCUGGCGCCGUUGCCAGGGAAGCACAACUGACAUCACGUGGCGCGCGGCUUCGCCAGAUCUGGCAGCAGCGGCUACUGCAGCAGGAGGCGCCAUGGACGGCGGGCUGCUGCUGGCUGCAUGGCUUGGCCUGGCCAGAGGGCGGCGCGGGGUAGAUAGGGCGGCGGGAGCUGCUCGGGGCACCUCGGCAAGGGGCUGGUGGGGUUGCCCCGGCGCGGCAGCUCCACGAGGAGCUCGGCCAUGGGAGGAGAAUGAGGGCGGCGGCCGGAUGGGCUUCAGGCGGGCCGCGCGUGGGCUCGGGCGGGCCCGGUGGCUGGGGGAGGAGAGAGAGGUGGGGGAGUCAGUGUGUGGGGGGCACGGAAAUCGAGGCAGGGUCUAGGGUUUGCCUAAAAAAUAGGAGGGGGUCUAUAUAUAGAGAAAAGGGGGGCUAGGUUAACCGGAAAUUCGUUCCGGAUCCAACCGUGGGGUCGGAUUCGAACGAUUCCGCACGCGGGAACGGGUACGUGGCUGUGGAGAGUGGUUUACUGGAGACGAGAGGGCAAACGGGCGGCGCGGCAACAAGUUUUAAAACACCGACAAACGUGUGACGGUAGACCGAAUACGGUGCCACUACGGUCGACCGUUCGGGUACCAGACAGAAUCCGAUCGCGACGAAACUUGACAGGAGGCCUACCUAUAUUAAAAUAACACCGCACGUGAAAUCUCAACCCAAUCAGAGAGAGUUUUACGCGCACUUUUAAAACAAGGUUUCGAUGAUGCCGCGGGCGCGUGCGUGUGUGAACGGGCUCAGAACGAACAAUGACGAGAACCGGCAACUAACAACAGAUGCAACUUUUGAAAACUGGCGGCAACGGGGUGCCGAUGUAAUGCUGACGAUGCGCAUGAUGCGAUGAUGAUCGACAAAAGAAAAAUAGGCACACGACGAAAACGGAAUAGAAGGGGAAUCUUCUGGAACGUCAGCAUUGGGCUGUCACCCCCCCCUUUUCUAGUCGGGUCCCUGAUGAUGGUGCUUGCAACCCUCAUUCGCAUGUCUUGGGGUUGACUACGACCUGCUCCAACUCUCAUGUCGUUUGCCCCAAGGCCCGCCUAGUGUCGCCCCCUCUAUGGCCUCUAGACACAGUGCAUGUCUCUGCAAUGCCCAGUCCAUGUUUGGCGGCCGUGUGUUGACUAUGUUGGGGAAUGUAGUAGAAAACAAAGAAAAUGCCCUACGAUCAACUCGGAACACUAUGAAGAUACAAUAAUGGUUGAGAUCAAGAUAGUUGUCGUCACUGAGUUGCAGAGGAAGACGAGCGUGAUGAUGUUGAUCGCACUUGGAGUCCCUUGAACCAUAAAUGAAUGAUCCCGCCAACCGCCCAUGGACAAUCCCUUGAAUUGAAGACCGAAAGCAAGACCUCUUGCCUUGGUUGCAAGCGUCCAGUCUUCACGAUCAGGUAGCGCUUCGCCGUCCAGAGCUAAUCUUUUUGGGGAAUUAUAGGGAGGAUAUUAGAGACACACGGUGCUUCUAAUUAUGAGGAUUAGAGGAACAAGAUCUAGCUCUAAUUAGUCAACUAGGAUCAACUAGAGCUAGAACUAAAAGAACUAGAGGAGGCUCGAAAACUUGUGUGUUUCAAUAGGGUCAAUACCUCAAGUAUAUAUAGGUUAGAGGGGAGGGAGCGACAGCCACCAAGGAGGGAAAACCUCCUUGGGGCACCGACCAAAGGGGAGGAGUCCAACUCCCCCCCCACACACACAAGGAAAGGGGGCACGUCCACCACUUGGGCCCUUGUGGUCCAAGUUGGCUUCCACCUCAUGGCCUUUUUAGGCCCGUUGAUAUUUUAUUAAAUAUAAAAUUGUUCUAAAUACUUUUAGACCAUUUAAUAUAUAAUUUAACAUCCCAGUAAACAUUUUCCACUUAUAUAUAUGUCGGGGGGAUAACCCCGGGGUAGGCUCAUCGAGCCUGCUCCUUCAUCUCCUGCCCAAAAGGAAUGACCAAGCAUAAUUCUCCAAGGCCCAAGUACUCUGGCCGGCUAGGCUGCGCCUACCGGCUCGAGGACGAGACAACCAACUCUCUGGCCAGCUAGGCAACCCCUGUCGGCUAGAGGUGAGAUGGCUACCUCUUCCUGACCGCCUUGGCCAAGCGAGCUGGCUAGGAAUGAAGCGGUCGUGCCCCAGCCGGCUAGCCAAGCGGGCUAGCCGGCCGGGGAUCUCAAGUCACAUCAGAUCGUAGGUCAUGACGAGACCCUAUGAUUAAAGGUGGCUACGCGUCAGCAAAGGUACUGGAUCAGAGUGCCUGGCAGGUACGAGCGUCGGCGGCCAUGCCGCUGACCUACCCGGCUCUGAUCCAUCACCCAUCAUAGUGUCGGACCGUCAAACUCCCACUCUAUUACUGCACUCGGCGUGGGAACAGUGGAGACGGCCGUACUAUCUGCCCAUGAUGAACCUCGCUAGACGACGUCAGACGUACCGCGCGUGCUCGGCGUCAACCUUACGCGAGAGCUUCAUUGGCUAGCCGGCGGGUCCCACAGCUAGACGGGACCUCGCAGCCGGUGGGCCCCUCAAGUGACAAGACAAGACCCUCAUGGGGCCCCUGGCCGGCCGGCGAGCCUGGCAGCCAGGUCCCACUCUUGUACCCUUUAUUCAUAUUGUAGGCCGGUGGGUUUGUCUAUAAAAAACCCCCGGUCGCCCUCCAUGCAGAGGGUCGGUCGAACAACAGAUCACACUCACCAACCACAUAGAGAGAGGCAGAGACGAGUCGGCUGCUCCCCUCUUCCUCCUCCUCAACACAGCUCCAGGAGCAACCUUGUAAUCCAUCCAUAUACAUCAUACACUCCGGCAGGAUUAGGGGUCUUAUCUAUAUGGAGAGCCCCGAACAUGGGUACAUCGUGCGUUCCAUGCUUGUACCAACCUCGUUCCCAGCGCCCUCCGUUGCCCCUUCGGUUCUCACCGACUUUAGCCUACCUAUGGCAUAUGUUGUGAGUAUUCACCGGCAUUUGGCGCCCACCAUGGGGCCGAUCGCGGCAUCGGCUGGCUUGACGCGCUGGGCGGGGCCCCGCACCUACACCACCGGAUGCAUCGCGUCCGGAUCGAUCUGCAUGCCCGUGGAGCCCACUUUCGAUGAGGCAACACCGAUGAUGAUCGACGUCCCCGUCCGCCAUGUGGAUCCGGACAAAGAUUCCGAUGACGAGGUGCCUCCUACCGUCGUCGUCGCUGCUAUGGAGAACCUCAGCGUUCUCUUUAGCUACCUGUGUCUCAACGAUGGUCCUCGCUACUUCGGUGAGGACUUCGAUGUUGAGGCGCUGUGCGCCAGCUUCAGUAGGCUCUUGAUACGUCUCAAACGUAUCUAUAAUUUUUAAUGGUUUCACGCUGUUAUCUGGUCAACUUUGGAUGUUUUGUUUACCUUUUAUAUCUUUUUUGGGACUAACUUAUUAACUCAGUGCCAAGUGCGAGUUCCUGUUUUUUCUGUGUUUUUGACCUUUUUCAGAUCUGAUUUUGGAAUGGAGUCCAAACGGAAUAAAAUCCCCAAAAUGAUUUUUUCUAGAACGGAAGAAGAUCGGGAGGCUUGAGGGCCAAGGAAGUGGGCCCACAGGGGGCCCAGAAGCCCUGUUGCCGCGGCCAAGGGGGGAGGCCGCAGCAACCAAGCUUGUGCCCCCCCUCGCGCACCCCUGCCCUAGGUCUUUGGCCUAUAAAUUCCCUAAAAAUCCAGAAAAAAUCAGGGCAUCCACGAAAACACUUUUCCACCGCCGCAAGCUUCUGUUUCCGUGAGAUCUCAUCUGGAGACCCUCCCCGGUGCCCUGCCGGAGGGGACUUUGGAGUUGGAGGGCUUCUACAUCAACAUCAUCGCCCCUCCAAUGACUCGUGAGUAGUUCACUUCAUACCUACGGGUCCGUAGUUAGUAGUUAGAUGGCUUCUUCUCCCUCUUGGAUCUUCAAUACAAAGUUCUCCAUGAUCUUCAUGGAGAUCUAUCCGAUGUAAUCCUCUUCGGCGGUGUGUUUGUCGAGAUCCGAUGAAUUGUGGAUUUGUGAUCAGAUUAUCUAUGAUUUAUAUUUGAGUCUUUGCUGAUUUCUUAUAUGCAUGAUUUGAUAUCCUUGUAAGUCUCUCCGAGUCUUGGGUUUUGUUUGUCCAACUAGAUCUACGAUUCUUGCAAUGGGACAAGUGCUUGGUUUUGGGUUCUUACCGUGUGGUGACCUUUCCUAGUGACAGAAGGGGCAACAAGGCACAAAUCGUGUUGUUGCCAUCAAGGGUAACAAGAUGGGCUUUGUCGUAGAUAUGAGAUUAUCCAUCUACAUCAUGUCAUCUUGCUUAAGGCGUUACUCUGUUCUCAUGAACUUAAUACACUAGAUGCAUGCUGGAUAGCGGUCGACGUGUGGAGUAAUAGUAGUAGAUGCAGAAAGUAUCGGUCUACUUGUUUUGGAAGUGAUGCCUAUAGAUAUAAUCAUUGCCAUAGAUAACGUCACGAUUUUGCGCGGUUCUAUCAAUUGCUCAACAGUAAUUCGUUCACCCACCGUCUACUUGCUUUCAUGAGAGAAGGCACUAGUGAACACUACGGCCCCCGGGUCUAUUCACACCUAUCGUUUCCACUUUCGCUUUUACUUUGCUUUGUUACUUUGUUGCUUUCAGUUCUCACUUGGCAAACAAUCUCUAAGGGAUUGACAACACCUUCAUAGCGUUGGGAGCAAGCUCUUUGUGUUUGUGCAGGUACUUGUGAUACUCCUUCACUGGAUCGAUACCUUGGUUCUCAAAACUGAGGGAAAUACUUACCACCGCUGUGCUACAUCACCCUUUCCGCUUCGAGGGAACACCAAUGCAAGGCUCCAAGGCCACGGGGGAAUCCUUUGCAUAUUUGCCUAGGAAGUCCCUAAAGGCGUAGCUGUAGCAGAAGGAUUCCUGGUGUCGUUGCUGAUGAGAAUCAAGACAAGAAUAGACUCCCGUCAGCACGCUUGUUUCUAGCGCCGUUGGAAGGUCUUUUGUUGCAGUGGCAGCUCUCUAUCACUGAGAUGCCUGCACAUGACGUGUACCCCAACAACGUACUCGUCUUCGACGGGCCUCCGCUGUCGGUGGGGUUCUUCACCCCGUACCAUGUCGCCGCCGUCUCCAACGUCGUGGAGGUGAUGGUCAUCAGCGCUGGCACCAGCACGACUCAUGGCAAGGCGUCAACAGACGCUGGUGAGCCUGCUGCUGUCACCGCUGACACUCUUUAGGACGCACUCGCCGGCCUGAAGACGCCCAUCGCCGCUUCCACAAACCCUAACGACGUCUGUGCCUCGCUGGAGGAGGCUCGCAAGCAGAUCUUGGAGGAGGGCAUUGUCGUCGCCUCGGAAAAGCAUUAGAUGGAGGCCACGCAGCGCGAGUAUAACUCCGCAUACGACCUCACUCCGACUUCCGAGGCCCCUAGCCGGCUUGGAUCGGUCCGCGACUGCGGCCGGUUCAUUGCCGAGAUCCUAGGCGGCAACCAGCCCGUCUACGAGACCCCUGCAGCCAACUUGUGGGCGACGUAGGCGGCCAUGGAAGAAAUGCCCAGCUUGGAAGGCGAGGAGCGCGCCUUCCAAGAGAAGCGGGUCAAGGAUCUCCUUGAUGCUGCCAACGAGCAGCAGAUGCGGCUUGACCCCGGUCAGGCCCAGUCAGAGUCUCCGGGACCCAACCCCGGAGCACCCUGCAACCCUAGCGGUCAUCACCACGCGGAGGGAUCUUCCUCGCAUCGCACCUCCGCCCGGAGGGGCGAGGGAAGUCAAGAUAGGCGCUCCCAGCGCCAGAGCGAGCAUACUUCGAGCAGGCGCCGCGAAGGCGACGGGAGUGACUCGAUGUAUGAGGUUCCUCAUCCGGGGAGGACCCAUGCCACCGGUUCACAAGGUGCCAUUCCGAUCGCGGCUCGGAUAGGCGCUCGCGUUCCUCAGGGCGACUAGGACGCCCGGAGGCGUCUCAACGCCCUGGCCCAGUCAGCCCUCCUGGAGGAGGACAGUCCCAUCGGUCCGGCUUGCUUCGGCCCCCGGAUCCGAGGGGAGCCGUUUCCCCGAGGCUUCACCUUGCCUCGGGAUACUCCCAAGUACAAUGGCACCGCCAAGCCAGAGGACUGGCUGAUCGAUUACACCACCACCGUUGGCAUGGCGAGGGGAAACAAGCGCGUAGCAGUCCGCUACGUGCCACUCAUGUUGGCCGGAUCGGCUCAGACUUGGCUCAACAGCCUUCCAGCCGGCAGCGUCAACUCAUGGGUGGACUUCGAGGAGGCAUUCGUCCGCAACUUCACCGGUACCUACAAGCGCCCUGGCCGGCCUCGCGAGCUGUCCAUGUGCGUCCAGAGGCCCGACGAACCCCUUCGUGACUACGUCACUCGCUGGACGGAGCUUCACAAGUCCUGCGAGGGGGUGCAUGAGGUACAUGCCAUCCAGUACAUCAUUGACGGUUGCCGAGACGGCACCCUCCUCAAGCAGAAGCUCAUGCGCUCCAAGCCCACCUCUCUGGCGGUGCUCAUGGCCAAGGCGGACAACUACGCCACGGCCGACUUGGCGAUGCGGGUCAAGGUGACCGCCUUGGACAAGACUGUCCCCAGCCGGCUACUCCCAAGCCGGCUAGAGACGGUCGACGCGGCCAGAACAACAAUAAGCGCAAGGCGGAUCAGCUAGAUUCGCGCUCCAACAACAAGUUGGUAGCCAGCGUGGAGGGUGAGACGUCGGCUCCUCAAGCGGGCUCUCAACGGAAGCGACCCAACAAGGGCAACACGAACUGGUUGCCCAAGCAGACCUUCGAGCAGCUGCUUGAUGCCCCGUGCAAGAUACAUUCUGGGGCACAUCCUUCUACCCAUACCCUUCGACAGUGCCGCUUUGGACGACGGCUGUCGCAAGGGGAGGGCCUGCCGGCUGCCCGAGGUGCACAGGCUGCGCCUCAAGCCCCGACUCCUGGUCCUGCCCCGGCUCCACCGCCGCCGUCUCGCGACGACGGCCGCCUCCACGACGACUACCCCCAUCAAGACGGAGCAUUCGUCGUCUUCACCAGUGAAGGCGACGAUAAGCAUAGCCUGCGCCAGAGACAGCGUGAGGCGAAUGCCACGGUUCCCCCGGUUCCCCAAUACAUGCAUUGGUCUGACAGACCAAUCACAUGGAGCCGGGUGGACCAUCUUGCGGUGAUGCCCAACUCGGGCUCAUAUGCGCUCGUCCUCGACCCCACCUUCGCCUCCAAGAGGCUCACCUACCGAUUCUCCCGGGUGCAGGUCGAUGGCGGCAGCAGCAUCAACAUCUUCUACCUCGACACUCUCCGCAAGCUCGGGCUCAAGGAGACGGACGUCCUGCCGACCAACAGUGUCUUCCACGACAUCGUGCCUGGGCAGUCCUGCUCGCCAAUCGGCAAAAUCCAACUGGACGUCCUCUUCGACGACAAGGCUCACUUCCGCCGAGAGUCCAUAUGGUUCGAGGUAGUGGACCUCAGUAGCCCGUAUCACACGCUGCUGGGCAGACCGGCUCUGGCCAAGUUCAUGGCUAUCCCGCACUACGCCUACCUAAAGAUGAAGAUGUCGGGUCCGAAGGGAAUCAUCACCAUUGGUGGCGACUACAGGAAGUCGCUCGAGUGCGCCCAAGACAGCAGCCGCCUGGCCGACGCCCUGGUGAUUGCUGAGGAGAGAGACAGAUCGACCGGCUUGUGGCCUAGGCUACCGAGCAGUCGGCGAUCCCUUCUCCUCUGUCCCAAUCGGCCGGCGAAGGCUCCUUCAAGCCGGUCAAAGAGUCCAAGCAGGUGCCACUCGACCCUGCAAACCCCAAGCAGUGCGUCACCAUUGGGGCUCGCCUCAGCCCCAAAUAGGAAGGCAAUCUCAUCGACUUCCUCCGUGAGAAUCGAUACAUCUUCGCAUGGUCCCCCAAAGACAUGCCGGGUGUUCCGAGGAAGUACGCCGAGCACAAACUUCAAGUGCGACAGGAUGAAAAGCGGGUAAAACAACCUUGGCGCCGCUUUGCCGAGGGGAAGCGGCGCACAAUUGGAGAAGAGAUUUCCCGACUCCUUGCAGCCGGCUUCAUCAUGGAGGUUUUCCACCCGGACUAGUUGGCCAAUCCAGUCCUGGUGCUGAAAAAGAACAACACAUGGCGAAUGUGUAUCGACUACACUAGCUUAAAUAAGGCCUCUACGAAAGACCCUUUUGCGUUGCCUAGGAUAGAUCAAGUGAUCGACUCCACUGCAGGCUGCGAAAUGCUGUCAUUUCUGGAUGCUUAUUCAGGCUACCAUCAAAUCAAGCUGGAUCCAGCUGAUCGCCUGAAGACCUCCUUCAUCACGCCCUUCGGGGCCUACUGCUACACCACCAUGACGUUCGGUCUGAAGAACGCUGGUGCGACGUUCCAACGCUGCAUGCAGCAGUGCCUACUGCCACAGAUCAGCAGAAACAUCCACAUCUAUGUGGAUGACAUCGUUGUAAAGACGAAGCAGCACUUCAGCCUCCUCGACGACUUGCGGGAGACGUUUGCCAACCUGCGCGAAUACAAGAUCCGGCUCAACACGGAGAAGUGUGUCUUUAGGGUUCCAGGCGGCAAAAUCUUGGGGUUCUUCGUGUCCGCUCAUGGCAUCGAGGCGAACCCUGAGAAGAUCGGCACCAUCGAGCGGAUGGUGCGGUCGACUCGGAUCCUAGACGUCCAGAAGUUCGCCGGCUGCCUGGCGUCCCUUAGCCGGUUUGUCAGCCGGCUUGGCGAGAAGGCCCUUCCACUCUACCAGCUCAUGAAGAAGAAGACGAAGUUCGAGUGGAACGACCAGGCGGACGAAGCCUUCUGCGACCUCAAGCGGGUCAUCUCGAGCCUGCCAAUCUUGGCAGCGCCGGCUGAAAGGGAACCCAUACUCAUAUACAUUGCAGCGACCACUCACGUGGUUAGUGUAGUGCUGGUAGUUCAACGCAAGGAGGAGGGCAAGAAAUCAUGGGCAACCGUGAUGUAACGGGCAGGAUCGCUAGGUGGUUCAUCGCCAUGGCGGACCACGAUAUCCGCUACGAGCCUCGCACCACCAUCAAAUCUCAGGUGGUGGCCGACUUCUUAGUCGACUAGGCCGAAACCCAGUUCGAGCCACCACCUCCAGACUCUACGCAUUGGCGGAUGCACUUCGACGGCUCAAAGAUGCGGACUGGUCUGGGAGCCGGCAUCGGCUUGACGUCUCCGAAAGGAGACCAGCUCAAGUAUGCUCUCUAGAUCCACUUUGCCACCUCCAACAACGUCGCCGAGUACGAAGCACUCGCUCAUGGCCUCCGGCUCGCCAAGGAGAUUGGCAUCCGACGGCUCAUAUGCUUCGGCGACUCAGACCUGGUGGUGCAGGAAGUUUCUGGCGAAUGGGACGCCAGGGACGCCAACAUGGUAAGCUACCGCUUCCUCAUCCAGCAGCUCAGCGGCCCCUUCGAGGGUUGCGAGUUCCACCAUGUUCCCAGAGUAGACAAUGAGGUGGCGGAUACACUGGCCAAGAUCGGCUCCAUGAGACAGGCUAUCCCAGCCGGUGUCUCCCUCGAGCAGCUCCACAAGCCGUCUAUCAGGCCGUCUCCAGAGUCGGCAUUAAUCUUCGUGCCGGCUGAUUCUUCGGUGCAAGCGCCGUCGGCUCCACCAGCUACGCCGGGUACAUCUCAUGUGCCGGCUACGCUGGCUCUGCCGACUCCAAUUGCGGUACCGGCUGAAUCUUCGGUGAAAGCGUCGUCGGUUCCACCAGCCAUGCCGGCUACAGCUUGUGUGCCGGCUACGCUCGCUCUGCCGACUCCAAUUGUGGCACCGGCUACAACAACAACUCCCGCUCCGCCCUGCCUCGAAUCCUGUCGUCUCGACACCCAGUGGGUGGAUUUUUAGCAGAUCCCUGGCAAUGGCUAGAAAAAUGCUAAUCUCGAUUGCUCAACAAUUAGAAAUUGUCUUGCAAUGACCCACCAGCGCGUGGGAUCGAGGCAGUUUUCGAGGGUAGAGUAUUCAACCCAAAUUUGUUGGUUCGACGGACAGGAAGUGAGAGGAUACUCUCAAGUAUUAGCAGCUGAAUGUGUCAGAUUCAACCACACUUGAAAGAUUAGUAUCUGCAAGCAAAGUAUCAACAGCAAAGUAGUAUGAUAACAACGGUGUUAGAAACGAUCUGUUGACGACAGACUAUUCCUAACGAUUGUAUCAAUGGCGCCAGAAGUUGCCCGUGGACGGGAAAUAUUCUUUCCCGUCAACGUCGUGCGAACCAGUAUUGUAGUAGGUAGCAGCAGUGUAACGAGUAGCAGCAGUGGCAAGGAACAACAGUAGUGAGAGCACUAGCAAGUAGCAACAGUAGUAACAGCAGUAGAGCAAAGCAAGUAACAGCAGCAGCAACAGUAGUAGCAACAGCAGAGCAAAACAAGUAACAACAGUAGUGGGACAAACUCGUAGGCAAUGGGUUGGUGAUUUGUUUGGAUGUUAUUCAUCAUGCAACAGUUAUAACACGAAGAGAUAUGUGGCUAGCUCCCAUUCGUCAAUGUGAUGUAGGCAUGCGUUCCGUGUGUCAUCAUAGAUGCUUACGGAAAAGAACUUGCAUGACAUCUAUUGUCCAUCCCUCCCGUGGCAGCAGGGUCCAAAAGGAAACUACGGNGCCACGUGGGCCCCACAAGCUUGCUAGCCGCCACCAGGGGGGUGGCGGCUACAGGGCUUGUGGCCCACUGGCCCAUCCCCUCCGGUGGAUCUUUGCGCGGGUAUUUUUCAUAUUUUCCAGAAAUAUUCUCCGUAAAUUUUCAGGACGUUUCGAGAACUUUCAUUUCUGCACAAAAACAACACCAAGGCAAUUCUGCUGAAAACAGCGUCAGUCCAGGUUAGUUCCAUUCAAAUCAUGCAAAUUAGAGUCCAAAACAAGGGCAAAAGAGUUUGGAAAAGUAGAUACGAUGGAGACAUAUCAGUGGACGUCAUGGAUGUGGCCGACAAGCCAACCGCCACGACGGCAUCAGAGACACCUUGUCUUGAACCCACGACUAUUGCUUCAUCAAGCGCGAGGGCUGCAGAAGCCCCUAACAGUCAGGUCGAGGCGGAGCCAGCCCUUGUGUCGGCUCCGUCAUGGGCUCAACGCAUCCUGGCCUUCAUCUUUCGCGGCGAGCUUCCUCAAGAUGAGGCGGAGGCGAGGCAGAUCGAGCGCAGGUUUGCAGCCUACGCCAUCAUCAAUCACGAGCUGGUUCGGUGUAGCGUGACCGGCAUGUUCCAGUGCUGUGUCGAAUCAGAAAAGGGGCAAGAGAUCCUCAGAGACAUUCACAAGGGGGAGUGCGGGCUUCAUGCCGCAUCUAGAACCUUGGUGGCCAAGGCGUUCCACCACAGAUUCUACUGGCCCACGACCCUCGAGGAGGCCGUGGAUCUGGUCGACAAAUGCGAGGGCUGCCUAUUCUUUAGCUCAUAGAGCCACAUGCCGCCUUCGGCCCUCAAAACCAUCCCCUUGUCAUGGCCUUUCGCCAUCUGGGGGCUGGACAUGGUGGGGCCUUUCAAGACGGCUCGUGGUGGCAUGACUCACCUGUUGGUAGUGGUCGACAAAUUCACCAAGUGGAUCGAGGCCAGACCCAUCAAGAAGCUUGAUGGCCCCACGGCUGUCAAGUUCAUCACAGACAUCUUUGUUCGAUAUGGCGUCCCCCACAACAUCAUCACCGACAACGACACUAACUUCGCCAAAGGCGCUCUGGCGCUCUACUGCUCCAAGGUAGGCAUCCGGCUCGACUUGGCGUCACUGGCACAUCCCCAUUCCAAUGGCCAAGCGGAGAGGGCAAACGGCCUAAUCCUGGCCGACAUCAAGCCAAGACUGGUGGCACCACUUGUCAGGUCAGCCGACAGCUGGAUCGAAGAACUACCGGCUGUACUAUGGAGCCUCCGCACCACGCCCAAUCGGUCGACCGGCUUCACUCCGUUCUUCCUUGUAUACGGGUCCGAGGCCAUUAUCCCUAUGGAUAUCGAGUUCGACUCGCCUCGGGUCACCCUGUACACGGAAACGGAGGCAAAGGAGGCAAGAGAAGACGGUGUGGAUCUCCUCAAGGAAGCAAGGGACUUGGCCUUGAGCUGGACGGCCAUCUACCAACAUAAGCUGAGAUACUACCACAUCAAGAAGAUCAAGCCUCUCUCUUUCAGAGAGGGAGACUUGGUGCUCAGAAGAAUCCAGCGCACCGCCGGCCAGCACAAGCUCUCAUCCCCAUGGGAGGGACCCUUCAUCAUCAGUAGGGAAUUGCACAACAACGCACACUACCUAAUUGAUGCCCAGAAGCCAAGGAAGCGCAAGAGGGACGACUCCGGCCAGGAGACGGAACGUCCAUGGAACGCGGCGUUGCUUCGCCCAUUCUACUGCUAGAAGGCAAGUAUCAAACAUGGAAAAAGCAUUCACAAAUGUAUCUUUCUCCCUCUUCAGGGAUUUCCAAUGAAUUCAAUGAAAAGAGCAUGCCUUAUGCUUCUUUUUAAGUUCAUAUCUAGAGUGCUCACUCUGCGAAGUCCCUUGCUGGCUCUUGUAAGCCCGGGGGCUCGCUAGCCACCCAGAUGCCUUCCUUAUGUUGUAGAAAAACACAUAGUGUACGCCGGACUGAUCCCUGGUCACCUCGUAACAGCUACAGACCGACUCCCGGCUGUCCGGCUAGCAAGGCGACGCCAGGUAAGGCCGGAUGCAUGCAAAGUUAGACUACAAAAAGGUUGCCGGCUCGGGUUGGCUUGAUCUAUUUUACGAUCUCAUUCUAGCCGACCUCUGCUGGUUAAUGUCUGAAUCUUUAAGUCUUUAUGGCUUCGAAAAAUCUAAGACUUUUAUUCUCAAGGCCAGAAACCUCGACCCAGUCACAGACCAGCUCCCCGCUGUCGGACUGGCGGGGUGGAAACUUGGGGAUACAGGAAUUGGAGAAAAAGGAGUCAAACAAGAAUCAAAGGAUAAAGAUAUAAAACAACACACAUGGAAAUACGAAUAUAAUGCUGAAUCCAUACAUUCAAAAUGCAUUGGCCCACGGCCGAAGUUCAUUACACCCCCAAUGGGUGGAACUGUUGGACUGACAAUACAAUUUCAGACAACAAAAUGAAAAAACAGGACCAACUAAGGGGCCGCGGCCUCAUCGGUCGCCCCGGCUGCUGCUCUUGAAGUGAUGGAUUCACCAUCGCUGGCUGCUCCCGAGGGAGUGGUGCCGUCUCCCCCGCGAGGGCUUCCGGCUCCAUCCGCGCCGGAGUUGGCGUAAGCCGCGCCGCUGGAGGCGGCAGCACUCUCCAUCUCAUGGGCCGCCUCGUCGGAGCUUCCAUCGGCAUCAUAGGGCUGUAGGCCAUGCAGAUCUUCGGGGAUCACAUUGCUGCCUUCGCCCCGCUCCAAGUUGAGCUCAUCCUAGGCGGCGUACGAGGCGAUAUCGCUGGCCCUCACGCACAGCGCCUCCUCCACGGCCUGCAGCUCCGCCUCCGAGCCGUCGCGUUGAGCGACGAGCUUGCCCAAGUCCAGGUUUCGGUACCAGGACUUGGCCAAGCGCAGGGCCAUGUAGGCUCCGGUGCGUGCAGCCGAAGCGCGCCAGGCGUCAAGACGGUCCUCGCCAGCCACAAUCCAACGGGAGAGCCGGCUCAUCGACGACGGCUCCACGCCAUCAGGCCAGAGGGCCGCCACCAUCGAUGAGCCUGCGACCUGGAGCUGAGCCACGGGCUCGCCCAGGAUGCGCGGGCGGGCCCUAAGGCCCACUCUGAUCUCCUCCAUGCUCCAGUCGGAGGUAGCAUCUACCUCCUGCCCGGCCGCGAGGCGCUCCUCGCGGCUCACCUCGACGGCCGUGUCGGCUGCGUCCUGUGUCUCAGGGAAGAGGCCUGAGACAGGGAAAGGGGCGCGAAGACGAGUAAGAGGAGGAGACGACAAAGGAAGUUCAAGGCGAAACAAAAGAAGACUCACGAUUGAAGUCGCCAUCAGUCUCAUGGGAGCUCUCCAGGACCUCGAGCUCCCGCACCUUGCUUGCUUGAGUAAGGCGGGCGACUUCCUCCUGGAGGGUCGCUGCCGAGUCCAGGGCCUUGGCCAGCCGCGUCUGCUUCUGGGCCAGGGCAUCCUCCUUCUCCUUCAAGCCGGCAUCCUUAAGCUUCAUCUCCUUGAGAUGAAGCGACCCAAGACGUUCCACGUCGGCAGUGUGGGAGGCAUCCUUCUCCUACAGAGAGGCGCACAACUGCUCCAGCUCGGCUCGGCUGGCCGCCUCGAGCUCCUUCUUCUCCGUCUGGAGAAGAGUCAGGUGCUCCUGGAGCCGGUCGCCCGCGUCAUGUAGGGCGUCCUGCUCCACGACAACCUCGCCCAACCGGGCUUGAAGCUCGGCAACCUGGCCUUCAGAUGCCUGGUUUUGAGCCCGCAGCGUGUUGAAGGCCUGCACCUGGGCAUCAUAAAGAUCCUACAAGGCAAGGAUAAAGCAGAAGUAAGAUUCGGCCUGGUUAAGUCAUAACCAGCCCGAUUCUCGGGGGCUACAACCAGUCGGUGCACUAGCGCGCCCCCACUAAAGAAGCAAAGCAAGAGAAGAAGCUCAAAAGAGAUUCGGCCCGGCCGAUGCACGGCCGACCCGACUCUCGGGGGCUACACCUAGUGGGUGCGCUGGCACACCCCCACUGAUUCAAGAAGAAGAAAAGAAAAAAUCGAAGAUAAAGAUGAGUCACUUACCCUGAUGCGUUCCUCCAAGCGCUCCAGAUCAUCGCCCACCAUGCGGGCUGUCUGGUCCACCUUGAACCGGCUGCUGGCAAACAUCGACACCAACUCCGGGACGCCUUGGAGCACGGUGCCUACGGGCAGAUUCGAGCGUGCCAGGUUGGCCGCUCGCCAAGUCUUCAUCGACCGGCUCCCGACCGUGGCACAGGCUCCUGGAGCAGCCGAACCGUGGUGGGGGACGGCGAUGGCGCCAUCUCCAGGUGCCGGCAUGGCGGCUGGCUCCACUAGCAUUCCGACCGGCGUCGCCUCCUCGGCAGGAGGGGGAUGGGCCGCAUCCGUCGCAUCCAUGUUGACUCCUUGCGCAUCCGGGGGCGCGUCUGGCGCGUCCAGGACCAGUUCUGGCGCAUUGGGCGCCGCCUCGGCCCUAGGUGAAUCAGGGAUCACCUCAAGAUCCAUCGGCGCAGAGGCAUCCGACCCGGAGGGCUCGGCCUCCUCAGUCCUCGGGGCGCGCCUCGGGGCCACCUCGCUAGCUGGCUCCUCCACACGAGCGUGCGUGGAGGGGUCAUGUCUAGCCUUCGUACGCUUCUCCAUCGGCUUCUCGGCCCGGCUCGGGCGAGACUGGCCCUCGGUCAUCUUCCCCACGGCCGCGUCCCACCGGCGGUUGGACUCCGCCUCGAGCUCCCUCUGGGCAGCGUCAACCGCUGCCCAGCCAGCCCGUUGGGCUGCAGAGGCGGUGUCCUCCUCCACGUCUUCCGCUUCCCUGCCGGGCGAUGUUUUUGAGGAAUGAAGCUUCACACAAGACAAAAUAAAAGAAGGGAGAGGCACCCUUACCCUACGACGAUGGGCACUUGCCUCCUACUGCCACCGACACGAUGCUUCUUAGCGCUGCCUGCCCGUGCUCCGGCAGGACGACCCGUCCCCGGGCGCUUAGGAGCCGGCCUGGAAGCUGUGGCACCCUUGCCCUUCUUCCUGGUCGCUUCGUCAGCUCCGGUCGCCUCGUCAGCUCCGGUCGCCUCGGCCCUAUGACGCCAUCCGUGCGUCAGAGGCGGGCUGGUGACCUCCUCCACCCCGUCGGAGUCUUCCUCGAAGGCUGCAUUAGAUAGGGAGGAAGGAGUCUCGUCAUCGUCUGUCCAAUCUACGAUGGAGGGCCGCAAAUGCUCACCAGACGGCUCCGCCCUUCCGACUCCAGCGCAUUCUCCGAGCCUUCGGAGGAGGUAGAGCGGGACUCGAUCAUGCCCUUGUCCUCAAUCUCCGAGACGUCGGACGUCGCCACGUCAGGGGCAGGCGGGUUGAGUGUCGCCUGCAGCUUCUUGAACAGCUGUGCAAAGGAGUUGACGGCCAUCUCAGCGAGGCGGCCGGCUGCAAGACAAAUAGCAAAAACAAAACAACAAAGAGUGCUUACCACCGGAGGCGGAUGAUACGUCCAUUUUGCAUCAUGUUUUCAUGUUGAUAUUUAUCGCUUCUUUGGCUGUUAUUUCACUUCACGGUACAAUUCUUAUGCCUUUUCUCUCUUAUUUUGCAAGGUUUACAUGAAGAGGGAGAAUGCCGGCAACUGGAAUUCUGGCCUGAAAGUGGAGCAAAGUUGAGAUACCUAUUCUGCGAAACUCCAAACGCCGUAAAAAUCAACGAGGAAUUUUUUCCCGAUUUAUCAAAAAUACUGGGCCGAAGAAGUGCCAAAGGGGCACGAGGGGGUGCCCACAAGCCUGCACGGCGCGGCCAACCCCCAGGCCACGCCAUGAGGGCUUGUGGGCAGCCCACUGGCCCACUUGCUCCCCUCUUUUGCUACAUGGAGGGUUUCGUCCAUGAAAAAAAUCAAGGAGGAGCUUUUUCGUGGUUUCGCCGCCGCCAUGAGGCGAAACUUGAGCAGAACCAAUCUAGAGCUCCGNNNNNNNNNNNNNNNNNNNNNNNNNNNNNNNNNNNNNNNNNNNNNNNNNNNNNNNNNNNNNNNNNNNNNNNNNNNNNNNNNNNNNNNNNNNNNNNNNNNNNNNNNNNNNNNNNNNNNNNNNNNNNNNNNNNNNNNNNNNNNNNNNNNNNNNNNNNNNNNNNNNNNNNNNNNNNNNNNNNNNNNNNNNNNNNNNNNNNNNNNNNNNNNNNNNNNNNNNNNNNNNNNNNNNNNNNNNNNNNNNNNNNNNNNNNNNNNNNNNNNNNNNNNNNNNNNNNNNNNNNNNNNNNNNNNNNNNNNNNNNNNNNNNNNNNNNNNNNNNNNNNNNNNNUCGCCAUCGUCAUCACCAACACUCCUCUCAUCGGAGGGGACUCGUAACCAUCAACAUCUUCAUCAGCACCAUCUCAUCUCCAAACCGUAGUUCAUCACUUGUAACCAAUCUCCAUCUCGCGACUCCGAUUGGUACUUGUAAGGUUGCUAGUAGUGUUGAUUACUCUUUGUAGUUGAUGCUAGUUGGAUUACUUGGUGGAAGAGUUUAUGUUCAGAUCCUUGAUGCUACUCAUUACCUCUCUGGUCAUGAAUAUGAUUAUGCUUUGUGAGUAGUUACUUUUGUUCCUGAGGACAUGGGAUAAGUCAAGCUAAUAGUAGUCAUGUGAAUUUGAUAUUCGUUCGGUAAUUUGAUGUGUUGUAUGUUGUUUUUCCUCUAGUGGUGUUAUGUGAAAGUUGACUACAUAACACUUCACCAUUAUUUGGGCCUAGAGGAAGGCAUUGGGAAUUAGUAAGUAGAUGAUGGGUUGCUAGAGUGACAGAAGCUUAAACCCUAGUUUAUGCGUUGCUUCGUAAGGGGCUGAUUUGGAUCCACUAGUUUAAUGCUAUGGUUAGGCUUUGUCUUAAUUCUUCUUUCGUAGUUGCGGAUGCUUGCGAGAGGGGUUAAUCAUAAGUGGGACACUUGUCCAAGUAAGGGCAGUACCCAAGCGCUGGUCCACCCACAUAUCAAACUAUCAAAGUAACGAACGUGAAUCAUAUGAACAUGAUGAAACUAGCAUGACAGAAAUUCCUGUGUGUCCUCGGGAGUGUUUUUCCUCCUAUAAGACUUUGUCCAGGCUUGUCCCUUGCUACAAAAGGGAUUGGGCCACUUUGCUGCACCGUUGCUACUUUUGUUACUUGUUGCUUGCUACGAAUCAUCUCAACACACAAUCACUUGUUACCGGCAAUUUCAGUGCCUGCAGAUUUUACCUUGUUGAAAACCACUUGUCAGAUCCUUCUGCUCCUCGUUGGGUUCGACACUCUUACUUAUUGAAAGAAGUACGAUUGAUCCCCUAUACUUGUGGGUCAUCAAGACUCUUUUCUGGCGCCGUUGCCGGGGAGUCAAGCGCCUUUGGUAAGUGGAACUUGGUAAGGAAACAUUCAUAUAGUGUGCUGAAAUUUAUUGUCACUUGUCACUAUGGAUACUAAUCCUUUGAGGGGCUUGUUCGGGGUGUCUUCACCUCGAACGGAAGCACAAAUAGUUGCUCCUCAACCUGCUGCACCUACUGAAAAUAUUUUCUUUGAAUUUCCUUCGGGUAUGCUUGAGAAAUUGCUGGCUAAUCCUUUUACAGGAGAUGGAACAUCACAUCCAGACUUGCAUCUGAUCUAUGUAGAUGAAGUUUGUGGUUUAUUUAAGGUUGCAGGUGUGCCCGAGGAUGAGGUCAAUAAGAAGGUCUUUCCUUUAUCUUUGAAGGAUAAGGCGUUGACAUGGUAUAGGCUAUGUGAUGAUACUGGAUCAUGAGACUACAAUCGGUUGAAAUUGGAAUUUCAUCAAAAGUUUUAUCCUAUGCAUUUAGUACAUCGAGAUCGAAAUUAUAUUUACAAUUUUUGGCCUCGUGACAGAGAAAGCAUCGCUCAAGCAUGGGAGAGGCUUAAAUCAAUGCUAUAUUCAUGCCCCAAUCAUGAGCUCUCGAGAGAAAUUAUCAUUCAGAACUUCUAUGCUCGGCUUUCUCAUGAUGAUCGCACCAUGCUUGACACUUCUUGUAUCGGUUCUUUUAUGAAGAGCGAUAUUGACUUCAACUGGAAUUUAUUGGAGAGAAUUAAACGCAACUCUGAAGAUUGGGAGCUCGAAGAAGGUAAGGAGUCAGGUAUGAAUUUCACUUUUGAUUGCGUUAAAUCCUAUGUUGAGACAAAUACCUUUAGUGAUUUUAGCGCUAAGUAUGGACUUGACUCUGAGAUAGUAGCUUCAUUGUGUGAAUCUUUUGCUGCUCAUAGUGAUCUCCCCAAAGAGAAGUGGUUUAAAUAUCAUCCUCCUUUAGAAGUCAAUGUAGUUAAACCCACUCCAGUUGAAGAGAAAGUCAUUGCCUAUAAUGAUCCUGUUGUUUCGAGUGUUUACAUUGAGAAAUCACCUUUCCCUGUUAGGAUAAAGGAUCAUUCUAAAGCUUCAACUGUGAUACAUAGAGGCUAUAUUAGAACACCUACACCCCCUGAGGAAAUUAGAGUUGAACCUAGCAUUGCUAUUAUCAAAGAUCUUCUGUCCGACGAUGUUGAGGGACAUAAUAUUCACUUCUGUGAAGAUGCUGCUAGAAUUGCUAAACCUCACGUUAGAGACAAACAUAGGCCUGUUGUUGGCAUGCCUGUUAUUUCUGUUAAGAUAGGAGAUCAUGGUUAUCAUGGCUUAUGUGACGUGGGUGCUAGUGUUAGUGCAAUACCUCAAUCCUUAUAUGAUGAAAUCGAAGAUGAGAUUGCACCCGUUGAGAUAGAGCACAUUGAUGUCACUAUUCAGCUUGUUAAUAGAGAUACUAUCUGCCCUGUGGGAAUUGUUAGGGUUGUUGAAGUCUUGUGUGGUAAAAAGAAGUAUCCUGCUAAUUUCCUCGUUCUUGCUACUGCACAAGAUAGCUUUUGUCCCAUCAUAUUUGGCAGACCCUUCCUCAAUACUGUCAAUACUCAUAUUGAUUGUGAGAAGCAAACUGUCGCUGUUCGCUUUGAAGGUGUGUCACACGAGUUCAAUUUCUCUAAGUUUGGUAGACAACCUCAUGAAAAAGAGUUGCCUAGUAAGGACAAAACUACUGCCUUAGCUUCUAUUGCUGUGCCUCCUACUGAUCCCUUAGAGCAAUACUUGCUUGAGCAUGAAAAUGAUAUGCAUAUGGAUGAACGGGAUGAGAUAGAUAGAGUUGUCUUAGAACAAUAUCCUAUCCUUAAGAACAACUUGCCUGUUGAAUUGCUUGGGGAUCCACCCCCACCAAAAGGUGAUCCUGUGUUCAAGCUUAAACAGUUGCCUGAUACUCUUAAAUAUGCUUAUCUUGAUGAAAAAGAGAUAUAUCCUGUUAUUAUUAGUGCUAGCCUCUCGGAGCAUGAAGAAAAGAAGUUACUAAAAACUCUAAGAAAGCACCAUGCUGCUAUUAAGUACCUCAUGGAGAAGAAGGACGCUAAACCUAGACUUAUCAGAUGGGUUCUCUUGCUACAAGAAUUUGAUUUGCACGUUGUUGACAGAAAGGGUGUUGAUAACCCAUUAGCAGAUAACAUGUCUAGGUUGGAGAACGUUCUUGAUGACCCACAACCUAUCGAUGAUAGCUUUCCCGAUGAGCAAUUGAAUGUCAUCAAUGCUUCAUGUAAUGCACCGUGGUAUGCUGAAUACAUACCACCUAGUUUCACGUACCAACAAAAGAAGAAAUUAUUCUUUGACUUGAGACACUAAUUUUGGGAUGAUCCUCACCUUUAUAAGGAAGGAGUAGAUGGUGUUAUUAGACGUUGUGUACCUGAACAUGAACAGGGACAUAUCCUGUUUAGCAGAUCCCUAGCAAUGGCUAGACAAAUACUAUUCUCGAUUGCUCAACAAUUAGAAAUUGUCUUGCAAUGACCCACCAACGCGUGGGAUCGAGGCAGUUUUCGAGGGUAGAGUAUUCAACCCAAAUUUGUUGGUUCGCCAGACAAGAAGUGAGAGGAUACUCUCAAGUAUUAGCAGCUGAAUGUGUCAGAUUCAACACACCUGAAAGAUUAGUAUAUGCAAGCAAAGUAUCAACAACAAAGUAGUAUGAUAACAACGGUGUCAGAAACGAUCUGUUGACGGCAGACUAUUCCUAACGAUUGUAUCAAUGGCGCCAGAAGUUGCUCGUGGACGGGAAAUAUUCUUUCCCGUCAACGUCGUGCAAACCAGUAUUGUAGAAGGUAGCAGAAGUGUAACGAGUAGCAGCAGUGGCAAGGAACAACAGUAGUGACAACAGUAGCAAGUAGCAACAGUAGCAAGUAACAACAGAGCAAGCAAGUAACAGCAACAGCAAUAGUAGUAAUAGCAGCAGCAACAAUAGUAACAGCAGCAGAGCAAAACAAGUAACAACAGUAGUGGGACAAACUCGUAGGCAAUGGGUUGGUGAUUUGUUUGGAUGAUAUUCAUCACGCAAUAGUUAUAACACGGAGAGAUAUGUGGCUAUCUCCCGUUCGUCAAUGUGAUGUAGGCAUGCAUUACGUGUGUCGUCAUACGUGCUUAGGGAAAAGAACUUGUAUGACAUCUAUUGUCCAUCCCUCCCAUGGCAGCGGGGUCCAAAAGGAAACUACGGGAUAUUAAGGUUCUCCUUUUAAUAAAGAACCGGACCAACGCAUUAGCAUGGUGGAGAUCUCAAGAUCUGGUAUCUUCCGUUUAUUGGUCACGAUAUCUUUCAUGUACUUGGCAUAUGGAUACAUUUUGAGCAUAUCAAUUAACCGCAUCUGCAGAAAGACGGGUCUUAUCAUCUCAACGAAGCGCUUAGAAUCCUCACCAUCCUUUUUCUUGGAUGGCUUAGGAGGAAAGGGCAUAGGUAUCUGAACCCAUGGCUCCCUUUCUUUACCAUGCUUCCUAGCAGUGAAGUCAUUCUUAUCAUCUCUUAAGUUGUGGGUUACCAGGAUUAACCGUAGGUUCAAUCUCCACAUCCUCACCAUUGCUAAGUUGAGCAUUAUUUUGAACAUCGCUGUCCAUAUUAUCACCAGGUUCAUGUUCAUCACCAAAUUGUGUUUCUGCGUCAGACGCAGAAAUAUCAUUAGGUUCUUCAGGUGUGACACUAUUUGGUGAACUGGCAUGUGGGUUUCUAUCAUCCUUCUUCUUCUCCUUAGGAUGACUGGGUGUAUCAGCAUUAAUUCCUUGAGAAUCUUGAUCAAUUCUCUUAGGAUGGCCUUCAGGAUACAAAGGUUCCUGAGUCAUUUUGCCUCCUCUAGUAAUGAGUCUCGCAGAGUUGUCAUUUAAUUCAUUGAGCGAGUCAUUCUGAGCUUUAAGUACUUGUUCUACCUGAGUAGUAAUCAUAGAGGCAUGUUUACUUAGAAGCUUCAGAUCAUUGACAUUUCUGUCUACACAAGCACUUAAAUGGCUAAGCAUACGAGUACUUUGUUCCAAAUGUCUGCUAACAUAAUCAUUGAAACUCUGUUGUUUGGCGACAAAGUUGUCAAAUUCAUCAAAGCAUACGCUAGUAGGUUUGUCAAAAGGAAUAUCACUCUCAUCAAACCUACGCAGAGAAUUCACUUCUACUACUUUUAUCGGGCUAUCGAGACCAUGGAUCUCUUUGAUAGGUGGUAGAGUUUUGACAUCUUCAGAUCUAAUGCCUUUCUCUUGCAUAGAUUUCUUGGCUUCUUGCAUAUCUUCGGGACUGAGGAAUAGAAUACCUCUUUUCUUAGGAGUUGGCUUAGGAGGUGGUUCGGGAAUAGUCCAAGCAUUAUCCUUGAUCAAGAUGUUAUUCAGAAGGAUCUCAGCUUGUUCGAUAGUUCGUUCCCUAAAAACACAACCGACACAACUAUCUAGGUGGUCUCUAGAGGCAUCGGUAAGUCCGUUAUAGAAGAUAUCAAGUAUCUCGUUCUUCUUAAGAGGGUGAUCAGGCAAAGCAUUCUGUAGCUGGAUGAGCCUCCCCCAAGCUUGUGGGAGACUCUCUUCUUUGAGUUGAGCAAAGUUGUAUAUUUCCUGCAAGGCAACUUGCUUCUUAUGGGCAGGGAAAUAUUUCUCACAGAAGUAAUAGACCAUAUCCUGUGGACUACUCACACAUCCAGGGGAAAGAGAAGUGAACCAGGCUUUAACGUCAUCCUUUAGAGAGAAAGGAAACAUCUUAAGGAUGUAGUUGUGGCGGAUCUUCUCCUCACUAGUGAAAAGGGUGGCUAUAUCGUUUAGUUUGGUAAGAUGGUCUACGACCGUCUCAGACUCAUAAUCGUGGAAAGGAUCAGAUUCAACUAGAGAGAUUAUCUCAGGGUCGACAGAGAAUUCAUAAUCCUUAUCGGUGAUAAAGAUAGGUGGAGUGGCAAACUUCGGGUCGUAUUUCAUCCUAGCUUCCAGAGAUUUUUCCUUCCACUUGAGAAGUAAUUUCUCAGUGUCAUAGGCAUCCUUACAUGCCAAAAAAUCCUCAGCUAUCUCUCUCUCCAUAACGUAACCCUCAGGUAUAUCAGGCAAUUCAUAUCUAGGAGAGCUAGAUCUAGCAGGAGCAAAAGCAGGUUCUAUCUCAAUAGUAUCGGCUGUUUUAGAAGCAUCACGAGCAUUGGCAGUAACUCUAGCAAUAUGAGCAUCAAGGAACACCCCUAGUGGCACAUCAGGCAAAGUAGUAUCUCUAGCAGUAUCAAGAAUAGCAUCAUCAGGCAAGGUAGUAUCUGGCAUAACAUCUCUAGCAGUAUCAGGCAAAGCAUCUCAAGCAGUAUCACGCAAAGCAGUAUCAGGCAUAGCAUCUCUAGCAUCAUCAGGUAUAGCAUCUCUAGCAGUAUCAGGCAUAGCAGCAUCAUAAGCAUCAUCAAGCACAGGCGACAUAUCAAGAUUUCUAACAGGAGGUGAUGUCGCAAACUUACUCAUAACUGAAGGUGAAUCAAGUGCAGAGCUAGAUGGCAAUUCCUUACCUCCCCUCGUAGUUGAGGGCAGAACUCUGGGUUUUGGAUCUUGCAGAUUCUUCAUAGUGAUCAGCAGAUAUAAAUCCCAGGUGACUCACAUAAUAUAGGAAUCGCUUCCCCGGCAACGACGCUAGAAAAAUGCUGUUUAGCAGAUCCCUCGCAAUGGCUAGACAAAUGUUAUUCUCGAUUGCUCAACAAUUAGAAAUUGUCUUGCAAUGAUCCACGAGCGCGUGGGAUCGAGGCAAUUUUCGAGGGUAGAGUAUUCAACCCAAAUUUGUUGGUUCGUCGGACAGGAAGUGAGAGGAUACUCUCAAGUAUUAGCAGCUGAAUGUGUCAGAUUCAACCACACCUGAAAGAUUAGUAUCUGCAAGAAAAGUAUGAACAACAAAGUAGUAUGAUAACAACGGUGUCAGAAGCGAUCUGUUGACGGCAGACUAUUCCUAACGAUUGUGUCAAUGGCGCCAGAAGUUGCCCGUGGACGGGAAAUAUUCUUUCCCGUCAACGUCGUGCGAACCAGUAUUGUAGCAGGUAGCAGCAGUGUAACGAGUAGCAGCAGUGGCAAGGGACAGGUUAGUGACAAUAGUAGCAAGUAGCAACAGUAGCAAGUAACAACAGAGCAAGCAAGUAACAGCAGCAACAACAGUAGUAACAGCAGCAGCAACAGUAGUAACAGCAGCAGAGCAAAACAAGUAACAACAGCAGUGGGACAAACUCGUAGGCAAUGGGUUGGUGAUUUGUUUGGAUGAUAUUCAUCACGCGUUCCCGUUCGUCAAUGUGAUGUAGGCAUGCAUUCCGUGUGUCGUCAUACGUGCUUAGGGAAAGGAACUUGUAUGACAUCUAUUGUCCAUCCCUCCCGUGGCAGCGGAUUCCAAAAGGAAACUACGGGAUAUUAAGGUUCUCCUUUUAAUAAAGAACCGGACCAACGCAUUAGCACUUGGUGAACACAUGAACUCCUCAAACUAUGGUCAUCACCGGGAGUGGUUCCGGUUAUUGUCACUCCGGGGUUGCCGGGUCACAACACAUAGUAGGUAACUACAACUUGCAAGAUCGGAUCUAAAACACACAUAUAUUGGUGACAACAUAAUAAUUUCAGAUCUGAAACCAUGGCACUCGGGCCCCAGUGACAAGCAUUAAGCAUGGCAAAGUAGUAGCAACAUCAAUCUCAGAACAUAGUGGAUACUAGGGAUCAAUCCCCGUCAAAACUAACUUGAUUACAUGAUAGAUCUCAUCCUACUCAUCACCGCCUAGCGAGCCUACGAAUAGAUUACUCACGAACGAUGAAGAGAUUCAUGGAAUUGGAGAGGGAAGAAGGUUGAUGAUGACGAUGUCGAUGAUUUCCCCUCUCCGGAGCCCAAAAUGGACUCCAGAUCUGCCCUCCAGAUGAAGAACAGGAUGUGGCGGCGCCUCCGUAUCGCAAACGCGACUAAAUCUUCUCUCUUGAUUUUUUCUGGGACGAAAGUGAAUUUAUAGAACUAAGUUUGGGGGCAGCAAAGCCACGUGGGCCCCACAAGCUUGCUAGCCGCCACCAGGGGGGUGGCGGCUACAGGGCUUGUGGCCCACUGGCCCAUCCCCUCCGUUGGAUCUUUGCGCAGGUAUUUUUCAUAUUUUCCAGAAAUAUUCUCCGUAAAUUUCUAGGACGUUCCGAGAACUUUCAUUUCUGCACAAAAACAACAACAAGGCAAUUCUGCUGAAAACAGCGUGAGUCCAGGUUAGUUCCAUUCAAAUCAUGCAAAUUAGAGUCCAAAACAAGGGCAAAAGAGUUUGGAAAAGUAGAUACGAUGGAGACGUAUCAGAUCCUACAGAAGUGUCACUCCGAGGCCUACGGAGGACACCAUGCGGGAGAUAGAACUGCACACAAGGUAUUGCAAUCAGGUUUCUAUUGGCCCACUCUCUUCAAGGAUGCCCGUAAGUUUGUCUUGUCUUGUGACGAAUGUCAAAGAAUAGGUAAUAUUAGCAAACGUCAGGAAAUGCCUAUGAACUAUUCACUUGUCAAUGAACCAUUUGAUGUUUGGGGCUUUGAUUAUAUGGGACCUUUUCCAAAAUCCAACGGGUAUACGCAUAUCUUAGUUGCUGUUGAUUACGUCACUAAUUGGGUAGAAGCUAUCCCCACUAGUAGUGCUGAUCACAACACCUCUAUCAAGAUGCUGAAAGAAGUUAUCUUCCCUAGAUUUGGAGUCACUAGAUACCUAAUGACUGACGGUGGUUCACACUUCAUUCAUGGUGCUUUCCAUAAAACGCUCGCUAAGUACGAUGUCAACCAUAGAAUUGCGUCUCCCGAUCAUCCUCAGUCGAGUGGUCAAGUAGAGAUAAGUAAUACAGAGAUUGAACUAAUUCUGCAAAAGACUGUCAACAGGUCUAGAAAGAAUUGGUCUAAGAAGCUCAAUGAUGUACUGUGGGCUUAUAGGACUGCCUAUAAGAAUCCCAUGGGCAUGUCUCCGUACAAAAUGGUGUAUGGGAAAGCAUGUCACUUACCUCUUGAGCUAGAGCAUAAAGCUUAUUGGGAAAUCAAAGAGCUCAACUUUGAUUUCAAACUUGCCGGUGAGAAGAGGUUAUUUGAAAUUACCUCGCUUGAUGAGUGGAGAACUCAGGCAUACGAGAAUGCCAAGCUGUUCAAAGAGAAGGUUAAGAGGUGGCAUGAUAAGAGGAUACAAAAGCGUGAGUUCAACGUAGGUGAUUAUGUCUUGCUAUAUAACUCUCAUUUAAGAUUCUUUGCAGGCAAGCUUCUCUCUAAAUGGGAAGAUCACUAUGUUGUUGAGGAAGUAUAUCGUUCCGGUGCUAUCAAAAUCAACAACACGGAAGGUAAUUGUCCGAGAGUGGUAAAUGGGCAAAGAAUCAAGCAUUAUAUCUCAGGUACUCCCAUAAAUGUUGAAAGCAAUAUUAUCAAUACCAUAACUCCGAAAGAAUACCUAAGGGAGAUUUAUCAGCCUGUUUCAGACUCCGAAAACGAAGAGGUAUGUGAUUCGGUAAGAAAACAGAGUCCAAAACUUUUCUAGUAGGAAAUUUUCUCCGUUUUGGAAUAUUUGAAAAAAAUACAAAAAUUGGAAGUAGUGCGGAAAGUGCGCGAGCAGGCGACAAGCCUGCAUGGCGCGAGCCCACCCCCUGGCCGCGCCGUGAGGGCUUGUGGCCACCUCGUGCGCCUCCCGGACUCGAUUUUUGUGCCGGGUACUCCUUCUGGUCUGGAAAAAAAUCAUUAUAUAUACCCCCAUUUGGUCUGACCCCUGCAUCACGCAGAUUUCCUCUGUUUCUCAUUUUGAGCCUGUUUUCUGCCGCAGAUUUAGAGCAAGAUGUCGUCCCAGGAAUCUAUGGGGGAGAACAAUCUCCGUCAAAUCUAUGGAGAAGUUCAUGCUGAUCUGAAAAGGAUGGAGGUCAUGGAGGCUCAGGAAAGGCCACCUAAAUAAACCAAGGGCAUGGCUAAGGAGAAGGAUCAGGCAUGGGACAAAGUGGAAUCUGUGCUCAACAAGGAAGAAGUUGAAGAAGUGGAUUUCCUCCAACCUUACCUCCACCUACUGUCCCCGUCUUUGUUUGAACUCUUGAGGUUUUGUGGAACAACUCGUGCUCGUAAUACUUGUCUCACUCAUGAAGUUGUUUUUCUCGAGAAACAUAUCACAAAUCUCCAAGGUAUAAAUCAAAGACUGAUGACCCUUUUGGAGUCAAAGAUUGCAACAACUUCAUCACCACCAAAGGAAGACAACUGUGCAUUGGUAUGGGCAAUCCCCUUGGCUUUUGCCAAGCUUGGGGGAGUUGCCCCGGUAUCUCAUCACCAUCACAUCUUUUGCCUUUACCUUUGUUUUAAGUUUUCCUUUUCAGUUUUCUUUUUCUCUAGUGUUUUAGUCUCGAGUUUUGCUUUGUGUCACCCCCGAUGUAUUCUUGCUCGUGAGCCAUAUAAUAAAGAGUGUAUUAGUUGAAGGGCUUUGCCUCUUGCCAUGAUCAAAAGAGUGAGAAUAGAACAAAAGCAUAAAAGAUCAUGUAAUGAUCUUAUGGGAAGUGAUGGCUUCAUAUAUAAAAAGAAUGAGGAUUGAAACUUGUUGAUGGUAGGCAAACGUAGACCUUGGUCGUUGUUGCAAUUAAUAGGAAGUGAUAAAUAAGGAUAGGUUCACAUAUAAAUAUAUCAUCUCCGACACCAUCUAUGAUUGUGAACACUCACUAAACUAUUGCAUGCCUAGAAGUAGAUGUUGGACAAGGAAGACAACAUAAUGAAUUGUGUUUGUUUGGCUCUGAGCAAUGUUAUAUGAUUAGAGAUCCCUUAGCAUGUGACGAUUGCUUCCACCUCACAUUAGCCAAAACUCCCGCACCAAGUAGAGAUACUACUUGUGCAUCCAUAAACCUUCAAACCAGUUUUGCCAUGUGAGUCCACCAUACCUACCUAUGGAUUGAAUAAGAUCCCUCAAGUAAGUUGUGAUCGGUGCAAGCAAUAAAAAUUGCUCUCUAAUAUGUAUGAUCUAUUAGUGUGUGGAAAAUAAGCUCCGUACGAACCUGUGAUGAAGAAGACAUAAAAGCGACAGACUGCAUAAUAAAGUUCUUUAUCACAGGAGGCAAUAUAAAGUGACGUUCCUCCGCACUAAGAGGGCACACAUCCAAACCUCAAAAGCGCAUGACAACCUCUGCUUCCCUCUGCGAAGGGCCUAUCUUGUACCUUUACUUUUUUCCCUUGAAAGAGUCAUGGUGAUCUUCACCAAUUCGCUAUAUCGCCUUUAUCUUGUCUAACGUCAUAUGCUUGGGAAAGAUCUAUAUUUAUAUGUCAACUUGGAGGUAAGCAUUCAUGAACUAUUAUUGUUGACAUUACCCUGGAGUGAAGCAGUUGGGAGGCAAAACUAUGAGCCCCUAUCUUUCUCUGUGUCUAGCUGAAACUUUGAUCUCAUGAGUACCACGUGAGUUGUAGCAAUUGUAGAGAAUGAAAGAAUGAUUGAGUAUGUGGAUUUGCUUUACAAGCUCUUAUUUGACUCUUUCUGAUGUUGUGAUAAAUUGCAAUUGCUUCAAUGACUAAAGGUUAUCGGUUGUUACUUCUCAGUAAGGUUCUUGAUCCAUGUUUUACUUUCUGAAGGAAUUAUCACUUUAGCAUGAGAGAUUAUAUGUUGGUAUUGCUGUUCUCAUCUUGAUCAUGAUGCAUGCAUGUUCGUAUCUUGUUUUGUCGACACCUCUCUCCCUAAACUUGUGGACAUAUUUAUUGAGCUCGGCUUUCGCUUGAGGACAAGCGGGGUAUAAGCUUGGGGGAGUUGAUACGUCCAUUUUGCAUCAUGUUUUCAUGUUGAUAUUUAUCGCUUAUUUGGCUGUUAUUUCACUUCACGGUUCAAUUCUUAUGCCUUUUCUCUCUAAUUUUGCAAGGUUUACAUGAAGAGGGAGAAUGCCGGCAACUGGAAUUCUGGCCUAAAAGUGGCGCAAAGUUGAGAUACCUAUUCUGCGCAACUCCAAACGCCGUGAAAAUCAACGAGGAAUUUUUUCCCGAUUUAUCAAAAAUACUGGGCCUAAGAAGUGCCAGAGGGGCACCAGGGGGUGCCCACAAGCCUGCACGGCGCGACCACCCCCUAGGCCGCGCCAUGAGGGCUUGUGGGCAGCCCACUAGCCCACUUGCUCCCCUCGCUAUAUGGAGGGUUUCGUCCAGGAAAAAAAUCAAGGAGGAGCUUUUUGUGGUUCCGCCGCCGCCACGAGGUGGAACUUGAGCAGAACCAAUCUAGAGCUCCGGCAGGACGAUCCUGCCGGGGAAACUUCCCUCCCGGAGGGGGAAAUCAUCGCCAUCGUCAUCACCAACACUCCUCUCAUCGGAGGGGACUCUUCACCAUCAACAUUUUCAUUAGCACCAUCUCAUCUCAAAACACUAGUUCAUCACUUGUAACCAAUCUCCGUAUCGCGACUCCGAUUGGUACUUGUAAGGUUGCUAGUAGUGUUGAUUACUCUUCGUAGUUGAUGCUAGUUGGAUUACUGGGUGGAAGAUUUUAUGUUCAGAUCUUUGAUGCUACUCAUUACCUCUCUGGUCAUGAAUAUGAUUAUGCUUUGUGAGUAGUUACUUUUGUUCCUGAGGACAUGGGAUAAGUCAUGCUAAUAAUAGUCAUUCGAAUUUGGUAUUCGUUCGAUAAUUUGAUGUGUUGUAUGUUGUUUUUCCUCUAGUGGUGUUAUGUGAACGUCGACUACAUAACACUUCACCAUUAUUUGGGCCUAGAGGAAGGCAUUGGGAAGUAGUAAGUAGAUGAUGGGUUGCUAGAGUGACGGAAGCUUAAACCCUAGUUUAUGCGUUGCUUCGUAAGGGGCUGAUUUGGAUCCACUAGUUUAAUGCUAUGGUUAGACUUUGUCUUAAUUCUUCUUUUGUAGUUGCGGAUGCUUGCAAGAGGGGUUAAUCAUAAGUGGGAUGCUUGUCCAAGUAAGGGCAGUACCCAAGCGCUGGUCCACCCACAUAUCAAACUAUCAAAGUAACAAACACGAAUAAUAUGAACAUGAUGAAACUAGCAUGACAGAAAUUCCCGUGUGUCCUCGAGAGCGUUUUCCUCCUAUAAAACUUGGUCCAGGCUUGUCCCUUGCUACAAAAGGGAUUGGGGCACUUUGCUGCACAGUUGCUACUUUUGUUACUUGUUGCUUGCUACCAAUCAUCUCACCACACAAUCACUUGUUACCGACAAUUUCAGUGCGUGGAGAUUUUACCUUGCUGAAAACCACUUGUCAGAUCCUUCUGUUCCUCGUUGGGUUCGACACUCUUACUUAUCGAAAGGACUACGAUUGAUCCCCUAUACUUGUGGGUCAUCAGUGGACGGGCCCUGCAGUAAGGGGUCAUCCCCCACGACCAGUUCCCACUGUCGUCCAUGUGGGCGGUGGAAAUCUGGUUCACCCCUUGCGCCACCCCGCUGGGGGUAUAUCUCUUGGUGGAUGUUCGGCAGGGGUCGUGUCAGCCGCUUAUCUGGCAGACCAGAUGAGGCCGCCUGUGCAACGGCAGAAUCCUGCGAGUAACCAUGGUGGUCAGCAGGUCACGACCAAGGAGGCCGCUUUUCUCCAAAAUGUCGAGGUGGGCGCGGAUCUGCACCACCUCGGGAAUCAGCUUCGGGAACUUCGCCCCUGAGUUCAACUUCGUCGGAGGAUUAAUGUCAAACGGGGCAUGUUGAGGGCGUCGCGGGCAGGCUCGGCAUUCUUCACGUAGAAGAAGCACUUCUGCCACUGCUUGAUGGACACGUGCAGCGGCAGCUGGGGGAAGCCGGACUUCGAACGAUGAUGCACCAGUGCGGCUCCGCACGGUGUCAUCGGGCGUGGCCCGACGUGCUUCUCCCGCGCGGCCUUGUCCAUCACAAUGGACUGCUGCUUGAAGAAAAACAAGCUUCCCAAAGAUCGAGGCGGGGCUCGAUCCCCAGGAAGCCCUCGCACAAGACCACGAAGGUCGACAACUGCAAGAUGGCGUUCGGCGCCAGGUGGUGCGGCUGUAGGCCGAAGAAGUGGAGCCACUCGGAGAAGAAGGGGCUCGUCAGGAGCCCAAAGCCCCUGUAGAAGUGCUCCUCGAAAACGACGAUCUCCCCAUCUGCUGGUGUUGGGGCAGUCUCGACGUCAGGGAUCCGCACCAGCACCUGGGAGGCCGGGGGCAAUAGCUGGUGAUGGCGGAGCGCCGCGAUAUGGCCUUCGCAGAUCUCACUGCCAAGCCAAGCUCCCAGCGACGAGGUCUUCUUCGAGGAGGAGCCGCCGGCCAUGACUGCGAGUGACAUAAGCUCGGGAAGACCGGUGGCUCAACGGCGACAAAAAAUAAGAAGACGAAGAGGACGGGCUCUUUCUCUCUGGGCUCAGGGAGGAAGAGGGCGUCCAUGCGGGGCGAGAAGGGGGCGAGUGGCCUUCUCGGAGCCCCCGCAUCCCAUUUAAACCACACGAAGAGUCGUGGGGAGGGGAUCUGGUGCGCACGGAACCCCACUAACCUCGUGUAUUACGGGCGGUAACGCUCCCCGAAGCCCAACCGUCGCGGAAUAAAUCCGCACAGGAUCUUCCGCGCGGAGGCCGAGGGGGCGUCGUGGCGGGACCCAAGGCCCAGGCCCGGUCCCGUCACUAGUAAUAACAAUCAUUACGUCAGGCUGGGCCAGGCACAUGGCGCAAUCUGCGCAGCCUAUGACGAAGCAGAGGCGUCGCUUCGAAGCCAACCGGCUUCGGAUCCGGCGUUCCCUGCCGCGGAUGGCAGCAGGAAUGCCAAGACAAAAAAUCAAGCCGGUGAGGCCGCCCGUCCGCAGACGGCGGGCCUCUCCAGCUUCGGGGACUACUGUCGGGGGGAUAACCCCGGGGUAGGCUCAUCGAGCCUGCUCUUUCAUCUCCUUCCCAAAAGGAAUGACCAAGCAUAAUUCUCCAAGGCCCAAGUACUCUGGCCGGCUAGGCUGCGCCUACCAGCAGGAGGACGAGACGACCAACUCUCUGGCCGGCCAGGCAACCCCUAUCGGCUAGAGCCAAGACGGCUACCUCUUCCUGACCGCCUUGGCCAAGCCAGCCGGCUAGAAACGAGGCGGCCAUGCCCCACCCGACUUUCCAAGCGGGCUAGCCGGCCGGGGAUCUCAGGUCACAUCAGAUCGUAGGUCAUGACGAGACCCUAUGAUUAAAGGUGGCUGCGCGUCAGCAAAGGUACUGGAUCGGAGUGCCUGGCAGGAACGAGCGUCGGCGGCCAUGCCGCUGACCUACCCCAACUCUGAUCCAUCACCCAGCAUAGUGUCGGACCGUCAAACUCCCACUCCAUUACUGCACUCGGCGUGGGAACAGUGGAUACGACCGUACUAUCUGCCCAUGACGAAUCUUGCUGGACGACGCCGGACGUACCGCGCAUGCUCGGCGUCAACCUUACGCGAGAGCUUCAUUGGCUAGCCGGCGGGUCCCACAGCCAGAUGGGACCUCGCAGCCGGCGGGCCCCUCAAGCGACAAGACAAGACCCUCGUCGGCCCCCUGGCCGGCCGGCGAGGCUACUAGCCGGGUCCCACUCUUGUACCCUUUAUCCAUAUUGUAGGCCGGUGGGUUCGUCUAUAAAACCCCCCCUCCAUGCAGAGGGUCGGUCGAACAACAUAUCACACUCACCAACCACAUCGAGAGAGGUAGAGACGAGCCGGCUGCUCCCCUAUUCCUCCUCCUCAACACAGCUCCAGGAGCAACCUUGUAAUCCAUCCAUAUACAUCAUACACUCCGGCAGGACUAGGGGUCUUAUCUCUACGGAGAGCCCCGAACCUGGGUACAUCGUGCGUUCCAUGCUUGUACCAACCUCAUUCCCAGCACACUCCGUUGCCCCUUCGGUUCUCACCGACUUUAGCCUACCUAUGGCAUAUGUUGUGAAUAUUCACCGACAAUAUAAUUAUCGGUAAUAGCGGGUAAACCCGAUACUCGCCGAAACCCUUCCGAUGACCCCGAAACGCUUCUGAGUCGUCUCAAAACUAAUUAGUAUAUUUAUGAAACAAUUUCACAAAUAUGUUCUCAUCACUCCCGUCCUACUAACACCCAGCAGGUCGUGAUUACCUUAAGAUUGUGACCCCAUAGGUUCGGAAACUCAUAGACAUGAACGAAACUCCUUCGUUCAAUGACCGAUAGAGGAACCGUGGAUGUCCAUAUCGAUCCCUAUGAUGACAUUGAUGAUAUUCGAGUCAACCUUUGGGUACCAUUUGACAUUCACUUUACUUCGUGAUACUUUACAAAAUCUGAGAUGCAAUGAUUUCCUCCUGAGUCAUCACAUGCUCACUAUAUCGUUAUCCACAUUAUCGGUUUUGUUUUUCUUUCUCGUUUUUGUGUUUCGGCAUCCCUAUGACUAGGACACCAACAAUAUCUCUAUAUCGCUGGAGGAGCAAAUCACACUCUUGAGCUAUCUAGUCCCUUGUCAAACUUUCCGAUUGAAAGGAUCGAUAUGGUUGACUAGAGGGGGGUGAAUAGGCAACUAACAAUUUUUAAGCUUUUCUUUAACAAAUUAAGUUUACCAACAAAUAGGUUCUCUAGAUAUGCAACUAAAUGAGCAACCUAUAUGAUGAUAACAAAAACAAUAGCAAGCAAGAAACUAAUACAAGAAAAGGUAAGAAAUGACUACAAGUGGAACCAAUGAAGACAAGGAUGUGUUUUUGAAGGUCCUUCCCUUUGAGGGGGAAUACGUCUCCAUCGGAGAUGUGUGGAGGCACAAUGCUCCCCAAGAUGCCACCAAGGCCAUCGUGUUCUCCUCAUGCCCUCACACAAUGCAAGGUGUCGCGAUUUCACUAGUGGUGCCCUUGAAGGCGGCGAUCAAAUGCUUACAAACAAGCUUGGGGCAAUCUCCACAAUUGAAUUGGAGGCUCCCAAUGAAACCACGAAGCUUCACCAUGAAAGUGUGCUAUAUCGACUAGAGGGGGGUGAAUAGGAGAUUUUUAGAAUUUCAUCACUGAGGAAAUUCCUUUUGAGGAAAUUCCUCACUGAUGACUAACUUGCAGCGGAAAUAGUAAAGGAUCAGGAGUGCAAAGUAUCACUACAACAGUUUUCAAGGUGAAGAAUAUGAAAAGCAGUUUGCACAGUAUGCAGGCACAGAGAAAACAUGUGAGGAUUAAAUCGCGUGAAGAAUUUGGGGUUGAGGAAUUUCAGAGAAAGUCUUCAGCAAAUUCUUCAAACAGUGACAAUGAAAGUCUUCAACAUACAAUAUGAGGAAUUGAAAGAGUUGAAGAAAUAGAACCCGUUUCACAAUGAAGACAGUGGUUGAUGACCCAAUUCCAACUAUUGUGACAGUUGUACAUCUGGUUUGGAGAGGCUUGGUAUUGAAACCAAAAGACACACAUUCCCGAGACACACAAUCCCUACCAUAUUCUCCUUGAGCUAGGAACACAUGGUCCUCGCCCAACACUCGUGGUAAGUCUUCAGGGCAGACUUCAGACCCUCACAAACUUGGUCACCCGGCGAUCCACAAUUGACUGCUGGAUUGCUCUAGACCAUGAUGCCUAACCGUAUGGAGGAUGCACAAUCCUCAAAGGUAAAAGACUUCAGUCCCACACAGGAACAACUUCUUGAGUGAUGCUCAAUCACUUGGUUUUUGGUUUGUGGUUUGGUGUCUGGGGUAUUUCCUCACUGAUGAUUUACUCUCGAAGACUCUGAGGAAUUUGGGUUCCUCUUAUGACAAGUGUCAGUUUGGAGCAGCCAACCACCUAAUGGUUGUGGGGGCGGCUAUUUAUAGCCUGGGAGCAUCCCGACAUGAUUUGUCAUUAAUGCCCUUAAAUAAUAUGACCGUUGGUGUGGAUAAGAUCGGUGAUGUGAAGCGAAUUGCGAAAACGGCCGGGACCCUCAACUAUGAGAGUCCUCAUGUCUCUCAUAUUCCUCACUUGAGGCUUGUGGUAGGAUUAGGCUUGGGUUGAGCAUCGUGAGGAAAUUCAUUCCAAAGUGUUACUUUGACCCCCUUUAACAGUAUGGUGUUCCUAUGACUCAAGAGUGAAGAAAAUAAAACAGACAUAAUACAUCUUCAUGCUUCAAAGUCUUUAGAUUGAUUUUCUUCAGGACACACCGAAUUCCUCAUCUUCAAUAUCUUCACGAGGAAUAUCAAUUUCAUCGCAAUUUCUUCGCGAUUCAAAUCUUCAGCUUCAGACCAAUUUCUUCAGCCAAAGAUAUACAUUUUUAGGGGUCGAUAUUCAUCGAAUAUUUCAAACUCCUCAGUGACUUAUAGAUCCUGUGUACACUCAUGAACACAUUAGAUACUUAACUUAUAAGUCUUCAAACUACCAAAAUCAUUAAGGGGCACUAGAUGCACUUACAAUCUCCCCCUUUUUGGUGGUUGAUGACAAUUAGGUUAGGUCUUCAACGGGGAUAAAAAUAUGAUGUGUAAAUACUCAUUUGAGGAAUUUGAAAUCAAGAUACAUAGAGACUCCCCCUGAAGAUGUGCAUAUCUUGAGGAUUUUGCUUUUCACAACAAAUGCGCAUUGAUGAUUUAUAUCAUGGAGAUCUCCCCCUGAGUCUUGUAAAUCAUGCAUACAUAUGACAGAUAAUAUGAAGAACUUAAGAAUGCAUGAUGAGAAAUGGUAUCUGACGAAUUCCAGCAUGCGUGCAUUAAUAUUUUGAGGAAUAAGCAUGCGAAGAAAAACGUUCAAAAGCGUCAAAGUACCAUCGGGCUUAAGUUACAACUCAUUACAUAAAACACUUCAGAAGAAUCAAGAGUGUGUAACUUAAUAAAGUUCAUAAGCCCCAAAAUAUAUCCCGCGUGAAGACUAACUCUCAGAUUUCUCCCCCUUUGUCAUCAAGUGACAAAAAGGGACAAAACUGAGGACUAACGCCCCGUGAAGACUUUCGCUUCUUGGCAGAUGAGGAAGACGCGUGAGGAUUCUUGGGUACAGGCUUCCUCCUUGGUCCAGUGGCAGUGUCUUCUUGGUCUUCAUCAGGUUCUGCAGUGUGGAAUGAAGAAAAGGAACUGUCCUCAUGGUCUAGAACUGGAAUUGGCUUGAACUUCUUCUUUGGUGGACAUGACCAGUCAAAGUCCUGUGUGAACUCCAAUUCUUCAAGUUCUGCUGGAGUCUUCAAAUGAGCCAGUGUGGCCCAGGUGUGAUCAAAAACCUCAUGAAGAUAGUGAUGAUUAAUCUUCACUUCAUUCUGAGUCUCAUUGAGGGUUUUCACAAUGGAGCCGAAUUGGCGUUUGACCCAUUUUUGAUUGCGAUCAACCUUCUGAUGAAGACUGAGGAGUAGCUCUCUGUUGUUCAUCACCCGUGGGGCAACUGGAUUUGGCGGCUGUGUUUUAGUAACAUCCCAUGAAGAAUAUGCAUCUGGUUCACGAAGCUGGCCAUCAAGGGGCGGACUACCUUAAUUGAUCACAGACUUGCCUUUUCCUUCAACUCGCUCGAAAGUCUUCUUGUUGACUCUGAUCGGAGGCAUAUAUCCAAUGUGAUAAUUGAAAUCAGCAUGAUAGUUGAUGCCUGACCUGCGUCUCAUGAAUCUCAUGAUCCAUGGAGCAUAAAUCUUCAGGUCGAAGGGUGACAUAGCAUUGUCAGCUAGAGUCCUCAGGAAGAAGUCGUGAAGGUUUAUGGGGAUGCCAUGGAUGAUUUUGAAGAGGGUAUUCUUCAUGAUGCCUACAACAUCUUCUUCAUCAUCAUGGCCCUUCAUUGGAGCAAUGACACUGCACAGAAUCCUGUAGACAGUCCUGGGUUCAUACUUCACAUCUUGGACCAGAAAAGUCAUUCUUGGUGGUUGACCUUUGGCCAAAGGCUUCAUGAGGACUUCCAUCAACUUAUUGGGCAAUUCCCGUUCAUCAUACAUCUUCACAACAUGUUUUGAAGGAAUUGAAAUAGGAGGUACUCGCAACAGCUCAUUUGCACGGGCCUUGAAGUGCGUGUGCUGCGUUAUCCAAUCCAGCACCCAAGUGUUGAUAUAUGUUGGAUCUCCAGAGAUGUGCAGAGUUGCAUAGAAUUGAAGAACGAUGUCGCUGUUCCAAUUGUAAAUAUCAGUGCAAAGUGGGAGCAGUCCUGCUUCAUGAAGGACGUUGAGGACUGGCGCGAAGCAAGGAAUUUCUUCAAGCUCAACAUGAGGAAUAUGCCUGUGCUAAAAUAUUUUGUUUCUUCCACAAAGCACAGAUGCAUAAUAGUUGAGCUGAGUCCUUGUACAAAACUUCAUGUGCCUAAUGCGACGCUUGUCAUAAGGAUUUUCUCCGAUGAAAUACAUGCGUUCUUCAUAGAACGCUUCCUUCUGAAACUUUGGCUACUUGGAGAAGGGCUGAUGCGGCAUGGGUUGAAGAUUUUGCUACUUUCCUUGAGGAGAGAUGAUCAUGGCAGUCUCCAGAUUGACAACCACAAUAGCAGUUUCUGUAUUUGGCGCAGGGGCAUUUUCUUCAGCAUGUUCCUCAGGAUGAGGAAUUUCAUCAGCCGGUGCCUCAGGUUGAGGAUUUUGCUCCGGGUGAGGAUUUUCUUCAGCCUGAGCCUCAGGUUGAGGGUUUUGCUCAGGAUGAGGAAUCUCUUCAUGAUGAGCCUCAGGUUGAGGGUUUUGCUCAGGAUUUGUAUUUUCCUCGGGCUGAGGAUCUUCUCCUUAGUUUUCCUCAGCUUGAGGAAUUUGCUCGGAGGAGGAGCCAAAUUCUUCACCUGUUGCAGCUGAUCCUUGAGCAGGUUCUUCAGGAGGAAUGAAUGUCUGAGGACUGUCAUCAAUUUGAAUUUCCUCAUCGGUGUGUUCCUCAGACUCAGCAGUCUUCAUUUUCUCAUCAGUCAGAUGCUCCUUAUCUUCGCUCUCGAAGGGAAUGAUGGCAUAAGAUGGAGCAAUCUUGAGAGACACAACAUCCAAAGGAGCAUUUUCAUCAAGAGAUUUGAGGCGCUUGGCCUCUGUUGAUUCUGGUGUUGAAGAAGCUUUUCUUUUCUUAGCUUCCUUUUCCGCAGCCCUCGUUUUCUUCACGUCUGAUGCAGACAGAGUCGUUUUCUUCACCUUUGAGGAUUUUGGUGACGGCAUUUUCUCUUCAGGAGGCGGAGCCGUGUCCGUCCUGCCAGUUUCCUUAGCUGAAGCAUUUUCUUCAGCUGGAGCAGAUUCAUCAGUUGGCUUAGAUGCAUCAGCUGGAAUUUCCUUGGCUAUUUACUCAAUAGCUGGUGCAUCAGCGGGCUUUCUUGAGGCAUUUCCUCAGCAGGGGUGGUUUGUUCUUCCUCUACCUCAGGCUGAUGCGGUUUUGCUGGAGGGGCAGCCUUUUUGUUGUAAUCAUCAAUUGCGCUGGUUGCAAACUUGAUGAAAUUGUUCUUGAGACUUUGACGAUCAGAUAGCUUGGUAUACUUGUGUGUCAAAGUCUUCAAUUCUUCCUGGGUUGACACAAGAGCAUCAGGCGUGAGGCUGAGGAGAUUUUGUCUGAGGAAUUUCUCCUUCUUCAGCUUCGCAGCCUUUGCUUGUUUGGCUUGCGUCUCCUUCCACUUGGCCUCGUUCAUAAAUGUGUCCACCAUAUGGAUGAUGCCCCGGGGAAGCUUCAAGUCAUCAAUAGGUGUGUUGGGGUCAUCAUACCAAACAUUGAUGUAGUCCAACAUGACUUUUGGGUCCAUGGCCAGAGGGAUGGUGCUGCCUGAAGCUUGAGCGACACGCUCCUGCUUGUUCCUGAUGGUUGCUUGCAGUGUCUGAUCAUCAUAUUCAUCACUGCCUUCUGAUGCUGAAGGGACUUUGAUGACUUUGCUUGGUCUGGGUCUGGUUCCUCUUCCAACAGUCACCUUAGUCUUCAUUGGUGUUGGUGAAGACUUUGUCUCUAAGCUCGUUGAAGAAGGAACAUAGGAGCUGGAGACAGUAGGCAGUUGCUUCAUAAUCUGCUUGCAUUCAGGCUUUGAGGCUUGUUUGGUUGUUGAGGGUUUUGGUGCGGACGCUGGCGCAGCCUUCUGAAGCAAUUUCUCCUGAGGCUUUGAAGCCUUUGAUUUCUGUGACACAUGCUUCACUUGAGGAAUGGCCAUGCCAGAAGUUUCAGUGGCUGAGGAGGUGGCUGCGGUAGCAGCAACAACAAAUUCUUCGUUGAAUUUCCUCACAGCGGCUUCUGCUUGCUUCCGAAGCUUUGACAAGUGUUUGGUCUUUUCCUGAGGAUAAUCAUCAAUCGUCUUGAGGCUUGAAGGAUGGGCAUCCUGAUGAUCCUCGAGAGGAGGCCUUUUUCCAGGUGGCUUAAGAGUGAAUUUCUUCGCGUACUUUGGAGUGACGAAUCUGUACUCCUUCCACUCCUUAGCCCACCGGCGUUCUAUCUUUUGGAGCCUUAUCUUCCUCUUGGGCAUUGUUUCUUGCUCAUCUGGUGUGCAAUAUUCCAAGUAUAUAUCCUCAGGGAUAUCAAUGGCAGUGUUUUGUUCAAGCUUCUUGCCACCCUUUUGCUUCAUGUCAUCUUCCAUUUUCUUCAGCUGAGGCUUUUGCUGAGGAAAUUGCACUCUUGAGGAUUCUGAUGACAUGUAGAUUUUCUUUAAGAAACGCUGCAAAUGCGUUAAGUUGAUGAGAACCUAGAGAUUCAUGAGCUGGCAUUUUUGUACGUGUGAACAGAGUAUAGUUGCGAGGAAUUUGGAGAGGUCAUAUGCAUUCUCAGAUUUGAAGAAAUUGAAAAUUUUAAAGUUGAGGAAUUUGACCAGUGGGUUGAGGAAUUUGUCUAAGCACUCUGAUCUUGGGUUCCAGAGUUGUACAGAUUCGAAAAUUUGCACAAUUGAGGAAUCUCAUAAAGACUUUUAGUUGCUUAGUGAAAUUCAUCAACAGUUUGAGGAAUAAGCAGUGUUUGAGGAAUAGAGUAUGAUAGACACUGAGGAAAAACAGAUUCCACGAAUCUAAGGUAAAAUAGUAGAUUGAAAGGGACUGUAAAAAUAGGGUUUUAUUUACCCUAUAUAGCGUGCACGACGAACAGAAGAAGAAGUAGCAGUAGAUGCUCUUCGGUGCGAGUCCACUGCGCCCUAACUUGGCAACAGAGGACGGCUACGGCGGCGGCGGACAAAGACGUUUCGGUUCCGGCGUGAUUUUGGCGACGGAGAGGUCGAGGCAGUGAAGAUUUUCCUCGCCGGCGAUGAAACUUCUAGCGGUGGUGCUAGGUCUUUGCUGUAGCGGAGAGGAGGUCGAGAGAGAACGAAGAGUUUUGACCGAAGGGGGUGAGGACAUAUUUAUAGCUCAGGUGAAAACUGUCCGACCGAUUCUUUCGGACCUAACUACCCCUGCCCUUUCGUCUCUGCAGGACACGUGUAGAAACCAUUUAAAGUGGUGGAGAUCGUGCUUAUCUGAUCGUGGGAAGUGGGGUUCAGUUACUGUGUAACAAUAUAAAAAUCAUUUUUGAGGAUUUGAGGAUUUUGUUACAAAAUCAUCAGCUGACAAGGACGCAGUGAAGAUUUUGAACAAAGUUUCAAGUAGAACGCAUAUAAAGAAUUGCAUAGACUGGGUGAGUAUAGCAUAGAGGGGAAGUAAGAUCCGAUCACAUUCACUUAGAUGAAAUAUCAAGUUGAAGAAAUAGCUAUAAGUGAAUGUUGUUGAGGACUUUGAAAUCACAGUCUAUUUAUAUAUAUCUAGGCAAAUGAAAAUCAUCAAGUGUUUUUGAAGAUUUUGAUUAACGUCAGAACUUUGUGACAAAGCGUCCUGUUGAUGAAUUUUAGCUUUGAAGAAAAAUAAGUUUGAAGAAAAACAACUUUGAAGAACAACAACUUUGAAGAAAAACACCUUUGAAGAAAAACAACUUUGAAGAAAUUCAACUUGAGCACUUUCAAAGUUGAGUGGUGGCCUGACCCAUCGUAUAAGAAUGAUGAUUUCAAGCGCCGCGUACAAUUGUCGUAGGACCGUGAGAACCAAUUUCUUCAUUAAUUUCCUCACACUAAGAGUGAUAUUCUUCAUUGGUUGAAGAAAAUCGAUUCUUCGUGUGUUGCACAUCUAAGUCAUCAAUUUUGCAUAAGUGUUAGGAUGUGUGCAUGUUUUUACAAAACAUUUUAAGAUUCUAAAUAUUUAGCUCACACCGCAACUUGCAAAACCUUUUCUCAUCCAAGGGCUUAGUGAAGAUAUCUGCUAGUUGAUCGUCAGUCUUCACAUGGUCGAUGAGGAUAUUUCCCUUGAGGACAUGCUCCCGAAGAAAAUAAUGAUGAAUCUGUAUGUGCUUAGUCUUCGAGUGCUGUACUGGGUUGUAUGCAAUCUUGAUUGCACUCUAAUUGUCGCAGUAGAGAGGCACAUUCUUCAUGUUGAUGCCAUAGUCCUUAAGGGUUUGCUUCAUCCAUAGCAAUUGAGCACAACAUGAACCAGCAGCAACAUACUCAGCUUCGGCAGUGGAGAGAGAAACGCAGUUCUGCUUCUUUGAGGACUAGCAGACUAAAGAUCUUCCGAGGAAAUGACAUGUGCCAGAAGUUGACUUGCAAUCCACACGGUCACCAGCAUAGUGAGAAUCAGAAUAUCCCACAAGAUGAAGAUUUGAGCCCUUGGGGUACCAUAAUCCUAGUGUUGGUGUGUGAGCUAAGUAUCGAAGAAUAUGCUUCAUAGUCUUAUGGUGUGAUUCCUUCGGUUUUGCUUGAAAACGUGCUCACAUGCAAACACUAAGCAUUAUAUCUAGCCUAGAUGCACACAAAUACAGUAAGAGCCAAUCAUACAGCGAUAUACCCGCUGAUCGAAUUCUUUACCAUUUUUGUUAGUGCAGAGGUGGCCGUUGGUAGGCAUGGGAGUCUUGACACCUUUGCAUUCAUGCAUGUCAAAUUUCCUCAGAACAUCCUUGAUGUAUUUCUCCGGUGAUAUGAAGAUUCCAUUGCGUUGUUGACGAAUUUGAAGACCUACGAAGAAUUUCAGCUCCCCCAUCAUAGACAUCUGAUAUUCUUCACUCAUCAUGUAAGCAAAUUCAUCACUGUAACAUUUGUCAGUAUAGCCAAAUAUGAUGUCAUCGACAUAUAUUUGGCACACAAAUAGUUCAUUAUCGUAGGAUUUAGUGAAAAGAGUUGGAUCGAGUGAACCAGGUUUGAAGCCUUUCUUCAUGAGGAAUUCCUUCAAUGUAUCGUACCACGCCCAAGGGGCUUGCUUGAGACCAUAGAGCGCCUUUCUGAGUCUCAAGACUUUGUCUGGAUUCUUUGGAUCCUCAAAACCUGGGGGCUGAGCAACAUAUACUUCUUCCUCAAGCUUACCAUUGAGGAAUGCACUUUUCACAUCCAUUUGAUAUAAGAUAAUGUUAUGAUGAUUAGCAUAAGCAAGUAGUAUUUGAAUAGCUUCAAGUCUAGCAACAGGUGCAAAAGUUUCAUCGAAAUCAAUUCCUUCAACAUGUGUAUAUCCUUGGGCUACAAGUCGUGCCUUAUUCCUCACCACUUGACCAUCCUCAUCUUGCUUGUUUCGGAAAAUCCACUUGGUGCCGAUGAUAUUGUGCUUGCGAGGAUCUGGUUGUUCGACGAGAUCCCAUACGUCAUUCAACUUGAAUUGAAGAAGUUCGUCUUGCAUGGCUUCAAUCCACUCUAGUUCCAUGAAAGCCUCAGCAACUUUUGAAGGUUCUCUGAUAGAUAAAAAAUAAGAAUGCCCACAAAAGUUAACUAAGUGUGAAGCUUUUGAGCGAGUGAGAGGACCUGGCGCGUUGAUGUAAUCAAGGAUUUUGUCAAGUUCUACUUCAUUUGCAAUCCUCGGAUGAGCUGGUUGAGGAAUUCGUCUGGGCUGAGGAAUUGGUUCUGGAGCAUCUUCCUGAGGAGCAUCUUCUUGAUUUUCAUCAGUGCUGGGAAUGAUUUCUUCAGUAAUUUCCUCAGUAGGAAUAAUGUCUUUAGUAGCUUUGAGCUUUAUUUCUUCCUUAGGAGACAACUUAUCUGGAUCAGGAGGCAAUUGCUCUCUUUGCGAGCCAUUAGUUUCAUUGAAUCGCACAUCUACAGUUUCAACAACCUUGUUGUGAUAGGUGUUGAAGACUCUGUAGGCGUGCGAGUCCUUUCCGUAACCAAGCAUAAAACCCUCAUGUGCUUUAGGUGCAAACUUUGAGCUAUGGUGAGGAUCUCUAAUCCAGCAUUUUGCACCGAAAACUUUGAAAUAACUUACAUUAGGUUUCUUUUCAGUGAGGAGUUCCUAUGAGGUUUUCUUGAGGAAUUUGUGAAGAUAUACCCUGUUGAUGGUAUGGCAAGUAGUGUUGAUUGCUUCAGGCCAGAAACGACGAGGAGUCUGAUAUUCUUCAAGCAUGGUUCGUGCCAUCUCAACCAGAGUCCUGUUUUUCCUUUCAACAACGCCAUUCUGUUGAGGAGUAUAAGGAGCAGACAAUUCGUGAGUAAUACCAAGUUCAUCAAGAUAAUUAUCAAUACCAGUGUUUUUGAAUUCUGUUCCAUUAUCACUCCUGAUGUGUUUUAUCUUGAUGCCGAAGUUCGUCAAGGCCCUUGAGGAAAAUCGUUUGAAGACUUCCUGCACUUCAGUUUUUUACAAAAUGAUAUGCGCCCAAGUGUAUGUGAAAUAAUCAUCAACUAUGACAAAGCCACAUAAAGAUGCUGCAUUUGUUAGAGUGGCAUAAUGAGUAGGUCCAAAUAGAUCCAUGUGAAGCAAUUCAAGUGGACGAGUAGUCGUCAUGAUGGUCUUCAAGGGUGCUUGGAUCUAGUCAUUUUCCCAGAUUCACAAGCACCGCAGAGGUGGUCCUUGAGGAAUUUGACCGAUUCGAUGCUGAUGACAUGCUUCUUGUUCGCAAGCGUGUGCAAAUUCCUCAUGCCUACAUGACCAAGUCUUCGAUGCCAUAGCCACCCUUCUGAGGUUUUUUCUAGUAAGCAAGUGGCUGGUUGAGGACCUGUAGAGAAAUCAACAAUGUACAAAUCCUCUCUCCUAACACCUUCGAAGACUUUGGAUCUGUCAGAUUCCAUGAUGACAACACAUUUAUAUCUUCCAAAGAUAACAACCAUAUCAAGAUCACAAAGCAUUGAGACUAACAUGAGGUUAAACCCAAGGGAUUCAACAAGCAUCACUUUGUCCAUGUGCGUGUCCUUGGAAAUAGCCACUUUGCCAAGUCCCAAUACCUUGCUUUUACCUUUGUCAGCAUAAGUGAUUUUAUUCAGGGGUGAUGGAGUUAGUGGCAUAUUCAUCAGCAAGCUUUUGUCACCAGUCAUGUGAUGUGUGCAGCCACUAUCAAGAACCCACUCUAUACUCUUGGGUUUGUCAUCCUACUGAUGAAUUAGUAUAGCUUACCAUCUCAUAUGCUUCAGACUUGAAGAAUAUGAUAUCAAUUUCAUCAGAUAGGAAUUUCAUCAUAAACAGUAAUUAUCAGGACGUGUGAAAUAUUUUCAUUUCAUCAAUAUUAGCUUGUGUCCUAUCAAGCAUUUUCCUCAGGUCUCUAGCAAAUUCUUCAGAUGAUGAUUUUCAUUUGGAGACCUGACCUGGAGAAGUGAUUAGUACAAUUUCUUCACCACCCACAUAUAAAGGGGUGGUAAAGAAUUCAUCAUCAUGCGAGCACCAUAUCAGAAAGGGGGCAUUGAAGCUAAUGCACUUCUCUUAACAGUAAGGGGGUUAAAGUAGUCAAAUUAAUAUGCAGAUAAUUUCUUUGAGGAUUUAUGAACUUAAUGAUUUGAAGAAUAACGCUCAUAUUCAUAUUCCUUGUAAUUUCCCUGCAUGUUAGAAGCAUUAGCACGGGUACGAGCGUAGUUUUGACCAAUUGAGGAUUUUGAUCCUCUCGAAGACUUUGGUCCUCCUGAGGAAUUUGAUCUGGGUUCAAAUUCUUCAUAGGUGGUGUCAUGAGGACAUUCACCUGAAGAUUUGCAAGGCAACUUUUGGGGAUCCAGAUUUUCCUCAGGGGUGGUCCAUUCCUGCAGUUAGUUCCAACAUAUCAAGCAAAUACUUCACGAGAUUGAUUUUUGAACAGUUUAUAGUUCGAGUCAAAUGACUCAUCUGAGGAAUAGGAUAAUUCACAUGCAAAGCCUGUUAGAUUGGAUGGAUCAACAGGAGGCCCUUUAGCAGCAACCCAUGAGGCUUUGGGAUACUGCUCAAGUUUCCAGUAUGAUCCAUCAGCAUUCAAUUUCCUCACAAAGGCAAUUCCUUAUUUCCUCGGGUUUCUGUUCAAGAUCUGCUUUUUGAGCACAUCACAAAGGGUUUUGUGCCCUUUGAGACUUUUGUACAUGCCUGUCACAUACAAUUCCUUUAGCCCUGCAGUUUCAUCAGUGACAUUUGUGGUUUCCUCAAGUGAGGAAUUUGACACUACAGGAGCAUUUGAAGAAUUUGUAGUAAUAGAAGCAUUUGAUGAUUCUGGUGAAGAAUUAGCAGUUUCACGUUCGAUGCAUUUAAGACAUGGAGGAAUGAAUUCAGUCGGAGCAGGACCGAUCUGUUGAGCGAGUAAUGAAUCAUUUUUCAUACGAAGAUCAUCAUGAGAAAUCCUCAGCUUCUCAAGGUCAAGUUUCCUUUGAAGAAAUUCAUAGGAAAGUUUCUCAUGAUCAGCGAGGAGUGUAACAUGACGAUCUUGAAGAUUAUAAAAUCUGGACUGAAGGCUUUUCAUAUCUUCAGUUAGGAUUUGGGUAAGAUUCAUUUCAUCAUUCAACACAUCAUCGCUUUGGUCUAGCAGUUUCUGAAGCUUUUCUAGGGCAGUUUGUUGUUUAGUAGCAAUGAUAGCAAGUUUACUGUAACUGGGUUUUUUUUGUAAUCAUCAGCUUCACAGUCACUUGAAUCAGAGGAGGAAGCAUAAUUGGGUACCUUUGAACCUUUUGCCAUGAAGCAAUAGGUUGGAGCGAAGUCAUCAGCAUAGUCAUCAGUGUGGAUGGUGUUAUCAUUUUCUUCAAGGUUGAAGAUUGACUUGCUGACGAAUGUUCGUUGCAAGUGCAAGACUAGCCUACCCAGAUUCCGAGUCUUCGUCAGAACCCUCCUCUUCAUCACAUUCCUUGGAUUCUGCCUUAGAAUCCAUUUCCUUGCCAAUACGUGCCCGAGCCUUUCUUAAACUAGUCUUCUUGUGCGAUGAGGACUUUGAGGAUGAGGAUUUUGAAGAUUCCUUCUUUUUCUUCGAGUCAUCAGAACUUUCAUCCUUGUAUUUCUUAUUCUUUGAUUCCUUCACCCAACGAGGUAAAUCAGCAAUGUAGUGACCCGAUUUCUUGCAUUUGUGGCAGGUUCUUUUCUUGUAGUCCUUAGAUGAAGAUUCUGAUUUCCUCAUAUCUCUUUUUGAAGAUUUACCAAACUGGCCACGUCUUGUAAACUUCUGGAAUUUCCUCACGAGCAUUGCAAGCUCCUGUACAAAUUCUUCAGGAUCACUGUAAGUGCAUCUAGUGCCCCUUAGUGAUUUUGGUGGUUUAAAGACUUAUAGGUUAAGUAUCUAAUGUGUUCUUAAGUGUACACAGGAUCUAUAAGUCACUGAGGAGUUUGAAAUAGUUGAUGAAUAUCGACCCCUAAAAAUGUAUAUCUUCGGUUGAAGAAAUUGGUCUGAAGCUGGAGAACUGAAUCGCGAAGAAUCUACGAUGAAAUUGAUAUUCCUCAUGAAGAUAUUGAAAUUGAGGAAUUCGGUGUGUCCUGAAGAAAAUCAUUCUGAAGACUUUGAAGCAUGAAGAUUUACUCUUUCUGUUUUGUUUUCUUCACACUUGAGUAAUAGGAACACCGUACUAUUAAAGGGGGUCGAAGUUACACUUUGGAAUGAAUUUCCUCAUGAUGCUCAACACAAGCCUAAUACUACCAAAAGCCUCAAGUGAGGAAUACGAGUGACAUGAGGACUCUCACAGUUGAGGGUUCCGACCGUUUUGAUAGUCACGCCACAUCAUUGGUCUUAUCCACACCAACGGUCAUAUUAUUUAAGGGCAUUAGUGUCAAAUCAUGUCGGGAUGCUCCCAGGCUAUAAAUAGCUACCCCCACAACCAUUAGCUGGUUGGCUACUCCGUUAGAAACUGACACUUGUCAUAAGAGCUACCCAAUUCGUCAGACUCUUCGAGAGUAAUUCAUCAGUGAGGAAAUACCCCAAACACCAAACCACAAACCUAGAACCAAGUGAUUGAGCAUCACUGAAGAAGUUGUUCCUGUGUGGGACUGAAGCCUUUUACCUUUGAGGACUGUGCAUCCUCCAGACGGUUAGGCGUCAUGGUCUAGAGGAAUCCAGCAGUCAAUUGUGGAUCGCCGGGUGACCAAGUUUGUGAGGGUUUGGAAGUGUGCCCCGAAGACUUACCACGAGUGUUGGGCGAGGACUGUGUGUUCUUAGCCCAAGGAUAAUACGGUAGGGACUGUGUGUUCCGGGACUGUGUGUCUUUUGGUUUCAAUACCAAGCCGCUCCAAACCAGAUGUACAACUAUCAUAGCAGUUGGAACUAGGUCAUCAACUACUGUCUUCGUUGUGAAACGGGUUCUAAUUCCUCAACUCUUUCCAUUCCUCAGAUUAUGUGUUGAUGACUUUCACUGUCACUGUUUGAAGAAUUUGCUGAAGACUUUGUGUGAAAUUCCUCAACCCCAAAUUCUUCACGCUAGUUAAUCCUCAUCUGUAUUUCCCAAUCUCUUCAAUCGCUUCAAGAGGCAUGAGAAUGAAAGCUGCAAGAUACCUUUGAUCGCCUCACUGACAUAUCAAAUGAACUGCAAGCACUGGGAGCUCGAGACAUCACUGGUCACGAAGUUGUGAAGAAACAGCUAAGAUCUUUGGAUUCUUCAUGUGAUACUUUAGUCCUGAUGAUUCAAGAAAGACCAGACUACAAGAUGCUUGAUCCAGCGGUAUACUCGAAAGGCUCAAUACUCAUGAAUUCCAGCAAGAAGAAAAGAAAGAUCUAUAUGGAGCAAGAUAUUCUAGACCACGUGCACUGAAGGCUAGAGCAAUUUCCUCAUCUGAAGAAGAAGACUCGGAUGACAGCAUUGGUGACCCUGAAGAAUUUGGACAGGAGCUUGCAAUGCUCGUGAGGAAAUUCCAGAGGUUUACACGACGUGGCCAGUUUGGUAAAUCUUCAAGAAGAGACAUGAGGAAAUCAGAAUCUUCAUCUCAGGACUACAAGAAAAGAACCUACCACAAAUGUAAGAAAUCAGGUCAUUACAUUGCUGAUUGUCCUCGUUGGGGAAAGGAAUCAAAGAAGAAGAAAUACAAGGAUGACAGUUCUGAUGACUCGAAGAACAAGAAGAAAUCUUCAAAAUCCUCAUCUUCAAAGCCCUCAUCGCACAAGAAGACUAGUUUCAGAAAGGCUUGGGCACUUAUUGGGAAGGAAAUGGAUUCCGAGGCAGAAUCAGAGGAAUGUGAUGAAGAGGAGGGUUCUGAUGAAGACUUAGAAUCCGGACAGGCCAGUCUUGCACUUGCAACCACUUUCGUCAGCAAGUCAAUCUUCAACCUUGAAGAAGAUGAUAACACCAUCCACACUGAUGACUAUGCUGCUGACUUCGCUCCAACCUAUUGCUUCAUGGCAAAAGGUUCAAAGUUACCGAAUGAUGCUUCCUCCUCUGAUUCAAGUGACUAUGAACCUGAUGAUUAUAANUGCAGGAAUGGCCCUCCUUUGAGGAAAAUCUGGGUUCCCAAAAGUUGUCUUGAAAAUCUUCAGGUGAAUGUCCUCAUGACACCACCAAUGAAGAAUCUGAACCCCAGAUCAAAAUCCUCAGGAGGACCAAAGUCUUCAAGAGGAUCAAAAUCCUCAACUGGUCAAAACUAUGCUCGUUCCCGUGCUAAUACUUCUAACAUGCAGGGAAACUACAAGGAAUAUGAAUAUGAGCGUUACUCUUCAAAUCAUUAUGUUCAUAAAUCCUCAAACAAGUUCUCUGCAUAUUCAUAUGAGUACUUUAACCCCCCUACUCUUAAGAGAAGUGCAUUAGCUUCAAUGCCACCUUUCUCAUAUGGUGCUCGCAUGAUGAUGAAUGCUUUACCACCCCUUCAGAUGUGGGUGGUGAAGAAAUCGAACUAAUCACUUCUGUAGGUCAGGUCUCCAGAUGAAAAUCAUCAUCCGAAGAAUUUGCUGGAGACCUGAGGAAAUGCUUGAUAGGACACAAGCUAAUAUUGAUGAAAUAGAAAUAUUUCACACGUCCUUAUAAUUCUGUUGUGAUGAAAUACUUAUCUGAUGAAAUUGGUAUCAUAUUCUUCAAAUCUGAAGCAUAUGAGAUGGUAAGCUGUACUAAUUCAUCUGCAAGAUGACAAACCCAAGAAUAUUGAGUGGGUUCUUGAUAGUGGCUGCACACAUGACAUGACUGGUGAUAAAAGCUUGUUGAUGAAUAUGCCACUAACUCCAUCUCCUCUGAAGCAAAUCACAUAUGCUGACAAAGGUAAAAGAAAGGUAUUGGAACUUGGCAAAGUGGCUAUUUCCAAGGAUAGGCAUAUAGACAAAGUGAUGCUUGAUGAAUCCCUUGGUUUUAACCUCAUGUCAGUCUCGAUGCUUUGUGAUCUUUAUAUGAUUGUUAUCUUUGGUAGAUAUAGAUGUGUAGUCAUCAUGGAAUCUGACAGAUCCAAAGUCUUCGAAGGUGUAAGAAGAGGGGAUUUGUACAUUGUUGAUUUCUCUACAGGUCCUCAACCAGCCACUUGCUUAUUAGCAAAAACCUCAAAAGGAUGGUUGUGGCACCGAAGACUAGGUCAUGCAGGCAUGAAGAAUUUACACACGCUCGCGAAGAAGAAGCAUGUCAUCGGCAUCGAAUCAGUCAAAUUCCUCAAGGAUCAUCUCUGCGGUGCAUGUGAAUCUGGGAAAAUGAUCAGAUCCAAGCAUCCCUCGAAGACUAUCAUGACCACUACUCGUUCCUUCGAAUUGCUUCAUAUGGAUCUAUUUGGACCUACUCACUAUGCCACACUAACCAAUGCAGCAUCUUUAUAUGGCUUCGUCAUAGUUGAUGAUUAUUCCAGAUAUACAUGGGUGCAUAUCAUCGUAUAUAAAACUGAAGUGCAGGAAAUCUUCAAACGAUUUUCUUCAAGGGCCUCGACGAACUUUGGCAUCAAGAUCAAACAUAUCAAGAGUGAUAAUGGAACAGAGUUCAAAAACACUGGUCUUGAUGAUUAUCUUGAUGAACUUGGUAUUACUCAUGAAUUGUCUGCUCCUUAUACUCCUCAGCAGAACGGUGUCGUCGAAAGGAACAACAGGACUCUGGUUGAGAUGGCAAGCACUAUGCUUGAAGAAUAUCAGACUCCUCGUCGCUUUUGGCCUGAAGCAAUCAACACUGCAUGCCAUAUCAUCAACAGGGUAUAUCUUCACAAAUUCCUCAAGAAAACCUCAUAUGAACUCCUCACUGAUAAGAAGCCCAAUGUAACUUAUUUCAAAAUCUUCGGUGCAAAAUGUUGGAUUAGAGAUCCGCACCAUAGCUCAAAAUUUGCAACUAAGGCACAUGAGGGUUUUAUGCUUGGUUAUGGAAAGGACUCGCACACCUACAGAGUCUUCAACAACUAUCACAACAAAGUUGUUUAGACUGUAGAUGUGCGGUUCGAUGAAACUAAUGGCUCGCAAAGAGAGCAAUUGCCUUCUGAUCCAGAUAAGCUGUCUCCUGAGGAAGCAAUAAAGCUCAAACCUACUGAAGACAUUGUUACCACUGAGGAAAUUGAUGAAGAAACCAUCCCCAUCACUUAUUAAAAUCAAGAAGGUGCUCCAGAGGAAGUUGCUCCAGAACCACUUCCUCCGCCCACACGAAAUCCUCAACCAGCUCAUCCAAGGAUUGCAAAUGAAGUAGAACUUGACAAAAUCCUCAAUGACAUCAACGCGCCAGGUCCUCUCACUCGCUCAAAAUCUUCACACUUAGUUAACUUUUGUGGGCAUUUCUCCUUUGUAUCUAUCACAGAACCCUCAAAAGUUGCUGAGGCUUUCCUGGAACCAGAGUGGAUCCAAGCUAUGCAAGACGAACUUCUUCAAUUCAAGCUGAAUGACGUAUGGGAGCUCGUCAAACGACCAGAUCCUCGCGAGCACAACAUCAUCGGAACCAAGUGGAUUUUCCGAAACAAGCAAGAUGAGGAUGGUCAAGUGGUGAGGAAUAAGGCACGUCUUGUAGCCCAAGGCUACACCCAGGUUGAAGGAAUAGAUUUCGAUGAAACUUUUGCACCUGUUGCUAGACUUGAAGCUAUUCGAAUACUACUUGCUUAUGCUAAUCAUCAUAACAUCAUCUUAUAUCAAAUGGAUGUGAAAAGUGCAUUCCUCAAUGGUAAGCUUGAGGAAGAAGUAUAUGUUGCUCAGCCCCCAUGUUUUGAGGAUCCAAAGAAUCCAGACAAAGUCUUCAGACUCAAAAAGGCGCUCUACGGUCUCAAGCAAGUCCCUCGGACAUGGUAUGAUACAUUGAAGGAAUUCCUCAUGAAGAAAGGCUUCAAACCUGGUUCACUCGAUCCAACUCUUUUCACUAAAUCCUAUGAUAAUGAGCUAUUUGUGUGCCAGAUAUAUGUCGAUGAUAUUAUAUUUGGCUGUACUGACAAACGAUACAGUGAUGAAUUUGCUUACAUGAUGAGUGAAGAAUAUUAGAUGUCUAUGAUGGGGGAGCUGAAAUUCUUCUUAGGUCUUCAAAUUCGUCAACAAUGCAAUGGAAUCUUCAUAUCACAGGAGAAAUACCUCAAGGAUGUUAUGAGGAAAUUCGAUAUGCACGAAUGCAAAGGUGCCAAGACUCCAAUGCCUACCAACUGCCACCUCGGCACUGACGAAAAUGGUAAAGAAUUCGAUCAACAGGUAUAUUGCUCUAUGAUUGGCUCUUUAUUGUAUCUAUGUGCAUAUAGGCCAGAUAUAAUGCUUAGUGUUUGCAUGUGUGCACGUUUUCAAGCAAAACCGAAGGAAUCACACCAUAGGGCUGUGAAGCAUAUUCUUCGAUACUUAGCUCACACACCAACACUAGGAUUAUGGUAUCCCAAGGGCUCAAAUCUUCAUUUGGUAGGGUAUUCUGAUUCUGACUAUGCUGGUGACCUUGUGGAUCGCAAGUCAAUAUGUGGCACAUCCCAUUUCCUCGGAAGAUCACUAGCUUGCUGGUCCUCAAAGAAGCAGAACUACGUAUCACUCUCCACUGCCGAAGCUGAGUACAUUGCUGCUGGUUCAUGCUGUGCUCAAUUGCUCUGGAUGAAGCAAACCCUCAAGGACUACGACAUCAACAUGAAGAAUGUGCCUCUCUACUGCGACAAUGAGAGUGCAAUCACGAUUGCAUACAACCCAGUACAACACUCGAAGACUAAGCACAUCUAGAUUCGUCAUCAUUUUCUUCGGGACCAUGUCCUCAAGGGCAAUAUCCUCAUCGACCAUGUGAAGACUGAUGAUCAACUGGCAGAUAUCUUCACUAAGCCCUUGGAUGAGAAAAGGUUUUGCAAGUUGCGGUGUGAGCUAAAUAUCUUAGAAUCUUCAAAUGUUUUGUAAAAACAUGCACACAUCCUAUCACUUAUGCAAAAUUGAUGACUUAGAUGUGCAACACAUGAUGAAUUGAUUUUCUUUAACCGAUGAAGAAUAUCACUCUGAAUGUGAAGAAAUCAACGAAGGGAUUGAUUCUCAGGGCCCUACACCAAUUGUACACGGCGUCUGUAAUCAACAUUCUUAUAUGGUGGGUCACGCCACCGCCCAACAUGAAAUUCCUCAAGUUGAUUUUCUUCAAAGUUCCAUUUCCUCAAAAUUUGUUUUUUACACAGCUGUUCUUCAUUGUGACGAUUUAUCACAAAAUCCUCAAGUUAGUCAAAUCUUCAAAAACACUUGAUGACUUUAGUUUAACUAGAUAGAUUGUGAUUUCAUGUCCUCAACAGCAUUCACUUAUAGCUAUUUCUUCAAGUUGAUAUUUCAUCUAAGUGAAUGUGAUUGGACCCUACUUUACCUCUAUGCUAUUCUCAUCCAGUCUAUUCAAUUCUUCAUAUGCGUUCUACUUGAAACUUUGUUCAAAAUCCUCACUGCGUCCUUGUCAGCUGAUGAUUUUGUAACAAAAUCCUCAAAUCUUCAAAAAUGUUUCUUUAAUGCACAGUAACUGAACCCCACUUUCCUCGUUCAGAUAACCACGAUCUCCACGAUCUCCACCGCUUUGCUCGGGAGCUACACGUGUCCCGCGGAGACGUAGACGCAGGGACUAUUUGGUCCGAUUUCUUCACACCAACAGUAACUUCCUGGCUAUAAAUAUGUCCUUAUCCCCCUCGGUAAACACUUCUUCGCUCCAUCGCUCUCCUGCUACAACAAAAGCCUCGAACCCUAGCGCCAUCGCUGGAAGUCUCGUCGCCGGUGAAGAAGAGCUUCACUGCCUCGACUUUUCCGUCGCCGAAACCACGCCGGAGUCAGACCAUCCUCGUCCGCCGCCGCCGUAGAUGUCCUCUGCUGUCGGGUUAGGGCGCAUUGGACAUGCACCAGAAGAGUUUCUCCCUGCUACUCUUCUCUGUUCUUCGUGCGCGCCAUCUAGGGUAAAUAAAAACCCUAUUUUUACAGCAAGUUUGAUCUACUAUUUUACCUCUGAGAUGUGAAAUCUAUUUUUCCUCAAGAAUCCAUAUGCAUCUGAAUCCUCAAACACUGCCUAUCACCACACUAUUGAUGAACUGCACUAAGCAUCUAAGAUUUUCACGAGAUUCCUCAGUUGUGCGAAUUUUCGGAUCUGUACAACUCUGGAACCCAAGAAUAGUAUGCUUAGGCAAAUUCCUCAACCACUGGUCAAAUUCCUCAACUGUCAAUUUUUUUCAUUUUCUUCAAAUCUGAGAACGCAUAUGACCUCUCCACAUUCCUCGCAACUAUACUCUGUUCACAGGUACACACAUGUCAGCUGAUGAAUCUCUCGGUUCUCAUCACAUUAACUCAUUUGCAACGUUUCUUGAAGAAAAUUUUCAAGUCUCAUCAGAAUCCUCAAGAGUUCAAUCUCAUCAGCAAAAUCCUCAGCUGAAGAAAAUGGAGGAUGACAGGAAGCAAAAGGGAGGCAAGAAACUUGAGCAGAAUAUAACCGCAGAUAUCCCCCAGGAUAUAUACUUGGACUACUACACUCCUAAUGAAAAUAAAACAAUGGCCAAGAGAAAGAUUCGGUUUCAGAAGAUAGAACGCUGAUGGGGUAAGUGCAUCUAGUGCCCCUUAGUGAUUUUGGUGGUUUGAAGACUUAUAGGUUGAGUAUCUAAUGUGUUCAUGAGUGUACACAUGAUCUAUAAGUCACUGAGGAGUUUGAGAUAUUUGAUGAAUAUCGACCCCUAAAAAUGUAUAUCUUCGGUUGAAGAAAUUGGUCUGAAGCUGAAGAAUUGAAUCACGAAGAAUCUGCGAUGAAAUUGAUAUUCCUCAUGAAGAUAUUGAAUUUGAGGAAUUCGGUGUGUCCUGAAGAACAUCAUCCUGAAGACUGUGAAGCAUGAAGAUUUACUCUUUCUGUUUUGUUUUCUUCACAUUUGAGUAAUAGGAACACCGUAGUGUUAAAGGGAGUCGAAGUUACACUUUGGAAUGAAUUUCCUCAUGAUGCUCAACCCAAGCCUAAUCCUACCAAACGCCUCAAGUGAGGAAUAUGGGUGACAUGAGGACUCUCACAGUUGAGGGUUCCGACCGUUUCGAUAGCCACGCCACAUCAUUGGUCUUAUCCACACCAACGGUCAUAUUAUUUAAGGGCAUUAGUGUCAAAUCAUGUCGGGAUGCUCCUAGGCUAUAACUAGCCGCCUCCACAACCAUUAGCUGGUUGGAUGCUCUGUUAGAAACUAACAGUUGUCAUAAGAGCAACCCAAUUCCUCAGAGUCUUCGAGAGUAAUUCAUCAGUGAGGAAAUACCCCAAACACCAAACCACAAACCUAGAACCAAGUGAUUUAGCAUCACUGAAGAAAUUGUUCCUGUGUGGGACUGAAGCCUUUUAACUUUGAGGACUGUGCAUCCUCCAGACGGUUAGGCAUCAUGGUCUAGAGCAAUCCAGCAGUCAAUUGUGGAUCGCCGGGUGUCCAAGUUUGUGAGGGGUUGGAAGUCUGCCCUGAAGACUUACCACGAGUGUUGGGCGAGGACUGUGUGUUCUUAGCGGAAGGAGAAUACGGUAGGGACUGUGUGUCCUGGGACUGUGUGUCUUUUGGUUUCAAUACCAAGCCGCUCCAAACCAGAUGUACAACUGUCUCAGCAGUUGGAACUGGGUCAUCAACUACUGUCUUUUCUGUGAAACGGGUUCUAAUUCCUCAACUCUUUACAUUCCUCAGAUUAAAUGUUGAUGACUUUCAGUGUCACUGUUUGAAGAAUUUGAUGAAGACUUUCUCUGAAAUUCCUCAACCCCAAAUUCUUCACGCUAGUUAAUCCACAUCUGUUUUCUGCGUGCCUGCUCACUAUGCAAUCUGUUUUCACAUUCCUCACACUGAAAAACUGCUGUUGUUAAACUUUGCACUCCCGAUCCUUUACUGUUUCUGAUGUAAGUUAGUCAUCGGUGAGGAAUUUCCUCAAAAGGAAUUUCCUUAGUGAUGAAAUUAUAAAAAUCUCCUAUUCACCCCCCUCUAGUCGAUAUAACGCACUUUCAAUUGGUAUCAGAGCAAGGUACUCCCUUGUUCUGUGUGAUUUUGGUUUAACCACCUGGAGUUUUAGUUAUGUCGACUUCAGGCAUGAUUAAGGUCACUGCAGCAUGUCCUACUUUCGAAGGAAAGAACUUUCCCUUCGGGAAGACCAAGAUGCAGAUGCAUCUACAAGCUAUUGACAAUGAUCUCUGGUAUAUUGUGCAACAUGGCGUCCCCAUCGUCUCUGUUAGUGUCUCUGCUGCUGAUGUGAAGAAAUUCAAGCAACUUGAUUCUCAAGCGAAGAAUAUCAUCUGUGGCCAUCUGAGCCCAGGCCAGUUUGGAAGAGUGAGUGCUUUGGGCUCUGCAACACUUAUCUGGGAGAGAGUGUGCAUAGUAAAUGAAGGAGUAUCAACCCAGCGUGACACUCGUGUUGAUGUUCUUCGCAAUCUCUUCAAUCGCUUCAAGAGGCAUGACAAUGAAGCCUGCCAAGAUACCUUUGAUCGCCUCACUGACAUAUCAAAUGAACUGCAAGCACUGGGAGCUGGAGACAUCACUGAUCACGAAGUUGUGAAGAAACUGCUAAGAUCUUUGGAUUCUUCAUUUGAUACUUUAGUCCUGAUGAUUCAAGAAAGACCAGACUACAAGAUGCUUGAUCCAGCUGAUAUACUCGAAAGGCUCAAUACUCAUGAAUUCCAGCAAGAAGAAAAGAAAGAUCUAUAUGGACCAAGCUAUUCUAGACCACGUGCACUGAAGGCUAGAGCAAUUUCCUCAUCUGAAGAAGAAGACUCGGAUGACAGCAUUGGUGACCAUGAAGAAUUUGGACAGGAGCUUGCAAUGCUCGUGAGGAAAUUCCAGAGGUUUACACGACGUGGCCAGUUCGGUAAAUCUUCAAGAAGAGACAUGAGCAAAUCAGAAUCUUCAUCUGAGGACUACAAGAAAAGAACCUGCCACAAAUGCAAGAAAUCAGGUCAUUACAUUGCUGAUUGUCCCCGUUGGGGAAAGGAAUCAAAGAAGAAGAAAUACAAGGAUGACAGUUCUGAUGACUCGAAGAACAAGAAGAAAUCUUCAAAAUCCUCAUCUUCAAAGCCCUCAUCGCACAAGAAGAAUAGUUUCAGAAAGGCUCAAGCACUUAUUGGCAAGGAAAUGGAUUCCGACGCAGAAUCAGAGGAAUGUGAUGAAGCUGAGGGAUCUGAUAAAGACUCAGAAUCCGGACAGUCCAGUCUUGCACUUGCAACCACUUUCUUCAGCAAGUCAAUCUUCAACCUUGAAGAAGAUGAUAACACCAUCCACACUGAUGACUAUGCUGAUGACUUCGCUCCAACCUAUUGCUUCAUGGCAAAAGGUUCAAAGGUACUGAAUGAUGCUUCCUCCUCUGAUUCAAGUGACUGUGAACCUGAUGAUUAUAANNNNNNNNNNNNNNNNNNNNNNNNNNNNNNNNNNNNNNNNNNNNNNNNNNNNNNNNNNNNNNNNNNNNNNNNNNNNNNNNNNNNNNNNNNNNNNNNNNNNNNNNNNNNNNNNNNNNNNNNNNNNNNNNNNNNNNNNNNNNNNNNNNNNNNNNNNNNNNNNNNNNNNNNNNNNNNNNNNNNNNNNNNNNNNNNNNNNNNNNNNNNNNNNNNNNNNNNNNNNNNNNNNNNNNNNNNNNNNNNNNNNNNNNNNNNNNNNNNNNNNNNNNNNNNNNNNNNNNNNNNNNNNNNNNNNNNNNNNNNNNNNNNNNNNNNNNNNNNNNNNNNNNNNNNNNNNNNNNNNNNNNNNNNNNNNNNNNNNNNNNNNNNNNNNNNNNNNNNNNNNNNNNNNNNNNNNNNNNNNNNNNNNNNNNNNNNNNNNNNNNNNNNNNNNNNNNNNNNNNNNNNNNNNNNNNNNNNNNNNNNNNNNNNNNNNNNNNNNNNNNNNNNNNNNNNNNNNNNNNNNNNNNNNNNNNNNNNNNNNNNNNNNNNNNNNNNNNNNNNNNNNNNNNNNNNNNNNNNNNNNNNNNNNNNNNNNNNNNNNNNNNNNNNNNNNNNNNNNNNNNNNNNNNNNNNNNNNNNNNNNNNNNNNNNNNNNNNNNNNNNNNNNNNNNNNNNNNNNNNNNNNNNNNNNNNNNNNNNNNNNNNNNNNNNNNNNNNNNNNNNNNNNNNNNNNNNNNNNNNNNNNNNNNNNNNNNNNNNNNNNNNNNNNNNNNNNNNNNNNNNNNNNNNNNNNNNNNNNNNNNNNNNNNNNNNNNNNNNNNNNNNNNNNNNNNNNNNNNNNNNNNNNNNNNNNNNNNNNNNNNNNNNNNNNNNNNNNNAGAGGAUCAAAAUCCUCAACUGGUCAAAACUAUGCUCGUUCCCGUGCUAAUACUUCUAACAUGCAGGGAAACUACAAGGAAUAUGAAUAUGGGCGUUACUCUUCAAAUCAUUAUUCAUAAAUCCUCAAACCAGUUCUCUGCAUAUUCAUAUGAGUACUUUAACCCCCCUACUGUUAAGAGAAGUGCAUUAGCUUCAAUGCCACCUUUCUCAUAUGGUGCUCGCAGGAUGACGAAUGCUUUACCACCCCUUCAGAUGUGGGUGGUGAAGAAAUCGAACUAAUCACUUCUGCAGGUCAGGUCUCUAGAUGAAAAUCAUCAUGUGAAGAAUUUGUUGGAGACCUGAGGAAAUGCUUGAUAGCACGCAAGCAAAUAUUGAUGAAAUAGAAAUAUUUCACACGUCCUUAUAAUUCUGUUGUGAUGAAAUUCUUAUCUGAUGAAAUUGAUAUCAUAUUCUUCAAAUCUGAAGCAUAUGAGAUGGUAAGCUGUACUAAUUCAUCUGCAGGAUGACAAACCCAAGAAUAUUGAGUGGGUUCUUGAUAGUGGCCGCACACAUCACAUGACUGGUGAUAAAAGCUUGCUGAUGAAUAUGCCACUAACUCCGUCACCUCUGAAGAAAAUCACAUAUGCUGACAAAGGUAAAAGCAAGGUAUUUGAACUUGGCAAAGUGGCUAUUUCCAAGGAUAGGCAUAUGGACAAAGUGAUGCUUGUUGAAUCCCUUGGUUUUAACCUCAUGUCAGUCUCGAUGCUUUGUGAUCUUGAUAUGAUUGUUAUAUUUGGUAGAUAUAGAUGUGUAGUCAUCAUGGAAUCUGACAGAUCCAAAGUCUUCGAAGGUGUAAGAAGAGGGGAUUUGUACAUUGUUGAUUUCUCUACAGGUCCUCAACCAGCCACUUGCUUACUAGCAAAAACCUCAGAAGGAUAGCUGUGGAACCGAAGACUAGGUCAUGCAGGCAUGAGGAAUUUGCACACGCUCGCGAAGAAGAAGCAUGUCAUCGGCAUCGAAUCAGUCAAAUUCCUCAAGGAUCAUCUCUGCAGUGCAUGUGAAUCUGGGAAAAUGACCAGAUCCAAGCAUCCCUCGAAGACUAUCAUGACCACUACUCGUCCCUUCGAAUUGCUUCAUAUGGAUCCUCUCCCNNNNNNNNNNNNNNNNNNNNNNNNNNNNNNNNNNNNNNNNNNNNNNNNNNNNNNNNNNNNNNNNNNNNNNNNNNNNNNNNNNNNNNNNNNNNNNNNNNNNAUCGCAACAGUUUUCGAGGGUAGAGUAUUCAACCCAAAUUUAUUGAUUCGACUCAAGGGGAAGCGAAAGAAUAUUCUCAAGUAUUAGCAGUUGAAUUGUCAAUUCAACCACACCUGAAAGAUUAGUGUCUGCAAGCAAAGUAUCAAUAGCAAAAUGGUAUGAUAGCAACGGUGCAAGAAAAAGGUCUGUUGACGGCAGGCUAUUCCUGACUUGUUGUAUCAAUGGCGCCAGAAAAGUCUUGCAACAGGUAACAACAAAGUAGCAAGUAACAAGUAACAACAGUAGUGACAAUAGUAGUGACAGCAGUAGCAGCAAAGUAACGACAAAGUAACGUAGCAAGGACCAGUAGUAAAAGACUCGUUGGCAUUGGAUCGAUGAUGGAUGAUUAUGUCGGAUGUGAUUCAUCAUGUAACAGCUAUAACACGGAGAGAUAUGUAACUAGCUCCCGUUCGUCAAUCUAAUGUAGGCAUGUAUUCCGUAUGUAGUCAUACGUGCUUAAGGAAAAGAACUUGCAUGACAUCUAUUGUCCAUCCCUCUCGUGGCAGCGUGGUCCUAAUGGAAACUACGGGAUAUUAAGGUUCUCCUUUUAAUAAAGAACCGUACCAACGCAUUAACACUUGGUGAAUACAUGAACUCCUCAUACUAUGGUCAUCUCCGGGAGUGGUUCCGGCUAUUGUCACUCCAGGGUUGCCGGGUCAUAACACAUAGUAGGUGACUACAACUUGCAAGAUAGGAUCUAAAACACACAUAUAUUGGCGACAACAUAAUAGGUUCAGAUCUGAAAUCAUGGCACUCAGGCCCUAGUGCCAAGCAUUAAGCAUGGCAAAGUAGUAGCAACAUCAAUCUCAGAACGUAGUGGAUACUAGGGAUCAAUCCCCGUCAAAACUAACUCGAUUACAUGAUAGAUUGAUACGUCUCAAACGUAUCUAUAAUUUUUGUUGGUUUCACGCUGUUAUCUUGUCAUCUUUGGAUGUUUUAUGUACCUUUUAUAUCUUUUUUGGGACUAACUUAUUAAUUCAGUGCCAAGUGCGAGUUCCUGGUUUUUCUGUGUUUUUGGCUCUUUUUAGAUCUGAUUUUGGAACGGAGUCCAAAUGGAAUAAAAUCCCCGAAAUUAUUUUUUCCCGAACGAAAGAAGAUCAGGGGGCCGGUGGGCCAAGCCACGAGGGCUCCUGGGAGCCCACAAGCCCCCACUCCGCCACCAGGGGUAGGCGGCGGUGGCACGGCUUGUGGCCUCCCUGGUCGCCCCCUAACCUAGAUCUUUGGCCUAUAUAUUCCCUAAAAUACAGCAAAAAAACGGGGGAGCCUCGAAAAUACUUUUCCGCUGCCGCAAGCUUCCGUUUCCGUGAGAUCUCAUCUGGAGACCCUUCCCGGCGCCCUGCCGGAGGGGACUUUGGAGUUGGAGGACUUCUUCAUCAUCAUCAUCGCCCCUCCAAUGACUCGUGAGUAGUUCACUUCAAACCUACCGGUCCAUAGUUAGUAGCUAGAUGGCUUCUUCUCUCUCUUAAAUCUUCAAUACAAAUUUCUCCAUGAUCUUCAUGGAGAUCUAUCCGAUGUAAUCUUCUUUGGCGGUGUGUUUGUCGAGAUCCGAUGAAUUGUGGAUUUGUGACCAGAUUAUCUAUUAUAUAUAUUUGAGUCUUUGCUGAUUUCUUAUAUGCAUGAUUUGAUAUCCUUGUAAGUCUCUCCGAGUCUUGGGUUUUGUUUGGCAAACUAGAUCUAUGAUUCUUGCAAUGGGAGAAGUGCUUGGUUUUGGGUUCUACCAUGUGGUGACCUUUCCCAGUGACAGUAGGGGCAGCAAGGCACACAUUAAGUAGUAGCCAUCACGGGUAAAAAGAUGGGGUUUUCAUCAUUGGUUUGAGAUUAUCCCUCUACAUCAUGUCAUCUUGCUUAAGGCGUCACUCUGUUCUUAUGGACUNNNNNNNNNNNNNNNNNNNNNNNNNNNNNNNNNNNNNNNNNNNNNNNNNNNNNNNNNNNNNNNNNNNNNNNNNNNNNNNNNNNNNNNNNNNNNNNNNNNNACGUGCAACUUUCGCCGGUGCACAAACCCACCAUUAGCCUCCCUCAAAACAGCCACCAUACCUACAUAUUAUGGCUUUUUCAAAGUCAUUCCGAGAUAUAUUGCCAUGCAACUACCACCAUGACAUGUAAGACCACGUCUACAUUUCCAUUACAUGAUCGUAAGAUAGCUAGCAUGAUGUUUCCAUUAAUAUCUAUGUCAUGCUAUAUCAUUGCCACGGUACACUGCCGAAGGCAUUCCAUAUAGAGUCAAUGUUGCUCUAAGUUUUGAGUUGAAAGUGUGAUGAUCAUCAUUAAUGGAGCAUUUUCCCAUUUGAGGAAAUAAAAGAGGCCAAAGAAGCCCACCAAAAAAAAAGAGGCCAAAGAGCCCACCCAAAAAAAUGAGAGAAAAAGAGAGAAGGGACAAUGCUACCACUUUUUCCACACUUGUGCAUAUUAAGCACCAUGAUCUUCAUGAUUGAGAGUAUCUCGUUUUUUCACCACCAUAUAGCUAGUUGGAAAUUUUCAUUAUAUAACUUGGCUUGUAUAUUCCAAUGAUAGGCUUNNNNNNNNNNNNNNNNNNNNNNNNNNNNNNNNNNNNNNNNNNNNNNNNNNNNNNNNNNNNNNNNNNNNNNNNNNNNNNNNNNNNNNNNNNNNNNNNNNNNUCAUCCGGGACUCUAACCAAAACUUCGGUCACCAACACAUAUAACUCAACUAUACCGAAACGUCACCGAACCGUAAGUGUGCAGACCCUGCGGGUUCGAGAACUAUGCAGACAUGACCUUUGACACUCUCUGGUCAAUAACCAACAACAGGACCUGGAUGUCCAUAUUGUUUCCUACAUAUUCUACGAAGAUCUCUAUCGGUUGAACCUCUAUGUCAAGGAUUCAUAUAAUCCCGUAAACUAUUCCCUUUGUCCUUCGGUAUGUUACUUGCCCGAGAUUCGAUCGUCGAUAUCUCUAUACCUGGUUCAAUCUCGUUACCGGCAAGUCUCUUUACUCAUUCCAUAAUACAAGAUCCUGUAAAUAACUCCUUAGUCAGAUUUCAUGCGAGGCUUGUUGUGAUGUUGUAUUACCAAGUGGGCCCCGAGAUACCUCUCCGUCACACGGAGUGACAAAUCCCAGUCUUGAUACAUGCCAACCCAACAGACACCUUUGGAGAUACCUGUAGAUCACCUUUAUAGUCACCCAGUUACGUUGCGAUGUUUGAUAACCCACAAGGUAUUCCUCCGGUGUCCGGGAGUUGCAUGAUCUCAUGGUCAUAGGAAUAGAUACAUUGACAUGCAGAAAACAGUAGCAAUAAACUGACACGAUCAUAUACUAUGUUUAUAGUUUGGGCCUUGUCCAUCACAUCAUUCUCCCAAUGAUGUGAUCCCGUUAUCAAGUGACACCACUUUCCUAUGGCCAGGAAACCUUGACCAUAUUUGAUCAACAAACUAGUCAACUAGAGGCUCACUAGGGACAGUGUGUUGUCUAUGUAUCCACACAUGUAUUUGAGUUUCCAAUCAAUACAAUUCUACCAUGGAUAAUAAACGAUUAUUAUGAGCAAGGAAAUAUAAUAAUAACUAAUUUAUUAUUGCCUCUGGGGCAUAUUUACAACAGUCUCCCACUUGCACUAGAGUAUAUAAUCUUGUUCACAUCACUAUGUGAUUGUAAUGAAUCUAACACCCACACAGUUCUGGGGUUCGAUCAUGUCUUGAUUGUGAGAGAGGUUUUAUUCAAUGGUUCUGAACCUUUCAUAUCCGUGUGUGCUUUACAAGUCUUUAUGUGAUCCUAUAGAUGCUGCUACUACAUGCUAUUUGGAAAUAUUCAAAAUGACUGCUCUACUAUACAAAUCUGAUUUACUACUCAGAGUUAUUGGGAUUAGUGUCAAAGCUUGCAUCGAUGUAACCCUUUACGACGAACUCUUUAAUCACCUCCAUAAUCAAGAAAAAUUCCUUAGUACAUUAGUUACUAAGGAUAACUUUGACCGCUGUUCAGUGAUUCAAUCAUGGACCACUCUUUGUACCCCUUGACAGACUUAUGGCAAGACACACAUCAGGUGCGGUACACAGCAUGGCAUACUUUAGAGUCUACGGCUAAGGCAUAGGGCACGACCUUCAUCCUUUCUCUUUCUUCUGUCAUGAAAGGGCUUUGAGUCUUACUCAAAUUCACACCUUACAACAUAGCCAAGAACUCCUUCUUUGCUGAUCUAUUUUGAACUCCUUCAAAAACCUGUCAAGGCAUGCAUUUCAUUUGAACUUCUAUUUAGCGUUUUGAUCUAUCUCUAUAGAUCUUGAUGCUCAAUGUUCAAGAAGCUCUAUCCAGGUCUUCCUUUGAAAAACUCAUUUCAAACAACCCUUUAUCCUUUCCGGAAAUUCUAUAUUAUUUUCGACCAACAAUAUGUCAACUACAUAUACUUAUCAAAAAUUCUAUAGUGCUCCCACUCACUUCUUUGGAAAUACAAGUUUCUCAUAAACCUUGCAAAAACCAAAAAGCUUUGAUCAUAUCAUCAAAGCGUAUAUUCAAACUCAAAGAUGAUUGCACCAAUCCAUAGAAGGAUCACUGGAGCUUGCAUACUUGUUAGCAUCCUUAGGAUCGACAAAACCUUCUAGUUGUAUCACAUACAACCUUUCCUCAAGGAAACCGUUAAGGAAACAAUGUUUUGACAUCCUAUGUGCAAUAUUUCAUAAAUAAUGCAACAACUGCUAACAUAAUUCCAACAGACCUUUAGCAUCGCUACGAGUGACAAAGUCUCAUCAUAGUCAACUCUUUGAACUUGUCGGAAACAUCUUUGUGAUAAGUCGAGCUUUUCUUAAUGGUGACUUUUCACCAUCAUCGUUUGUCUUCCUUUUAAAGAACCAUAUGUACUUAAUAGUCUUACGACCAUCAAGUAGUUCUUCCAAAGUCUACACUUUGUUUUAUACAUGGAUCCUCUCUCGGAUUUCAUGGCCUCCAGCCAUUUGUCAGAAUCUGGGCCCACCAUCGAUUCUCCAUAGCUCGUAGGUUAAUUGUUGUUCAACAACAUGACUUCCAAGACAUGGUUACCGUACCACUCUAUAGUAGUACGCGACCUUGUCGACCUACGUGGUUUGUAGUAACUUGAUCUGAAGCUUAAUGAUCACCAUCAUCAGUUUCCACUUCAAUUGGCGUAGGCGCCACAGGAACAACUUCCUACGCCCUGCUACACACUAGUUGAAGUGACGGUUCAAUAACCUUAUCAAGUUCCACCACCCUCCCACUCAAUUCUUUUGAGAGAAACUUUUCCUUGAGAAAGGACCUGUUUCUAGAAACAAACACUUUGCUUCCGGAUCUGAGAUAGGAGGUAUACCCAACUAUUUUGGGUUUCCUAUGAAGAUGCAUUUAUCCUCUUUGGGUUCGAGUUUAUCAUGCUGAAACUUUUCCACAUAAGCAUCGCAGCACCAAACUUUUAAGAAAUGACAGCUUAGGUUUCUCCAAACCCUCGUUCAUAUGGUGUCAUCUCAACAGAAAUACGUGGUGCCCUAUUUAAAGUGAAUGCGGUUGUCUCUAAUUCAUAACCCAUAAACGAUAGUGGUAAUCUGAUAAGAGACAUCAUAGUAUGCACCAUAUCAAAUAGGGCCCGGUUAUGACGUUCGGACACACCAUCACACUAUGGUGUUCUAGGUGGCAUGAAUUGCGAAACAAUUUCCACAUUAUCUUAACUCUGCACCAAAACUCACAACUCAGAUAUUCAUCUCUAUGAUCAUAUCGUAGAUAGUUUAUCCUCUUGUCACAACGAUCUUUACUCUGAAAUAGCUUUGAACUUUCCAAUAUUUCAGACUUGUGAUUCAUCAAGUAAAUACUCAUGUAUGUACUCAAAUCGUCAGCGAAGUAAGAACAUAAUGAUAUCCACUGUGUGCCUCAGCACUCAUUGGACUGCACACAUCAAAAAUGUAUUACUUCCAACAAGUUACUUUCUUGUUCCAGGUGGUGUGAUUUGCAUGUCUCAAGUGAUUCAGAAUCAAGUGAUUCCAAGCAAUCCAUCUACAUGGAGUUUCUUCAUGUGUUUAGACAAAUAGGUAUGGUUUGCAUGUCUCAAACUUUCAAAAAUGAGUGAGUACAAAGAUCCAUCAGCAUGGAGCUUCUUCAUGCAUUUUACACCAACAUGACUCAAGCGGCAGUGCCACAAGUAAGUGGUACUAUCAUUACUACUUUGUAUCUUUUGGCAUCAAUAUUAUGAACAUGUGUAUCACUACAAUCGAGAUUCAAUAAACCAUUGAUGGUAUUUAUUCAAGAAAAUAGAAUAACCAUUAUUCUCUUUAAAUGAAUAAUCGUAUUGCAAUAUACACGGUCUCAUCAUGUUCAUGCUCAACGCAAACACCAAAUAACAUUUAUUUCGGUUUAACACUAAUUCCGAUGAUAGAGGGAUUGUGCGAUGUUUGAUCACAUCAACCUUGGAAACACUCCCAACACAUAUCGUCACCUCGCCUUUAGCAAGUCUCUGUUUAUUCCGUAGCUUUUAUUUUGAGUUACUAACACUCAGCAACUGAACCGGUAUCUAAUACCCUCGUGCUACUAGGAGUACUAGUAAAGUACACAUCAAUAUAAUGUAUAUCAAAUAUACUUCUAUCGACUUCGCCAGCCUUCUCAUCUACCAAAUAUCUAGGAUAGCUCCGCCUCAGUGACCGUUCCCUUCAUAACAGAAGCACUUAGUCUCGGGUUUGGGUUCAACCUUGGGUUUCUUCAUUAGAGCAGCAACUGGUUUGCCAUUUCAUGAAGUAUCCCUUCUAGCCCUUGCCCUUCUUGAAACUAGUGGUUUUACCAACCAUCAACAAUUGAUGCUCCUACUUGAUUUCUACUUUUGCAGUGUUAAACAUUGCUAAUCGCUCAAGGAUCAUCAUAGCUAUCCUUAAGUAUUUUAUAGUUCAUCACGAAGCUCUAACAGCUUGGUGACAGUGACUUUGGAGAACCAUCACUAUCUCAUCUGGAAGAUUGACUCCGACUUGAUUCAAGCGACUGUUGCACUUAGACAAUCUGAGCACAUGGUCAACGAUUGAGCUUUUCUCCUUUUACUUUGUAGACAAAGAAUCUUGUCGGAGGUCUCAUACCUCUCAACAAGGGCACGAGCAUGAAAUCCCGAUUUCAUCUCUUAGAACAUCUCAUAUGUUAUGUGAGGUGAAAAACGUUUUCAACGCCUCAAUUCUAAGUUGUUUAAGUAUUACACACUGAACUAUCACGUACUCAUAAAAUAACGUGUAUGUCAGAUGUUCGCAACAUCCACAGACGAUGCUCGAGGUGCUGCACACCGAGCGGUGCAUUAAGGACAUAAGCCUUCUGCGCGACAAUGAGGACAAUCCUCAGUUCACGGACUCAGUCCGCAAAGUUGCUACUAUCAUCUUUCAACUAAAUUUUCUCUAGGAACAUAUAAAAACAGUAGAGCUACAACGCAAGCUACAACAUAAUUUGCAAAGACCUUUUGACUAUGUUCAUGAUAAUUAGUUCAAGUAAACAUAUUACUUAAGAACUCCCACUCAAAUAGACAUCCCUCUAGUCAUUCGAGUGGCGCAUGAUCCAAAUCCACUAACUCAAGUCUGAGCAUCACGUGAGUUGAGAAAAGUUUCAGCGGUGAACAUCUGCACGUUGAUCAUAUCAACUAUAUGAUUCAUGCUCGACAUUUCUCUCUCUUGUGUUCCGAGGCCAUGUCUGUACAUGUUAGGCUCGUCAAGUUUAACCCGAAUGUUCCGCGUGUGCAACUGUUUUGCAACCGUUGUAUGUAAACGUCUAUCACACCUGAUCAUCAUGUGGUGUCUUGAAAUGACGAACUGUCGCAAUGGUGCACAGUCGGGGAGAACACAAUUUUAUCUUGAAAUUUUAGUGAGGGAUCACCUUAUAAUGGUACCAUCGUUCUAAGAAAAAUAAGGUGCACAAAAAGGGUUAACAUCACAUGCAAUUCAUAAGUGACAUGAUAUGGACAUGAUCUUGUGCUUCUUGAUCUCCAUCACCAAAGCACCGGCAUGAUCUUCAUCGUCACCGAAGCCACACCAUGAUCUCCAUCAUCAUGAUCUCCAUCAACAUGCCGCCUUCGAGGUUGUCGUGCUAUCUAUGCUAUUACUACUAAAGCUACAACCUAGCAAUAUAGUAAACGCAUCUGCAAACACAAACAUUAGUUUAAAGACAACCCUAUGGCUCACGUCGGUUGCCGUAGCAUCGACGUGCAAGUCGAUAUUUAACUAUUACAACAUGAUCAUCUCAUACAUCCAAUAUAUCACAUCAUGUCUUUGUCCAUAUCAUAUCACAUGCAUACCCUGCAAAAACAAGUUAGACGUCCUCUAAUUUGUUGUUGCACGUUUUACGUGGUUGCUACAGAUAUCUAGUAUGAUCGCAUCUUACUUACGCAAAACCACAAUGGUGAUGUUCAAAUUGCUAUUUAACCUCUCUCCAAGGACCGCCUCGGCCAAAUCCAAUUCAACUAAAUUUGAAGAAACAGACACCUGCCAGUCAUCUUUAUGCAACAAGUUGCAUGUUAGUCGAUGAAACCGGUCUCUCGUAAGCGUACGAGUAAGGUUGGUCCGGGCCGCUUCAAUCCAACAAUACCGCCGAAUCGAGAAAAGACUAAGGAGGGCAGCAAAUCGAACAUCAACAGCCAAAAAACUUUUGUGUUCUACUCGAGAUUACGUCUACGCACGAACCUAGCUCAUGAUGCGACUGUAGGGGAACGUUGCAUGGGAAACAAAAAAUUUCCUACGCACACGAAGACCUAUAAUGGUGAUGAUCAUCUACGAGAGGGAGAUCGGAUCCACAUACCUAUGUAGAUCGCUAAGCGGAAGCGUUAUUAAACGCGGUUGAUGUAGUGGCAUGUCUUCACGAUACGUCCCAUGAACCGUCCCACGAUCCGUCCCACGAACCGUCCCACGAUCCGUCCCACGAUCCAUCCCACGAACCGUCUCGUGAUCCGUCCCGAUCAAGUGCCGAACGGACGGCACCUCUGCGUCCCCCACACGUACAGCUCAAUGACGAUCUACGCCUUCUUGUUUCAGCAAGAGAGACAGGGAAGUAGAUGAGUUCUCCGGCAGCAUGACAGCGCGCCGGUGAUGGUGAUGAUCUAUUCCUGAAGGGCUCCGCCCGAGUUCCGUAGAAAACCGAUCUAGAGGAAGACCUACGAUCUAGAGGAGAGGGCAGCACGUGGCAAAGUUGUGUCUCAAAAGCCCUAAACCUCUAGUAUAUAUAGGAGGAGGGAGGAGGCAGCCUUGGCGCCACAAGGGAAAGUCCCUUGGGUCAGCCGAAGUGGAGGAGGGAGGAGUCCUCCUCCAAUUCCACUUGUAUUAGGACUCCUUCCUUAUUUUCCCACCUCUUUUGGAUUUUCCACUUUUUCCUCAUGGGCUUUCCUUGGAUGACAGUGUCAGCCAAUUAUGCCUUAUUGCGCAUCCAAUAAACCCAUGUGGACCCCUUGGGGCAUGGUGGUCCCACCCAGUGGGCCCCCGGAACCCAUUCGUCACUCCCGGUACAGUGUCGGCAAUGCCUGAAAACCUUCCGGAAUCCAAAUACCAAAUUCCUAUAUAUCGGUCUUCAUCUCUGGACCAUUCCGGUACUCCUCGCGACGUCCGGGAUCUCAUCCGGGACUCCGAACAAAAGUUAAGUCACCAACACAUAUAACUCAACUAUACCGAAACGUCACCGAACCUUAAGUGUGCACACCCUGCGGGUUUGAGAACUAUGCAGACAUGACAUGAGGCACUCUCUAGUCAAUAACCAACAGUGGGACUUGGAUGUCCAUAUUGGUUCCCACAUAUUCUACGAAGAUCUCUAUCGGUUGAACCUCUAUGUCAAGGAUUCAUAUAAUCCCGUAUACUAUUCCCUUUGUCCUUCGGUAUGUUACUUGCCCGAGAUUCGAUCGUUGGUAUCUCUAUACCUAGUUCAAUCUCGUUACCGGCAAGUCUCUUUACUCAUUCCGUAAUACAAGAUCCCGUAACUAUCUCCUUAGUCACAUAGCUUACAAGGCUUGUUGUGAUGUUGUAUUACCGAGUGGGCCCUGAGAUACCUCUCCGUCACACGGAUUGACAAAUCCCAGUGUUGAUCCAUGCCAACCCAACAAACACCUUUCGAGAUACCUUGACCAUCUUUGACAACACUUGCCUAUGGCCAGGAAACCUUGACCAUCUUUGAUCAACAAACUAGUCAACUAGAGGCUCACUAGGGACAGCGUGUUGUCUAUGUAUCCACACAUGUAUUUGAGUUUCCAAUCAAUACAAUUCUAGCAUGGAUAAUAAACGAUUAUUAUGAACAAGGAAAUAUAAUAAUAACUAAUGUAUUAUUGCCUCUAGGGCAUAUUUCCAACAUCGGCAACUGCUUUUCCGUCCUUCUUGAAGUUCUUCUUACCCUUGCCUUUCUUGAAACUGGUGGUCUUAUUCACCAUCAACCCUUGAUGUUCCUUUUUGAUUUCCACCUCCGCUGAUUUCAGCAUCGAAUAUAACUUAGGAAUAGACUUUUCCAUCCCUUGUAUAGUGUAAUUCAUCACAAAGCUCUUGUAGCUAGGUGGAAGUGACUAGAGGAUUAUGUCAAUAAUUGAGUCAUCCGGAAGAUUAACUCCCAGCUGAGACAAGCGGUUGUGCAACCCAGACAUUUUGAGUAUGUGCACGCUGACAAAACCAUUUUCCUCCAUCUUACAACUGAAGAACUUGUCGGAGACUUCAUAUCUCUCGACCCGGGCAUGAGCUUGGAAGAACAUUCUCAGCUCUUGGAACAUCUCAUAUGGUCCGUGUUGCAUAAAACACUUUUGGAGCCCCGGUUCUAAACUGUAAAGCAUGUCAUACCAAACUAGUGAGUAAUCAUCACUACGCGACUGCCACGGGUUCAUAACGUCUUGAGCUGCUGGGAAAACGGGUGCAUCACCUAGCGGUGCAUCAAUGACAUAUAUUUUAUUGGAAGCUAUGAGGAUGAGCCUCCAGUUAUGGACCCAGUCCGUAUAGUUGCUUACAUCGUCUUUCGGCUUGGUUUUCUCUAGGAACGCAUUGAUGUUGAGGGGAACAUUAGUGUGGGCCAUUGGAUCUACAAUAUAUAUUGUAAAGACAAUUUUAGACUAAGUUCAUCUAAUAAAAUUAUUUAAUGAACUCCCACUCAGAUAGGCAUCCCUCUAGUCAUCUAAGUGAUACAUGAUCCAUAUCGACUAGGUCGUGUCCGAUCAUCACAUGAGACGGACUAGUCAUCAAUGGUAAACAUCUCCAUGUUGAUCGCAUCAACUAUAUGACUCAUGUUCGACCUUUCGGUCUCUUGUGUUCCGAGGCCAUGUUUGUACAUGCUAGGCUCAUCAAGUCAACCUAAGUGUUUUGUGUGUGUAAAUCUGGCUUACACCCGUUGUAUGUGAACGUUAGAAUCUAUCACACCCUAUCAUCAUGUGGUGCUUCGAAACAACGAUCCUUCGCAGUGGUGCACACUUAGGGGGAACAAAUUUCUUGAAAUUUUAGUGAGGGAUCAUCUUAUUUACUACCGCUGUUCUAAGCAAAUAAGAUGUAAAAACAUGAUAAACAUCACAUGCAAAUCAUAAAGUGACAUGAUAUGGCCAAUAUCAUCUUGCGCCUUUGAUCUGCAUCUUCGGGGCGCGGUAUGAUCACCAUUGUCACCGCAUGACACCAUGAUCUUCAUCAUCAUGAUCUCCAUCAUCGUGUCUUCAUGAAGUUGUCUCGCCAACUAUUACUUCCACUACUAUAGCUAAUGGUUAGCAAUAAAGUAAAGUAAUCAUAUGGCAUUUUUGAUUGACACGUAGGUCAUGCAAUAAAUUAAGACAAUUCCUAUGGCUCCUGUCGGUUGUCAUACUCAUCGACAUGCAAGUCGUGAUUCCUAUUACAAGAACAUGAUCAAUCUCAUACAUCACAUAUAUUUCAUCACAUCCUUUUGGCCAUAUCACGUCACAUAGCAUACCCUGCAAAAACAAGUUAGACGUCCUCUAAUUGUUGUUGCAAGUUUUACGUGGCUGAUAUGGGUUUCUAGCAAGAACGUUUCUCACCUACGUUACAACCACAACGGAGAUAUGCUAAUUGCUAUUUACCCUUCAUAAGGACCCUCUUCAUCGAACCCGAUCCAACUAAAGUGGGCGAGACAAAGACCCGCUAACCACCUUAUGCAACAAGUGCAUGUCACACGGUGGAACCAGUCUCAUGUAAGUCUACGUGUAAAGUCGGUCUGGGCCGCUUCAUCCCACAAUGCCGCCGAAUCAAGAUAGGACUAGUAACGGUAAGCAAAUUGACCAAAUCAUCGCCCACAACUUACUUGUGUUCUACUCGUGCAUAGAAACUACACAUAACCGUAGUUCAUGAUGCCACUGUUGGGGAACGUAGCAAUAAUUCAAAAUUUUCCUACGUGUCACCAAGAUCAAUCUAGGAGAUGCUAGCAACGAGAGAGAGGGAGAGCAUCUUCAUACCGUUGAAGAUCGCUAAGAGGAAGCGUUACAAAGAACACGGUUGAUGGAGUCGUACACGCGGCGAUUCAAAUCGCGGAAUAUACGAUCCAAGCACUGAACAAAUGAUGCCUCCGUGUUCAACACACGUACAGCCUGGGGACGUCUCCUCCUUCUUGAUCCAGCAAGGGGGAAGGAGAAGUUGAGGGAGAGCUCCGGCAUCACGAGGCAUGGUGGCGGUGGAGCUCGUGGUUCUCCGGCAUAGCUUCGCCAAGCUCAACCGAGAAGGAGGUGAAGGGGGUAGGGCUGCGCCAGGAGGAGAGGGUUCAGGUGCGCUGCAGCCCUCUCACCCCUCCUAUAUUUAUAGGGGAAAGGGGAGAGGGGGCCGACCAACCUACAUGGCCUAGGAGGGGGCAGUGGCGGCCAAGGGGGAGGCUUGCUUCCCAAGUUGGUCGGAGGCAGCCCCCAUGCCCUAGGUUUCCCAGCCCUAGGUGCCUUGGGCCCCUUGGUGUUGGGGAACGUUGCAUGGGAAACAAAAAAAAUUCAUACGCACACGAAGACCUGGUGAUGCCCAUCUAUGAGUGGAGACUUGGAUCUACGUACCCUUGUAGAUCGCACAGCAGGAAGCGUUAAGAAGCGCAAUUGAUGUAGUGGAACGUCUUCACGUCCCUCGAACCGUCCCAGAACCGUCCCGCGAUCCGUCCCACGAUCCGUUCCGAUCUAGUGCCGAACGGACGGCACCUCCACGUUCAGCACACGUACAGCUCGACGAUGAUCUCGGCCUUCUUGAUUCAGCAAGCAAGACGGAGAAGUAGAUGAGUUCUCCGGCAGAGUGACGGCACUCCGGUGGUGGUGAUGAUCUACUCCUGCAGGGCUCCGCCCGAGCUCCGCAGAAAUUCGAUCUAGACGUGGAACUGUGUGGUUUAGGCUAGAGUUGCACGUGGCAAAGUUUUAUCUCGAAAGCCCUAAAACUCCACUAUAUAUAGGAGGGAAGGGGACGGGCUAGCCUUGAGGGACAAGUCCCUCAAGGGUGCGUUGGUGCUAGGAGGAGGAGGACUCCUCCUCCAAUUCGGUUUGGGAAGGAGGAGUCCUCCCCUUCCUUCCCACCACCCUCUUUCGCUUUUUCUUUUUCUUUUCUUUUGCUAUUUUCUUAUGUGGCGCCAUGAGCUCCUUGGGCUUACUGCACCAGCCCACUAAGUAAUUGUGGCGCCACCCUAGGGCCUUGGGCUCACUCCCGGGUGGGUGGGCCCCUCCCGGUGAACUCCCGGAACCCAUUCGUCACUCCCGGUACACUACCAGAAUUGCCCAAAACUUUCCGGUGACCAAAUGAAAACAUCCUAUAUAUCAAUCUUCGUUUCUGUACCAUUCCGAAAAUCCUCGUGAUGUCCGUGAACUCAUCCAGGACUCCGAACAACAUUCGGUAACCACACAUAUAACUAAACUGUACUAAAACAUCACCGAACCUUAAGUGUGCACACCGUGCGGGUUCGAGAACUAUGUAGACAUGCCCCGAGGCACUCCUCGGUCAAUAUCCAAUAGCGGGACCUAGAUUCCCAUAUUGGAUCCUACAUAUUCUCUGAAGAUCUUAUCGGUUGAACCUCAGUGUCAAGGAUUCAUAUAAUACCGUAUGUCAUUCCCUUUGUCCUUCGGUAUGUUACUUGCCCGAGAUUCGAUCGUCGGUAUCCGCAUACCAAUUUCAAUCUCGUUACCGAAAGUCUCUUAACUCGUUCCGUAAUACAAGAUCCCGUGACUUACACUUAGUCACAUUGCUUGCAAGGCUUGUGUGUGAUGUUGUAUUACCGAGUGGGCCCCGAGAUACCUCUCCAUCAUACGGAGUGCCAAAUCCCAGUCUUGAUCCAUACUAACUCAACGGAAACCUUCGGAGAUACCUGUAGAACACCUUUAUAGUCACCCAGUUACGUUGUGACGUUUGAUGCAUGACGUCAGCUGUGCUUCCCUAGCAAUGGCUCCAGAAAAGUGAUGAUACUGCAAUCUCUAGUGUCAGCUAGACGAAUGCUUAUAACAAGUAACCUUCUCCUCCAGCGGCACCAGAAGAAUGUUGAAAGCACUCCCAGCAAUGAAACCGUAAAAAUGUUGUUGAUGGCCCACGAGCACGUGGGUUCGCAGCAGUUUUCAAGGGUACUGUAUUCGACCCAAAUUUGUAGAAUGCCUAAAGAACUUGCAGUAGCAAUAGUAGUAGCAGAAGAGAAAGACAAGUAACAGAAGUAGUAGCACAAACUCGUAAGCAAUGGGUCGGUGAUUUGUUUGGAUGAUAUUCAUCAUGCAACACCUAUAACACAGAGAGAUAAGUGGCUAGCUCCCAUUCGUCAAUGUGAUGUAGGCAUGCAUUUCGUGUGUCGUCAUACGUGCUUAGGGAAAAGAACUUGCAUGACAUCUAUUGUCCAUCCCUCCCGUGGCAGCGGGGUCCAAAAGGAAACUACAGGAUAUUAAGGUUCUCCUUUUAAUAAAGAACCGGACCAGCGCAUUAGCACUUGGUGAACACAUGAACUCCUCAAACUAUGAUCAUCACCGGGAGUGGUUCCGGUUAUUGUCACUCCAGGGUUGCCGGAUCAUAACACAUAGUAGGUAACUACAAGUUGCAAGAUCGGAUCUAAAACACACAUAUAUUGGUGACAACAUAGUAAUUUCAGAUCUGAAAUCAUGGCACUCGGGCCGUAGUGACAAGCAUUAAGCAUGGCAAAGUAGUAGCAACAUCAAAUCUGAGAACAUAGUGGAUACUAGGGAUCAAUCCCCAUCAAAACUAAGUCGAUUACAUGAUAGAUCUCAUCCUACUCAUCACCGCACAGCGAGCCUACGAAUAGAUUACUCACGAACGACGAAGAGCUUCAUGGAAUUGGAGAGGGAAGAAGGUUGAUGCUGACGAUGGUGGCGAUUUCCCCUCUCCGGAGGCCAAGACAGACUCCAGAUCUGCCCUCCAGAUGAAGAACAGGUGGUGGCGGUGCCUCCGUAUCGAAAACGCGACGAAACCUUAUCUUUUUAUUUUUUAUGGGACGAAAGACAACUUAUAGAGCUGGAGUUGGGGGCGGCAGGUGCCUGUGGCCCCACAAGCCUGCCCACCGCCACCAGGGGGGUGGUGGCGGAGCAGGGGCUUGUGGCCCACUAGCCCACCCCCUCAGAGUGGAACUUGGCGCAGAUAUUUUUUAUAUUUUCCAAAACUGCUCCCCGCAAAUUUUCAUGACGUUUGGAGAACUUUGAUUUCUGCACAAAAAUAACACCAAGGCAAUUCUGCUGAAAACAGCGUCCGUCCAGGUUAGUUCCAUUCAAAUCAUGCAAAUUAUAGUCCAAAACAAGGGCAACAGAUUUUGGAAAAGUAGAUACGUUGGAGACGUAUCAACUCCCCCAAGCUUAAAACCUUGCUUGUCCUCAAGCAACUCAGUUGACAAAUUGAGAGAGAAAGAAAAACUUUGACAAACUCUGUUUGAUCUUGUUGUUGCAACUAUGUCUAACUCAUAACCAGAAUUACAGCAAGAUCACAAGUUAACCACAUAAGCAAAUGCCACAAAGGUCUCACGGUAAACUAAUAUCAAUGGCAUAAUCAGCUAAUGAGCAAAUAAUAAUGAGUUUCAAAUACCAACACUUCAAUCAAAGCAAGCAUGAAGAAAUAUGAAUAGGUGGUAUCCAGUCAUAGUCAUACUCAAUAUCAAUGAAAAGCAAAGCAUAAAAAUGACAGAGGUGCUCUCUAAUUGGUGCUUAUAUAAGAGGAGGAUGACUUGAUAGGAAAAUAAAUAGACAGGCCCUUCGCAGAGGGAAGCAUUGAUUUGCAGAGGUGCCAGAGCUCAAGCUUUGAAAACAGAGAUAAUAAUUUUGGGUGGCAAGCUUUCAUUGUCAACGCAAUGACCAAGAGUUCUCAAUAUCUUCCAUGAUACUCAUGCUAUAGGCGGUUCCCAAACAGAAAAGUAAAGUUUUAACUCCCCCACCACCAAUCAAUCACACUCCAUGGCUAGCCGAAUCCCCGGGUACCGUCCAUACUAACAUCAAUCCGGAGGGAGUCUUGUUUUACAGUUAUGUUUUUGAUUUAAGCAUGGAACUGGGCAUCCCAAAUACCGGCCCCUUUCUCGUGAAGGACUGCGAAUAAACACAUGUCGAGGAUAACACUCCUAGCAUGGAAGAUACCAAUAGCGCUCUGUCACCACAUGAGCGGUUCGGGCAUGCAAAACAGAUUAUUUCUUGAAGGUUUAGAGAAUGGCACAUGCAAAUUUACUUGGAAUGGCAGGUAGUUACCGCAAAUAGGUAGGUACGGUGGACUCUCAUGGAAAAACUUUUGGGUUUAUGGAAGUGGAUGCACAAGCAGUAUUCCCGCUUAGUACAAGUGAAGGCUAGCAAAAGACUGGGAAGCGACCAACUAGAGAACGACAACAGUCAUCAAGAUGCAAUGAGUUUGACUAACAUUGAAUGCAAGCAUGAACAUGAUAUAAAUCACCAUGAACACGAACAUCAUAGAGGCUAUGUUGAUUUUGUUUCAACUACAUGCAUGAACAUGCGCCAAGUCAAGCCACUUGAAACAUUCAAAGGAGAAUACCAUCCUAUCAUACUACAUCAUAGUCAUCUCAAAAUCUAUGUUGGAAAUCAAGGCAAACCAUUAUAAGCUCUCAGCUAAAUAAGCAUGGCAUCAGAAACUAUGAUCUCUAAGUUGUCAUUGCAAACAUGGUUCUCUCACAACAAAGGCUAAUCUGGGUCGACAAGCUAGUCAUAUUUACAAAAACAAAAUAGAUCGAGUUCUUACCAGCUUUUCAGUCUCAGUCACUUCAUCAUAUAUCAUCAUUGUUUCCUUUCACUUGCACGAUCGAACGAUGAAAACAAUAAUAAGCGCAUCGGACUAAGCUGAUUCUGCAGGCAAACACAAAGGAGAAGACAAAAUAAUAUGGCUCUUUGAAAGCUAAACAGGUAAGCAUGUAAGAACCACUAAGCAUUGUAACCAAUAUCUUCUACCUUGACACAAAGAAAAAGAAAACUAUUUACAUGGGAAAGGUCCCAACAAGAAAAAGAAGAAAGAAAAAUCUUUUUGGGUUUUCUCAAAAGGACACAAAACAAGGAAACAAGAAAAAAAAAA
rnacentral:lncRNA from 1 species